UCGACCGCGUGCUGGCGGCGCAGGCCUACUGGUCCCAGCAGCAGCAGCAGCAGAUAUCAGGCAAGGCUGCAUUACAAGGCUGCUCCUCCAGCUGCUGAAGGAAUCCAUCUCUGCCUUGCCUUGCCUUGCCUUGCCUUGCCUGCCUAGAGAGGAAAACUGAUACUCUGUAAAAAAAAUGUUUAAAGAAGGUUGACUAAUUUCUGUAUUUAUUCCAAACUCACAGAUCAUUUUAUUUUCCCUUUCUUCUUCUCUGUUUGCUGCUCGGGCCAGGCGCUCUAUUUCCUCUGUCGAUUAAUAAGAGAAACUAAAACGCCGGGUCCCGACAGCCCCUUUGUAAAUGAUUUUAUAAACUAUUUUGGAAUGUUUCAGUAUUUACCAGAUGUUCAUAUAUAACAGUUCACUCCAGUUCUUGCACAUUUUCUCACUAAUUAAUUAUUAGUAUUACACUGUCUUACACAGGCAUUCGGUUAUUGUUUUUUUUUUUCAUUCAGAAAGAUUGGAUUAUUAUUUUUCCUUGAGUGGUUGGAUUUGGUGAUUUCUACUAGUACUUUUUUUUAGGAAAUUGGUAGUUUUUUUUUUUUUGCUUUGCCUCCUUAUUAGUCAAGGAUGCAACGGUAACAGAUCCUGAUCAAGCAAGGUUGCUAGUAAAAAUAAGAGGAGUUUUUUUGUGAGAAAAUAAUGUGGUUUUUUUCUUGCACAUUUUCCCAUUAAAUUAAUUUAUACCACACUGUCUUGCAUUGGAGUUCUUUUUUCUUGAGAGAAAUUGGAUUAUUGUUUUGUUUUUCCUUUGGAAAGAUUGGAUUGUUAUUUUUUCCUUGAGUGGUUGGAUUUGGUAAUUUCCACUAGUAUAAAAAAAUGUUACUCCUUGAGUGUCAAAAAAGAUCUUAUAUUAUGGGAUGGAGGGAGUAGUUGCUAGUAAAAAUAAGAGGAGUUUUUUUUUAGUUGCUAAAAAAAACUAUUUGUUUUUUGAGCGAGGGCUAUAUUUUUGUUGGUGAAGCCAGGCUGAAAAAAGCUAGCCCAGUGGAUGAGGCCCAUUAGCCCAACAACACCCAGCACUUACCACUCCUCCUCUGCCCCCACUCCGACCGAGCCGGCGGCGGCGGCGGCACAUGAGCGGCGGGAGCCUCGCCCAACUGCUCCUCUCAUGCCUCGCCGGCGACCGCCUCCGCCGCGUCCUCCCGCCGGCACACGCCCGCGCCGUCGUCUCGGGCCUCCUCCCGGACCUCUUCCUCGCCAACCUCCUCCUCCGCGGCUACUCCAAGCUCGGCCUCCUCGGGGACGCCCGCCGCCUGUUCGACCAGAUGCCAAGCCGCAACCUCGUCUCCUGGGGCUCCGCCAUCUCCAUGUACGCGCAGCACGGCCGCGAGGACGACGCGCUCCUCCUCUUCGCCGCCUUCCCGAGCGCCGGUGCCGCCUCGCCCGACGGCGAGCCGCCCAACGAGUUCCUGCUCGCCAGCGCCCUCAGGGCCUGCGCGCAGUCGAGGGCGGCCCGCUUCGGCGAGCAGGUGCACGGCGUCGCCGCGAAGCUCGGCCUCGACGCCAACGUCUUCGUCGGGACCGCGCUGGUCAACCUGUACGCCAAGGCUGGCCGCAUCGACGCGGCCAUGUCAGUCUUCGACGCUCUCCCGGCCAGGAACCCGGUCACCUGGACCGCGGUGAUCACGGGGUACUCUCAGGCUGGGCAGGCCGGGGUUGCAUUGGAGCUGUUUGGGAGGAUGGGGCUCGACGGCGUCAGGCCCGACCGGUUUGUGCUGGCGAGCGCUGCCAGCGCUUGCUCUGGGCUUGGGUUUGUAGAGGGUGGCAGGCAGAUACAUGGCUACGCGUACCGAACUGCGGCGGAGUCAGACGCAUCGGUGGUCAACGCGCUGAUCGAUCUGUACUGUAAGUGCUCCAUGCUCUUGUUGGCUCAUAGGCUGUUUGAUUCCAUGGAGAACCGCAAUCUUGUGUCUUGGACGACGAUGAUCGCUGGUUACAUGCAGAAUUCGCUCGAUGCUGAAGCCAUGUCCAUGUUCUGGCAGCUGAGCCGGGCUGGCUGGCAGCCGGAUGUUUUUGCCUGCACAAGCAUCUUGAACUCGUGUGGCUCUUUGGCAGCGAUAUGGCAAGGAAGACAGGUACAUGCUCAUGUUAUAAAGGCUGAUCUGGAAUCUGAUGAGUAUGUCAAGAAUGCUCUGAUUGACAUGUAUGCUAAGUGUGAGCAUCUAACAGAAGCAAGAGCAGUAUUUGAAGCCUUGGCAGAAGAUGAUGCGAUUUCUUACAAUGCAAUGAUCGAAGGAUAUGCAAGGCUGGGUGACCUUACAGGAGCAGUCGAAAUAUUCGGUAAGAUGAGAUAUUGCUCACUAAAGCCAAGCCUACUGACAUUUGUUUCGCUGCUUGGUGUGUCCUCAUCUCGGUCAGACCUUGAACUGAGCAAGCAGAUUCAUGGUCUCAUCGUCAAAUCAGGAACUUCACUGGACCUAUAUGCAGGGAGUGCUCUGAUCGAUGUCUAUUCUAAGUUUUCCCUUGUGGACGAUGCCAAACUUGUAUUCAGCCUCAUGCAGAACAGGGACAUGGUAAUCUGGAAUGCUAUGAUUUUUGGCCUUGCACAGAAUGAGCGAGGGGAAGAGGCUGUGAAGCUCUUUGCCCAGCUUCCUGUCUCUGGGCUAACACCAAACGAGUUCACAUUUGUUGCACUAGUGACUGUGGCAAGUACUCUGGCAAGCAUUUUUCAUGGUCAGCAGUUCCAUGCCCAGAUCAUCAAAGCAGGUGUGGACAGUGAUCCCCAUAUUUCAAACGCUCUCAUAGACAUGUAUGCAAAGUGUGGCUUCAUCGAAGAAGGACGGCUGUUGUUUGAGUCAACAUUGGGAAAGGAUGUCAUCUGUUGGAACUCGAUGAUUUCGACAUACGCGCAGCACGGACAUGCUGAGGAAGCUCUUCAUGUUUUUGGGAUGAUGGAAGGGGCUAGAGUAGAGCCGAACUAUGUAACAUUUGUCAGUGUGUUGUCAGCAUGUGCUCAUGCUGGCCUUGUGGAUGAAGGUUUACACCAUUUUAAUUCUAUGAAAACAAAAUAUGCAGUUGAACCAGGCACCGAGCACUAUGCUUCUGUUGUCAACCUUUUUGGAAGAUCAGGCAAACUGCAUGCCGCCAAGGAGUUUAUUGAAAGGAUGCCGAUUGAACCAGUUGCGACUAUUUGGAGGAGCUUGCUGAGUGCCUGUCAUCUGUUUGGUAAUGUUGAAAUCGGGAGGUAUGCCACUGAAAUGGCAUUGUUGGCGGAUCCUGCAGACAGCGGCCCCUCUGUUCUUAUGUCAAAUAUUUAUGCCUCUAAAGGACUGUGGGCUGAUGCGCAGAAGUUGAGGCAGGGGAUGGAUUGUGCUGGUGUGGUGAAGGAACCAGGAUAUAGCUGGUGAUGAUGGUUCACACGUUCAUUGCAGGAGGACAAGAGCACCCCGAGGGCGGAGGCAGAAGUGAUAUAUGCAGUACUGGAUGAGCUGACAAGUCUACUUAAAAAGGGUAUCUCUCUGAUACCUCUGAACUUACUUUGCUUGAUGAGAAUGGUUGAUGGUACUUACUGAAUGGUAACUACAUAGUUUUCAGUGUGUAAACAGAUGGUCUUGGAUGAACUGUUCUAGCUACGUCCCAACACACAACUAAUACUGGGAGGAUGAUGCUUUGAUAUUAGUAGUUCUGGCCGUCUUCUUUGAUAACUUUAGUGUAUUUUACAACAGCUUGUCCAACGACUAUCUGACUAGGUACUAAUUACUGAAAGAGACCACAGUUCUUGAUCAGAUCAAAUGCAAAAUACGGAGUGUGCAUGUUUACUAUGGGCUUGACAAUGUACAACUGCACAUGGCCAUGCUUAACUCUGAUAUUGAAGGCUCAGUGUUGCUAGCUACUCAUGAGGUAAUAAGAACACAGUAUUUUUAUUUCAGUCAUUUGAAUCUUGUAGUUUCUAAGAGAAAAAGGGAAACUGGAAUCUUCUGUACACGAACAUGAUUUUAUAGGAUAACAGUGAACUACUAGCCAGUAAUACUGGAACAUUAGAAUGAUUAUUCAGGUGAAACUGUUCCUGAAACAGUGAAAUAGAAGUGCUAUUUACCUAAUACUCCCUCUGUCCCAAAAUUAUUGUCUUGGAUUUGUCUAGAUAUGGAUGUAUCUAGUCACCUGUUAGUAUCUAGAUGCAUCAAUAUCUAGAAAAAUCUAAGACAAGAAUUUUGGGACGGAGGGAGUAAGAUAUAAGAUAAAGGUGCACAGAUAAUGAGUAUGCUCUUUGUGUGUUGGCCUUGACUAGAAAGUUGCAGUUGUACGAUUGGAACCUGGAAACGCAAGAUCACAUCAUAGAAGUGCUCAUGAUCACGUGUUCCCUGGUCUAACUCACCAUUCAAAGACAGUGACAAUCGAUAAAAAGAUGCUCUUUGUGUUAGACUUCAGCUAAACAGCCAUAUCAUAACACUGAAACUGUGGUGCAUAUGAAUAUUAUGCUUCAGGUUCAGUAUAUUCCUGGCAUGUAUUUUUAGCUGCACUGACGAUAGAAGCUGCUCUCAAAUUAUGUAAUAUGAGAAGCCCCUCAACAGCCUAGCAAGGUGAAAUAAAAAAUUUACACAGCAUGUUGUUUCUGGAGUUAUUAUACAGUUUGGUGUAUUUUUUUUACCUGUUCAUGAUCUACAACUUUGUGUGCUCAUUCCUGCUAUCCAUUCAACAGUCAGUGUGGUUAUAUUUUAUAUUUACGUGCCACUGCAGGUUGUACAAAAGGAAAGGGAGGAGAAACUUGCAGAAAAUGUGAAGAAUAGAUUGAACAUUUAUGUUGAAGGAAACAAAAAGGAAUUUUUUUUGCGGGUGAAAUAAAAAGGAAUCUAUCCAGCUUCUGUGGCUGAGUUGUGUAAAUUUUCUAAUGCAGGUCUGCAUCCAUGACAAUCCUUUCAUCACACUCUUAGAUAUUUCUUUCAUCACACUCUUAGAUAUUUCUUUCCCUCAGUUGCAACUGCUCUGUUAAUUUUUUUCUCGAAAUAAAAAUAAAAAUAGAAAUUGACUACCUCCUGGUGCCUUAUCUGCUUUUACUCCAACCCAGUAGAUCUGUUUGACCCUUUUGUCUUUGUGUAUUUCCUAUAUGAAUCAGACUUUGAGACUUCUCUCCUCUUUCUUCCAUUAUGUUCAUAACCCUGACUUCGAUUGACCUCAUUGUUCGUUUCUGAUUUUGCAUGCUCUGAAGCAUAUGGGGAUUGAUGUGCUGAGUAUUGUUGGUUGCAUGCAUUCAGAUAAUUGGAUAAGGGGCAUGUGAAGAAAGUUAUCUUUUUCGGUGUUCCAGUUAUAGCUGAGUGAUUCAGAAACAAAGUCCAUUUUGUGCCAUCUGUAACUGCCCUGGUGUGUGCCCUUUUUGGCUGCAGUGAGUUUUUUCCACAAGUCUUUGAUUGGCAUCUGUAGCUAAUUUUUGGGUGGUCACUUGGUAAUUACAAGCUAACCUCGCCAUGUACUUGCAUUAUCUGUUAAUUGUACAUAGUAUUUCGCUCUGUCCGGGUUAAUUAUUCGUAUGGCACAAUAGCAUUUCUAGCGAGUUAGUUUAUGCAGCAGCUGUGGCUUAUACUCCCAACUCCUAAUGAUAAUCUUCUAUGGUUCCUUGGCUGGUGUUCUGAAAUUAUGUGGUGUGCUUAUAUAUACUGUCCUUUUUUCAAUUUUUUUUCUCAGAGCAACUGUAGUUUUAAGCUAUCCAUUAAAGUGCACUAAACUUAAACAUUAUGAGAAGACAUCAGUUUUCAAGGAAGGAAGGAAAACAAUCACGUGCACGUCAGACAUCUUUAGAAGCGUAACAUAAAGUGGACGUUGAGACAAGCCUUAACUCCAAACAUUAAUAUUUUCUAUAACUGCCGUGUCAAUGUCAACAAGCUUUUCCUAUAUAUAUGAACCAUGAAGCAUUUGAUGGUCAUGCACUCAUCAGUCCCACUUACAGGAGUACUCAACAUUACCUCCGAUCCUCAGCAACGAUGACCAAGUACAUGAGAAACAGUGUCCAAGGGUUUGUGCUACUUUGUUUCAUUCUGGUGAUGUGUUUUGCCUGUCUUGGACACGCACACGGUAAUUAACAAAUCAAAGUUCGUUUAUCGGGGAAUAGAUUUUUGUCUUCGUUUUUAUGUCAUUUUGUUAUUGACUGUAUCGGGUUUUCUUAACCAGAAAACAAAAUUCUAGGUGUACAUAUAUAUGCUACACACCCUCUUUUUGUAUGUUGAGAGGAUAAACCUUUUCUUUUAUGCAUGUUAGGUGAAGGCACAAACAACAAGGAAAUCAACAGGAAGAUCGAAGUAAGCCACGUAGUCCGCCCCCCUUGUUACAAGAACGUGCACCAGGUCCCAGGCCAACCAUUCUGCUGUAAAAAGGAUAGGCUGUGCUGGCCGAAUCUCGGAGAAUGCUUCAUAAACUGCCCGUGCAAGAUUAGAUGCCUACGACCAGCAGCAACACACUAGUUUUAUCAUCUCCUUCUUGUGUGGAUAAAUAUAAACCUUACGGGUCUCUAAAUAAGGACGUGUUGAUCUAUGAUGGACACACAAAAAUAUGGAAUCUAAUCUUUCUCUACUCUUCAUUAUAUACGUUAUGACAUACAUAUAUUUUUUGUUACAUCUGAUUACAUUUUUUUGGUGACAGAAGCUUGAUGUGCAAAAAUAUUUAUUUGUGCUUAUGAUGACACAUUGCAAUGUCCCAUUGAUGACACAUAACAAAUUAACAAUGUCCAUUGAUGACACAUAGCAAUGUCCCAUUGAUGUGCGAAAAUGCAUUAGCAUUACUGUUAGAAGUUCUGGUUGGAUGAGCAUAGUUUUUAACUGAAAAAACAACAUGUUAAACACGGCCUGACCUGUUCAUUAUUGAACAAUGUAGUUUAUAUUGCGGAUGCUGCUAUGACUUUAGGCCAUUAGCUACACCCUAUGUGGUUUUGAGUUAACCAGGGCCUAGUUUCCUGUGUAUGCUCAACAAGGCUUUGCUUCUUAACACAAACAUGCUUAUUCUGUCGCAGGUUUAGAUGGAUAUGUUCAAUGAGGUAGUGAACUCGACUUAUGAGUAACAACUAACAACCAGCCGGGAGAAACUAUUUACCUUCAGGUCCAUGUACAUCUGUUUUUUCAAACUUAAUCAGAAGGGAAAUUAUGUCUUCAACUUUGCUGUCGAGCAAUUAGUAGUUGCCGAGUGUUCAAUAUAUUCGAGUUCAUUCGUUGCAGAUAAACAUUAUCAAUGUGUUUUUUGUAUUAAUUUAUUGCCAGUCAAAGCUGUUUAAGUGAGAUCAAGACAAUAUGGUAUGGAAGAUGUUGGAUUAUGAACCCCGUGGCUACCAACUUCCGAGACCUGCUUUAGUGCUCCCCCCUAACCCUAAUUUCCGCCCCCUAACCUAAUUUCCGAGAGGUAUUCUUGUCCAUCGCGAGUUUUAUUUUUUUUCAGCCGCCGUAGCCCAGAUCCAAGCCCUGUCUAACCGUGUAUAGCCAGACCGUAUACGUACAAUACCCUCUUCCAAAAAAAACAUUACAGGACCCCACGACCACGUAAGACCGGCCAAAUCCAAUCAUUCCAAUCAUUCACGCAGCUCCAUCAUCCACUGCACAGUCGUGAAUCUGCAGGACUCGCAGGUACCACAUCCCACGUCCCCCAUUAGUCCCGAUCGCGGCAACAUCGAACGAUCUGCCGCCGUUUUCGUGGUAGUGGUUAACUUUGCGGGGCAGGUAACCUAGCUACCCAAUGACACAUGCGGUCGUGGAUGUUGUUCCGGUAGUGGUGCUCCUCGUGAUCUGGGCUCUUUGUCUAGGGUUAACAUCAAUCACACAGCUCCAUCAUUCACGCGUUACCUUAGUUGAGGUCCUUUGAAUAUCGGUGGCGGCGAUCUCGGCCGACACCGCGCGGCACCGUCGUCAACCUCCAGCCCUCCCAGGUACCACAUCUCGCUCAUGAAUCCCCCCACACACAUUUCUCUCACUCACGGCAGCAGCAUGGGACGAUCUGCCGUCGUUUUCGUGCUAGCGGGUAACCUAGCUACCGGGAGGCGCACGCGAUCGCGAAUCUUGUUCCUAUAGAGCCACUCCUCGUCUUACAAAGUGAUCACGCCGGUUAUUUGCUGCUGCGUCCAACCUAGGUAUACGACGGCGCAGGCUAUCACUUAUGUACUUUCGGUAGAGCUCCUCCUCGCGUUCCAAAGUGAUCAGGACGGGUGCCGUGGGCAUCUUGCUAACUAGGGUUCACGUUCCUUAUGAUGAUACUUAUUAUUUGUUGUAGGAAAAAUUGCAGACAGUGAGUUAACCGAUAUCAUGGUAGAUAUGGAGUUAGGAGAACUGCUGAAAGACUGGAUACAUGAUUGGUCAGAUGAUGAAAAUUCAGAUCAUGGAGAUUGGGCAGAGAAUGGGAACGUAGGGGAUGAUGAUAUUGAGGAAAACAACUCCGAGGUCUCGAAUGAAGAUUACAUUAGUCAGGUGGGGAAGUGAAUUUUUUUGUUGGAGCAUGCAAAUGGAAUAUUUUGCGGAAUAUUAUAUGAUAAUUAAUUAUGUAUUUCCAUUCAUUAUUUCAGCUAAUUUCAGGAUCUCAUAACGCGUACGACUAUUAUGGUGAAUCCGACGCGGAGACAGACCUUGAAGACGAAACAGUAGAUGCACAUGAUUCUGAAGAGUCGCAGUCGUCGGUCAACAUGAGUGAGGUAUGUAUGAGCUGAAUGUUGUAUGGAAGUAAUGUUAACCCAUGUAAAAAAUCAUGGCUAUGUUUUGAUUGUUCAGGUGACAGAAGACGAGGGGAAAGAGAAUGUCCAAGCUAGUACGCACGUAGAUGAUCAGAGGGAUAUGCUCAUGAAGAUAAGAGAAAUGACUUUUGUGUCUGCAGAAGCGGCAUUCAACGUCUACAACAUCUAUGCUAAAGAUAAUGGUUUCAGCAUUAGAAAGGAUAAGGUCAGGUAUAGCAAAACAGAGUCACAUCAUAUGCGUUUGCGGCGGUAUGUUUGUUCUAGAGAAGGGAAACGUGACAGCAGAUUGCUAACCGAGAAAGGACGCAGCCGUAGGCUCAGACCCAAGUCAUGCUGCAACUGCGAAGCACAACUGACCGUGAAGCUUGACAAAAAGCGCGGGGUUUGGUGUGUUGGAAGUUUCGAGGACAAGCAUAGCCAUAUGUUAGGAAGACCGGACGAAGUACCUUUUCUUUGGUCCCAUAGAAAAAUACAAAGAGUACCAGAAGUUUUAGAUAAUGUCCAUGGAUGCCGCAGGGAUAAGAAUUCACAAUAUUAUGGAUUCCUUCAUCAGUAAACAUGCAUGGUACGACGGUGCUGGUUUUACGAGGCGUGAUAUAUACAACAUUUGCUCCAGGGAGAAGAGGAAGCUGCUUUCAAAAGGAGAUGCUGCCACAGCCAUAGGCAUAAUGGCCAGUAGGAAACAGAGGGAUCCUAGAUUAUUUUUCGAGUACAUGCUAGAUAAAAAAGGACAUAUGAAUAGAAUGUUCUGGUGUGACUCCUAGUCUUGUUAGUACUACGAGGACUUCGGCGACGUGGUUGUAUUUGACAACACGUACAAGAGGAAUCGCUAUGGUAUGCCAUUCAUACCUUUUGUUGGUCUUAACAAUCACCGGAAGACUACUGUUUUUUCUUGUGCCAUAGUUUCGGACGAGACCGAAGAGACAUAUGUCUGGCUGCUACAAACUUUUUGAGGUCCAUGUGUUAGUCGCUGCCGAAGAGUGUAAUCACGGACGCUGAUGCUGCGAUGAUCAGGGCAAUUCGCGAAGUCUUGCCAGAUGUGUGGCACCGUAUAUGUACAUGGCAUAUAGAAAAAAAAUGAAGAUUCACCUCAGUCACAACUCACAAGUCCUUGAACCAGUUCCGAACUCUUCUGUACUACACCACGUCCACGGUCACAUUUGAGGAGAGAUGGCACGCGUUUGCGAAAAGAUGGCAGUCUGGAAAAAUAGUAACUUGGUUGAGAAGGAUGUAUAAGAAACAAAGACUGUGGGCCGCAGCUUAUCUGACAAAGGGGUUUUGGCUUGGCAUGAAAAGCAACCAGAGGAGUGAAAGUUUGAACUCAUGCCUUCACCUCCACCUAGACGGUGAAAUGACCCUGGUGGAUAUGAUUUUGCACUAUGAGAACGCCGUUGUACGUAUCGGUGAGAACGAGGCACGAGAUGACUGCACGACAUCACAGACUCUACCGGUGCCAGUUACUAGCUCCACGGAACUUAGCUGCUUCUCACAUAUUCAUUCCAGCAAACUUCUAUAUGUUGCAAGAUGAUCUUAGAAAGGUUGGCAGCAUGGAGAUUGUAGAAAGAAUGGUUGGUGACGAAGCACAACAGUUCAUCGUGUGCUGGAAGAAUAACCGGUAGAACCAUUUUUUGGUGGAGUAUACAGCAGUAAAGUCCGCAGAAACUAUAAGGUGCAGCUGUAGAAGAAUGAUUCGAAAGGGUCUACCUUGCAAGCACAUAUUCCAUGUACUUCAGUACGUGAACAUAUCUGAAAUACCAAAGUGUUUAGUGUUGGAAAUAUGCCCUAGAGGCAAUAAUAAAUUAGUUAUUAUUAUAUUACCUGUUUCAAGAUAAUCGUUUAUUAUCCAUGCUAUAAUUGUAUUGAAUGAAAGCAUAGAUACAUGUGUGGAUAUAUAGGUAAAACAAUGUCCCUAGUAAGCAGGGGCGGACCUAGAACAAAAAUCACCCGGUGUCCACACAUACACCAUAAAGGAUGAAUACUAAGGGAAAUAUACUUAAAAGUAAGACACUCAAAACUUAAAAUGUCCAAUUGUGAAUAGUCUUACCAAAAUAAAAUGUUCCACUUCAAAUUCUAGCGGAUUAUAUAAAGUUGAACAGUAAAACAUAAGAAUUCUAAAUAAUAGAAAGAAAUACGAUCAACGAAAGCAACAUGAAUUCCCAUGUUAAUUCCGUGAUAAUUAUGUUAUUGCAAGUGCACAACGAUUUACAUUAUUGUGUUUGCAGAUGCAGGAAUAUAAAUAAAUAAAUACAACAUAUCGUUAAUCUUUAUUGUUUCGAAGUUAAACUUACUAGACAUUGUGUCUUAUUGCUGCCUUGCGUGGUUAAGAAAAUCUAAGGUUCCAAAUAUAUGUGAAUCACUAAGGGAAAUUAUCAAAUCGCAACAAUCAAAUUCUAAAACGCAAUACACUUGAAUUUGAAAACUCUAGCUAUAUAAUCUAGGCAAAGAAUUAUUAGAGAAACCUCCUCUUACUAAUAUGCAACACCCAACGAGCGAGGGCAUGCUUGUGCUGGGGACUGUUGGGCUGGCAAGGCAUGGUGGUGUGACCAGAGGAAGCGAGAAAGCAGCAACCGAGCAAGGGCUAGGGGCGGCAGCACGACCAGAGGAGGGGAGCGGGCAACAACUGAAUAUAGGCACAUGUUACACGCGUACGUACAUGAUAGGAUCCAAUCGAUCGAUAUGGCUGCUAGCAAGCACACCCUGGAUGAUUGGCAGCUAGGUGGGCCACUACCGUGUUGCGCGCAAGCUCUCGUUUGCUCCAUCUUCUAACCGGUGUCCCGCAUUAAUUUUUACUGGUGUCACAGUCACAAAUACGAGCUAUAUAUAGGGCAACCAGAACUUCUACCCGGUGUCCAGUGACACCGGAUGCAUGAACGUAGGCCCGCCCCUGCUAGUAAGCCUCUAGUUGGCUUGCCAGUUGAUCAAGGAUGUUUAAGGUUUUCUGAUCAUAUGCAAAUGUUGUCACUUGAUAAUGGAUCACAUCAUUAGGAGAAUCAUGUGAUGGACUAGACCCAAACUAUAAACGUUGCGUAUGAUCGUGUCAGUUUAUUGUUACUGUUUUCUGCAUGUCAAUGUAUCUGUUCCUAUGACCUUGAGAUCAUGCAACUCCCGGGCACGGAGGAAUACCUUGUGGGUUAUCAAACGUUGCAAUGUUACUGGGUGACUAUAAAGAUGCUCUACAGGUAUCUCCAAAGGUAUCUGUUGGGUUGGCAUGGAUCAAGACUGGGUUUUGUCACUCCGUGUGACGAAGAGGUAUCUCAGGGCCCACUCGGUAAUACAACAUCACAACAAGCCUUGCAAGCAAUGUGACUAAGGAGUUAGUUAAGGGAUCUUGUAUUACAGAACGAGUAAAGAGACUUGUCGGUAACGAGAUUGAACUAGGUAUAGAGAUAGCGACGAUCGAAUCUCGGGCGAGUAACAUACCAAAGGACAAAGGGAAUAGUAUAAGGGAUUAUAUGAAUCCUUGACAUAGAGGUUCAACCGAUAGAGAUCUUCGUAGAAUAUGUGGGAGCCAAUAUGGAGAUCCAGGUCCCGCUAUUGGUUAUUGACCGGAGAGUGUUUCAGGUUAUGUCUGCAUAGUUCUCGAACCCGCAGGGGUCUACACACUUAAGGUUCGGUGAUGUUUUAGUAUAGUUGAGUUAUAUGUGUUGGUGACCGAAGGUUGUUCGGAGUCCCGGAUGAGAUCACGGACGUCACGAGGGUUUCCGGAAUGGUCCGGAAACGAAGAUUGAUAUAUAGGAAGUUGGUGUUUGGAUUCCGGAAGGUUUUCCGGCAUUGCCGGCAGUGUACCGGGAGUGACGAAUGGGUUCCGGGGGCCCACUGGGUGGGCCCACCAUGCCCCAAGGGGUCCACAUGGGUUUAUUGGAUGCGCAAUAAGGUAUAAUGGACUGACAAAGUCAUCCAAGGAAAGCCCAUGAGGAAAAAGUGGAAAAUCCAAAAGAGGUGGGAAAAUAAGGAAGGAGUCCUAAUCCAAGUGGGAUUGGAGGAUGACUCCUCCCUUCCCCACUUCGGCCCACCCAUGGAGGCCUUCCUUGGCGCGCCAAGGCUGCCCCUCCCCUCCUCCUAUAUAUACUAGAGGUUUAGGUCUUUUGAGUCACAACUUUGCCACGUGCAACUCAAACCUAUACCUCGUAGUUCUACCUCUAGAUCGGUUUUCCGCGGAGCUCGGGCAGAGCCCUGCAGGAAUAGAUCAUCACCAUCACCGGCGCGCCGUCACUCUACCGGAGAACUCAUCUACUUCUCCGUCUCUCUUGCUGGAUCAAGAAGGCAGAGAUUGUCAUCAAGAUGUACGUGUGCGGGACGCGGAGGUGCCGUCCGUUCGACACUUGAUUAGAACGAAUCGUGGGACGGAUCGCGAGAUGGUUCGUGGGACGGAUCGUGGGACAGAUCAUGAAGACGUACCACUACAUCAACCGCGUUUAUUAACGCUUACGCUUAGCAAUCUACAAGGGUAUGUGGAUCCAAUCUCCCUCUCGUAGAUGGACAUCACCAUGAUAGGUCUUCGUGUGCGUAGGAAUUUUUUUGUUUCGCAUGCAACCUUCCCCAACAGUGGCAUCAUGAGCUAGGUUCAUGCGUAGAUGUAAUCUCGAGUAGAAUACAAAAGUUUUUGUGGGCUUUGAUGUUCGAUUUCCUGCCCUCCUUAGUCUUUUCUCGAUUCGACGGUAUUGUUGAAUUGAAGCGGCCCGGACCAACAUUACUCGUACGCUUACGAGAGACCGGUUUCACCGACUAACAUGCAACUCGUUGCAUAAAGAUGACUGGCGGGUGCCUAUUUCUUCAACUUUAGUUGAAUUGGAUUUGACCGAGGCGGUCCUUGGAGAGAGGUUAAAUAGCAAUUUGCACAUCUCCGUUGUGGUUUUGCGUAAGUAAGAUGCGAUUAUACUAGAUACCCAUAGCAGCCACGUAAAACAUGCAACAACAAAUUAGAGGACGUCUAACUUGUUUUUCCAGGGUAUGCUUGUGAUGUGAUAUGGCCAAAGACAUGAUGUGAUAUAUUGGAUGUAUGAGAUGAUCAUGUUGUAAUAGUUAAUAUCGACUUGAACGUCGAUGCUACGGCAACCGGCAGGAGCCAUAGGGUUGUUUUUAGACUAACGUAUGUGCUUGCAGAUGCGUUUACUAUAUUGCUAGGUUGUAGCUUUAGUAGUGAUAGCAUAUACAGCAUGACAACCUCGAUGGUGACACAAUGAUGGAGAUCAUGAUGAUGGAGAUCAUGGUGUGGCGCCGGUGAUGAUGAAGAUCAUGCCGGUACUUUGGUGAUGGAGAUGAAGAAGCACAAGAUCAUGGCCCAGACGGAUUACUGAAAUGUAGUUUUACUUAACGUUUCCUCAUCCUGCGAGAGUUUGUGGUGUGUGUUCUCGGACCAAAGAAACCAAACAAGCAUACCUUUCCUUUAAUGGUAUGACUAUAAAUUACCUAAGUUUUAGAAUGUCUUGUUUAAGAGACUCAGUAUUUUUUGUUUUGUAUUAGAAUUCCUUUCCUUUAUGGAAUACAAUACAAUAUCAUUCUGAGCUUAAUUAACUAUUUGAAUUUUCCCUUCUUUUUAUCCCCCCGGGGGGAUAGGCUUCCAUACCAUAUAUCUAUAUAUGGAGUAUACUUGAUAUCAUGUCACUUAUGAAUUACAUGUGAUGUUAAUCCUUUUAUGCACCUUAUCUUGCUUAGAACGACGGUAGCAUUAUAAGGUGACCCCUCACUAAAAUUUUAAGAUAAAAUUGUGUUCUCCCCGACUGUGCACCAUUGCGAGAGUUCGUCGUUUCGAGACACCACGUGAUGAUCGGGUGUGAUAGACUCAACGUUCACAUACAACGGGUGCAAAACAGUUGCACACGCGGAACACUCGGGUUAAACUUGACGAGCCUAGCAUGUGCAGACGUGCCCUCUAAACGCAAGAGACCGAAAGGUCGAGCAUGAAUCGUAUAGUUGAUAUGAUUAGCAUAGAGAUGCUUACCACUGAAACUAUACUCAACUCACGUGAUGAUCGAACUUGAGUUAGUCGAUUUGGAUCAUGCACCACUCAAAUGACUAGAGAGAUGUAUUUUUUGAGUUGAGAGUUCUUAAGUAAUAUGAUUAAAUGAACUAAUUAUCAUGAACAUAGUCAAAAGGACUUUGCAAAUUAUGUUGUAGCUUGCGCUGUAGCUCUACUGUUUUUAUAUGUUCCUAGAGAAAUUUAUUUGUAAAGAUGAUAGUAGCAACUUUGCGGACUGAGUCCGUAAACUGAGGAUUGUCCUCAUUGCUGCGUAGAAUGCUUAUGUCCUUAAUGCACCACUCGGUGUGCUGCACCUCGAGCGUCGUCGGUGGAUGCUGCGAACAUCUGACAUACACGUUUUGAUGACUACGUGAUAGUUCAGUGCGUAAUACUUAACGGUUUAGAAGCAAGACGCCGAAUUCAUUUUGAACGUCACGGAACAUAAGAGAUGUUCUAUGAGAUGAAAUUGAGAUUUCAUGCUCGUGCCCUUGUUGAGAGGUAUGAGACCUCUGACAAGAUUCUUUGUCUACGAAGUAAAGGAGAAAAGCUCAAUCGUUGAGCAUGUGCUCAGAUUGUGUGAGUACAACAAUCGCUUAAAUCAAGUGAAAGUUAAUCUUCCAGAUGAGAUAGUGAUGGUUCUCCAAAGUCACUGCCACCAAGCUGCUAGAGCUUCGUGAUGAACUAUAACAUAUCAAGGAUAGAGAUGAUGAUCCUUGAGCGAUUUGCAAUGUUUGACGCUGCGAAAGUAGAAAUCAAGAAGGAGCAUCAAUAGUUGAUGGUUAGUAAAACCACUAAGUUUCAAGAAAGGCAAGGGCUAGAAGGGAUACUUCGUGAAACGGCAAAACAGUUGUUGCACUAAUGAAGAGACCCAAGAUUAAACCCAAACCCGAGACUAAGUGCUUCUGUAAUGAGGGGAACAGUCACUGAGGUGGAGCAACUCUAGAUACUUGGUAGAUAAGAAGGCUGGCAAAAGUCGAAAUAAGUAUAUUUGAUAUACAUGAUGUUGAUGUGUACUUUACUAGUACUCCUAGUAGCACGAGGGUAUUAGAUACCGGUUCGGUUGCUAAGUGAUUAGUGACACGAAAUGAAAGCUACGUCAUAAACGGAGACUAGCUAAAGGCGAGGUGACGAUACGUGUUGGAAGUGUUUCCAAGGUUGAUAUGAUCAAACGUCGCGCACUCCAUCUACCAUCGGGAUUGGUGUUAAACCUAAAUAAUUGUUAUUUGGUACUUGCGUUAAAGCAUGAACAUGAUUGGACCGUGUUUAUUGCAAUACGAUUAUUCAUUUAAAGAGAAUAAUGGUUACUCUAUUUGCUUGAAUAAAUCACCUUCAAUGGUUUAUUGAAUCUCGAUCGUAGUGUUACACAUGUUCAUAAUAUUGGUGCCAAAAGAUACGAGGUAAUGAUGAUAGUACCACUUACUUGUGGCACUAUCGCUUGAGUCAUGUUGGUAUAAAUUGCAUGAAGAGGCUCCAUGCUGAUGGAUCUUUAUACUCACUUGAUUUUGAAUCACUAGUGACAUGCAAAUCAUACCACAUGAGCAAGGCCUUGUUUUCAUUGAGAUGAAACAAGAUAGUAACUUGUUGGAAGUGAUACAUUUUGAUGUAUGCAGUCCAAUGGGUGCUGAGGCACGCAGUGGAUAUCAUUAUGUUCUUACUUCAAUGACGAUUUGAGCAGAUACAAGAGUAUUUACUUAAUGAAUCACAAGUCUGAAAUAUUGAAAAGGUUCAAAUCUGUUUCAGGAGUCAAGUUCGUCGUAACAAGAGGAUAAACUGUCUACGAUAUGAUCAUAGCAAUGAAUAUCUGAGUUACGAGUUUUGGUACGCAGUUAAGACAAUGUGGAAAUUGUUUCGCAGUUCAUGCCACCUGGAACAUCAUAGUGUGAUGAUGUGUCUGAACGUCAUAGCCACGCACUAUUUGGUAUGGUGCAUGCUAUGAUGUCUCUUAUCGAAUUACCACUAUCGUUUAUGGGUUAUGCAUUAGAGACAACCGCAUUCACUUUAAAUUGGGCACGGCGUAUUUCCGUUGAGAUGACACAGUGUAGACUGAGGUUUAGAGAAAUCUAAACUGUCGUUUCUUGAAAGUUUGGGGCUUCGACACUUGUGUGAAAAAGUUUCAGUCGAAUAAGCUCAAACCCAAAGCGGAUAAAUGCAUCUUCAUAGGAUAUCCAAAACAGUUGGGUACAUCUCCUAUCUCAGAUCCGAAAGCAAAGUGUUUGUUUCUAGAAACGGAUCCUUUCUCGAGGAAAGGUUUCUCUCAAAAGAAUUGAGUGGGAGGGUGGUAGAACUUAAUGAGGUUAUUGAACCAUCACUUCAACCAGUGUGUAGCAGGGCGCAGGAAGUUAUUCCUGUGGCGCCUACACCAAUUGAAGUGAAAGCUGAUGAUGGUGAUCAUCGAGCAUCGGAUCAAGUUACUACAAACCUCGUAGGUUGACAAGGUUGCGUACUACUUCAGAGUGGUACGGUAACCCUGUCUUGGAGGUCAUGUUGUUGAGCAACAGUGAACCUACGAGUUAUGGAGAAAGCAAUGGUGGGCCCGGAUUUUGACAAAUGGCUGGAAGCCAUGAAAUCCAAGAGAGGAUCCAUGUAUGAAAACAAAGUGUAGACUUUGGAAGAACUACUUGAUGGUCAUAGGACUGUUGAGUAAAGAUGGAUCUUUAAAAGGAAGACAGACGAUGAUGGUGAUAAGUCACUAUUAAGAAAAGCUCGACUUGUCGCAAAGAUGUUUCCGACAAGAUCAAACAGUUGACUAUGAUGAGACUUUCUCACUCGUAGCGAUGCUAAAAGUCUGUUAGAAUUAUGUUAGUAGUUGCUGCAUUAUUUAUGAAAUAUUGCACAUAGGAUGUCAAAACAUUGUUUCCUCGACGGUUUCCUUGAGCAAACAUUGUAUGUGAUACAACCAGGAGGUUUUGUCGAUCCUAAAGAUACUAACAAGUAUGCAAGCUCCAGCGAUCCUUCAAUGGACCGGUGCAAGCAUCUCGGAGUUGGAAUAUACACUUUGAUGAGAUGAUCAAAGAUUUUGGGUUUGUACAAGGUUUAUGAGAAACUUGUAUUUCCAAAGAAGUGAGUGGGAGCACUAUAGAAUUUCUGAUAAGUAUAUGUGGUUGACAUAUUGUGGAUUAGAAGUAAUGUAGAAUUUCUGUAAAGCAUACAAGGUUGUUUGAAAGGAGUUUUCAAAGGAGUACCUGGAUUGCGCUACUUGAAUGUUGAGCAUCAAAGAUCUAUGGAGAUAGAUCGAAAGCGCUUAAUGGAAGUUUCAACAAGAUGCAUGCCUUGACAAGUUUUUGAAGGAGUUCAAAAUAGAUCAGCAAAGAAGGAGUUAUUGGUUGCGUUGUGAGGUGUGAAUUUGAGUAAGACUCAAAACCCGACCCCGACAGAAUAAAGAGAAUAGAUGAAGGUCGUCUUCUAUGCCUUAGCCGUAGACUCUAAAGUAUGCCAUGCUGAGUACCGCACCUGAUGUGUGCCUUGCAGCUAAUCUGUUAAGAGGUACACAGAGUGAUCCAGGAUUGAAUCACUGAUCAGCGGUCAAAGUUAUCCUUAGUAACUGAUGGACUAAGUAAUUUUUCUCGAUUAUGGAGGUGGUUAAAGAGUUCGUCGUAAAGGGUUACGUCGAUGCAAGCUUUGACACUAAUCCGAAUAACUAUGAGUAGUGAAACGGAUUCGUAUAGUAGAGUAGAUAUUUGGAGUAUUUCCAAAUAGCACAUAGUAACUCCAUCUAUAAGAUGACAUAAAGAUUUGUAAAGAACACACGAAUCUGAAAGUUUCAGAACCGUUGAAGAAAACCUCUCUCACGAGCAAGACGUGAUCAGACCCCAUAACUAUAUGGGUGUUGGAUUCGUUGGAAUCACAUGGUGAUGUGAACUAGAUUAUUGACUCUAGUGCAGGUGGGAGACUGUUGGAAAUAUGCCCUAGAGGCAAUAAUAAAUUAGUUAUUAUUAUAUUUCUUUGUUCAUGAUAAUCGUUUAUUAUCCAUGCUAUAAUUGUAUUGAUUGGAAACACAGUGCAUGUGUGGAUACAUAGACAAAACACUGUCCCUAGUAAGCCUCUAGUUAACUAGCUCGUUGAUCAAAGAUGGUCAAGGUUUCCUGACCAUAGGCAAGUGUUGUCACUUGAUAACGGGAUCACAUCAUUAGGAGAAUCAUGUGAUGGACUAGACCCAAACUAAUAGACGUAGCAUGUUGAUCGUGUCAUUUUGUUGCUACUGUUUUCUGUGUGUCAAGUAUUUGUCCUAUGACCAUGAGAUCAUAUAACUCACUGACACCGGAGGAAUGCUUUGUGUGUAUCAAACGCCGCAACGUAACUGGGUGACUAUAAAGAUGCUCUACAGGUAUCUCCGAAGGUGUUCGUUGAGUUAGUAUGGAUCGAGACUGGGAUUUGUCACUCCGUGUGACGGAGAGGUAUCUCGGGGCCCACUCGGUAAUACAACAUCACACACAAGCCUUGCAAGCAAUGUGACUUAGUGUAAGUUGCGGGAUCUUGUAUUACGGAACGAGUAAAGAGACUUGCCGGUAAACGAGAUUGAAAUAGGUAUGCGGAUACUGACGAUCGAAUCUCGGGCAAGUAACAUAUCGAAGGACAAAGGGAAUGACAUACGGAAUUAUAUGAAUCCUUGACACUGAGGUUCAAACGAUAAGAUCUUCGUAGAAUAUGUAGGAUCCAAUAUGGGCAUCCAGGUCCCGCUAUUGGAUAUUGACCGAGGAGUCACUCGGGUCAUGUCUACAUAGUUCUCGAACCCGCAGGGUCUGCACACUUAAGGUUCGACGUUGUUUUAUGCGUAUUUGAGUUAUAUGGUUGGUUACCGAAUGUUGUUCGGAGUCCCGGAUGAGAUCGCGGACGUCACGAGGGUUUCCGGAAUGGUCCGGAAAGGAAGAUUGAUAUAUAGGAUGACUUCAUUUGGUUACCGGAAGGUUUUCGGGCAUUAUCGGUAAUGUACCGGGAAUGACGAAUGGGUUCCGGAUCUUCACCGGGAGGGGGGACCACCCACCCGGGAGGGCCCAAGGACCUUGGGGGUGGCGCACCAAGUAGGUGGGGUCAGCCCAAGGUUGUCUUGUGCAAGAGAAAGAAAAAACCAAAACAAGAGAAAGAAAAAAAAAAGGAAAGGUGGGAAAAGAGAGAAGGACUCCACCUUCCAAUCCUAGUUGGACUAGGAUUGGAGGAGGACUCCUCCUCCCCUUGGUGGCGCAGCCCUUGGGGCUCCUUGAGCCUCAAGGCAAGCCUCCCCUCCCUCCUCCUAUAUAUAUGGAGCAAUUAGGGCUUAUUUGAGACAACUUUUUCAAGGCAGCCCAACCACAUACCUCCACGGUUUUACCUCUAGAUCGCGUUUCUGCGGAGCUCAGACGGAACCCUGCCGAGAUUAGAUCACCACCAACCUCCGGAGCGCCGUCAUGCUGCCGGAGAACUCAUCUACCUCUCCAUCUCUCUUGCUGGAUCAAGAAGGCCGAGAUCAUCGUUGAGCUGUACGUGUGCUGAACGCGGAGGUGUUGUCCGUUCGGCACUAGAUCGUGGGACGGAUCGCGGGACGGUUCGUGGGACGGUUCGCGGGGCGGAUCGAGGGACGUGAGGACGUUCCACUAUAUCAACCGCGUUCACUAACGCUUCUGUUGUGCGAUCUACAAGGGUACGUAGAUCGGAAAUCCCCUCUCGUAGAUGGACAUCACCAUGAUAGGUCUUCGUGCGCGUAGGAAAUUUUUUGUUUCCCAUGCAACGUUCCCCAAUAGUGGCAUCUUGAGCUAGGUUCAUGCGUAGAUGUAAUCUCGAGUAGAACACAAAAGUUUUUGUGGGCGGUGAUGUGCGUUUUGCUGCCCUCCUUAGUCUUUUCUUGAUCUCGCGGUAUUGUUGGAUCGAAGCGGCUCGGACCGACAUUACUCGUACGCUUACGAGAGACUGGUUUCAUGGCUACGAGUAACUCUGUUGCUCAAAGAUGACUGGCAAGUGUCGGUUUCUCCAACUUUAGUUGAAUCGGAUUUGACCGAGGAGGUCCUUGGAUGAGGUUAAAUAGCAAUUCAUACAUCUCCGUUGUGGUGUUUGCGUAAGUAAGAUGCGAUCCUACUAGAUACCCAUGGUCACCACGUAAAACAUGCAACAACAAUUAGAGGACAUCUAACUUGUUUUUGCAGGGUAUGCUUGUGAUGUGAUAUGGCCAACGAUGUGAUGUGAUAUAUUGGAUGUAUGAGAUGAUCAUGUUGUAAUAGUUAAUAUCGACUUGCACGUCGAUGGUACGGCAACCGGCAAGAGCCAUAGGGUUGUCUUUAAACUAACAUUUGUGCUUGCAGAUGCGUUUACUAUAUUGCUAGGACGUAGCUUUAGUAGUAAUAGCAUGAGUAGCACGACAACCCCGAUGGCGACACGUUGAUGGAGAUCAUGGUGUGACGCUGGUGACAAGAAGAUCGUGCCGGUGCUUUGGUGAUGGAGAUCAAGAAGCACAUGAUGAUGGCCAUAUCAUGUCAUUUAUGAAUUGCAUGUGAUGUUAAUCCUUUAUGCACCUUAUCUUGCUUAGAACGACGGUAGCAUUAUGAGGUGAUCUCUCACUAAAAUUUCAAGACAAAAUUAUAUUCUCCCCGACUGUGCACCGUUGCGACAGUUCUUCGUUUCGAGACACCACGUGAUGAUCGGGUGUGAUAGACUCAACGUUCACAUACAACGGGUGCAAAAUAGUUGCACACGCGGAACACUCGGGUUAAGCUUGACGAGCCUAGCAUGUGCAGACAUGGCCUCGGAACACAUGAGACCGAAAGGUCGAGCAUGAAUCGUAUAGUUGAUAUGAUUAGCAUAGAGAUGCUUACCACUGAAACUAUUCUCGACUCACGUGAUGAUCGGACUUGAGAUAGUGGAUUUGGAUCAUGUACCACUCAAAUGACUAGAGAGAUGUACUUUUUGAGUGGGAGUUCUUAAGUAAUAUUAUUAAUUGAACUAAUUGUCAUGAACAUAGUUUGAUGGUCUUUGCGAAUUACGAUGUAGCUUGCGCUAUAGCUCUACUGUUUUAUAUGUUCCUAGAGAAAAUUUAGUUGAAAGUUGAUAGUAGCAAACUUUGCAGAGGAUUGUCCUCGUUGCUACGCAGAAGGCUUAUGUCCUUAAUGCACCACUCGGUGUGCUGCACCUCGAGCGUCGUCUGUGGAUGUUGUGAACAUCCGACAUACACGUUUCUGAUGAAUACACGAUAGUUCAGUGCAAAAUACUUAAUGGCUUAGAAGCAAGGCGCCGAAGACGUUUUGAAACGUCACGGAACAUAAGUGAUGUUCUAAAGAGAUGAAAUUGUGAUUUCAUGCUUGUGCCCUUGUUAAGAGGUACGAGACCUCCGACAAGAUUCUUUGUUCACAAAGUAAAGGAGAAAAGCUCAAUCGUUGAGCAUGUGCUCAGAUUGUCUGAGUACGACAAUCGCUUGAAUCAAGUGGGAGUUAAUCUUCCAGAUGAGAUAGUGAUGGUUCUUCAAAGUCACUGCCACCAAGCUGUGAGAGCUUCGUGAUGAACUAUAACAUAUCAAGGAUAGAUACAAUGAUCCUUGAGCGAUUCACGAUGUUUGACACUGCCAAAGUAGAAAUCAAGAAGGAGCAUCAAUAGUUGAUGGUUAGUAAAACCACUAAGUUUCAAGAAAGGCAAGGGCUAGAAGGGAUACUUCGUGAAACGGCAAAACAGUUGUUGCACUANNNNNNNNNNNNNNNNNNNNNNNNNNNNNNNNNNNNNNNNNNNNNNNNNNNNNNNNNNNNNNNNNNNNNNNNNNNNNNNNNNNNNNNNNNNNNNNNNNNNAAAACCUUGAAUAUUUUUUGAAAACCCUGAACAUUUUUCUAAAAAGAAAAAACAAUUUUCGAAGUUAAAGGUCAACUUGACUUCUGGGCCCAGCAUGUCAGAAAGACGUUUAGAAAAGGUUAAUGGAGCAGUUUUCACACAUGGUAGUUUUUUUGCCACUGAUUAGAAUAAAAGUGGUAGUUUUCGGCACAAAAACGUAUAGUGGUAGUUUCUCGGCACGUUUCCAUGAAUGUGGUAGUUUUUGGUUAAAUACUCGCCUCGAGCUUACCCCAUGAGAACUGCUGCUGCUUCAAAGACUCCAAGAAUUGUUGAAAUUUUUUGAUGUUCCUUUGAAUGGUGCAUUUUGAACACACAAAAAGUAUGGAGUUCAAAUAAGUUCAAAAAAAAUGAAACCCCUUAGUAACAGAUGAGUUCUCGUUCGAAACCGUGAUACUUCGAGAGAGAUUGUCCGUUUUGUACUACGAAGUGCAUCCAGUUUUUGUCGUAACCCUCUCAACUCUUUAGCACAUGCUAUGUAGGUGAAAUGAUUAUACCAUGCCAACUUUCAUCAUUUUCAGAGUUCAUUUGUAGUGCUUUUCAAUUUCUGGGUCAACUAGACUCAAAAAAUAAGUAAAUGCACGAAAAAUACCAAAUGAAGUCAGAAAUUGUUGAAAUUUUGUGAUGUGCCUUUGAAUGGUGCAUUUUGAACACACAAAAAGUAUGGAGUUCAAAUAAGUUCAAAAAAAUGAAAUCCCUUUGUAAGAGAUGAGUUCUUGUUCGAAACCCUGAUACUUCGAGAGAGAUUGUCCGUUUUGUACACGAAGUGCAUCCAGUUUUUGUCGUAGCCAUCUCAACUUUUUAACACAUGCUAUNNNNNNNNNNNNNNNNNNNNNNNNNNNNNNNNNNNNNNNNNNNNNNNNNNNNNNNNNNNNNNNNNNNNNNNNNNNNNNNNNNNNNNNNNNNNNNNNNNNNUGUUAAGUGCCUUUGAAUGAUGCAUUUUGAACAUACAAAAAAGUAUGGAGUUCAAAUAAGUUCAAAAAAAAUGAAAUCCCCUUUGUAUCAGAUGAGUUCUCGUUCGAAACCGUGAUACUUCGAGAGAGAUUGUCCGUUUUGUAUAUGAAGUGCAUCCAGUUUUUGUCGUAACCCUCUCAACUUUUUAGCACAUUCUAUGUGGGUGAAAUGAUGAUACCAUGCCAACUUUCAACAUUUUCAAAGUUCAUUUGUAGUGCUUUUCAAUUUUAGGGUCAACUAGCUUAAAAAAUAAGUAAAUGCACGAAAAAUACCAAAUGAAGUCAGAUAAUAUUUUCCAAUGUUUAAAAAAAAUAUUUAAUAGAAAACAAAAAAGGAGUCAACUAAUUAAAAAGAAUCAACUAAAACAUUAACUAAAAUGAAUGAAUUAAAAAUAAUCAACUAAAAUUAUCAAAGUGCUUAUUUGUUAAAAAGAAUCAAGUAAAACAUUAACUAAAAAGAAACAAAAAAAGAUCAACUCAAAAGAAUUUUCAUAAAGUUUUUUGGUUAAAAUAUAGAAACUAAAAUAGAAGAGAAAAAAAUGUUUAAUAGCAAAAAAUGAAAGUAAAGUUAUUCACAAAUUUCAAAGAAUUCAAAUUUGAAAACUAAAUAUUUAGCUGUAAGUAGAAAAAAACAAAAUAAAUAAAGGAAAGAACAAAAAUAAUGAAUUUUAUUUUGAGACUAUAUGAAAAUUUAUAGAGGAAAUUCAACCCAAAUUCAAAGUGAUUCACUUUGAAUUCAGGUUAAAUUUUGUCUUUAACUUCACAUAUAUUUUCAAAUUUUAAAUUUAUAAUGCGCUUAGGCUCAAAAGAAUUUUCAUAAAGUUUUUUGGUUAAAAUCUUUAAUAUAAAACUAAAAUAGAAGAGAAAAAAUAAUCUUUAAUAGCAAAAAAUGAAAGUAAAGUUAUUCACAAAUUUCAAAGAAUUCAAAUUUGAAAACUAAAUAUUUAGCUGUAAGUAGAAAAAUAAAAUAAAUAAAAGCAAAGAACAAAACAAAAAUAAUGGAAAAAAAUUGAAAUUAUAUGAGAAUUUAUAGAGAAAAUUCAACCGAAAUUUAAAGUGAUUCACUUUGAAUUUAGGUUUAAUUUUGUCUUUACUUUCACAUAUAUUUUUAAUUUUUAAUUUUAGAGUGCGUUUAGGCCCGUAAGCCUGCUUUAGAGAGGAACUCGAGACGGUUGGGGGCAGCUGGGCUUAUAAACCAGUCGCAGCGUCUCUCGACAAACGAGGUUGGUGCGAACUUUGAACUGCCGCCAGCCUAAGGUCUUUAGUCCCGGGUCGUGGUGCGAACCGGGACUAAAGACCACCUUUAGUCCCGGGUCGUGGUGCGAAUCGGGACUAAAGACCACCUUUAGUCCCGGGUCAAGCCACGAACCGGGACUGAAGACCCUCGUUUNNNNNNNNNNNNNNNNNNNNNNNNNNNNNNNNNNNNNNNNNNNNNNNNNNNNNNNNNNNNNNNNNNNNNNNNNNNNNNNNNNNNNNNNNNNNNNNNNNNNNNNNNNNNNNNNNNNNNNNNNNNNNNNNNNNNNNNNNNNNNNNNNNNNNNNNNNNNNNNNNNNNNNNNNNNNNNNNNNNNNNNNNNNNNNNNNNNNNNNNNNNNNNNNNNNNNNNNNNNNNNNNNNNNNNNNNNNNNNNNNNNNNNNNNNNNNNNNNNNNNNNNNNNNNNNNNNNNNNNNNNNNNNNNNNNNNNNNNNNNNNNNNNNNNNNNNNNNNNNNNNNNNNNNNNNNNNNNNNNNNNNNNNNNNNNNNNNNNNNNNNNNNNNNNNNNNNNNNNNNNNNNNNNNNNNNNNNNNNNNNNNNNNNNNNNNNNNNNNNNNNNNNNNNNNNNNNNNNNNNNNNNNNNNNNNNNNNNNNNNNNNNNNNNNNNNNNNNNNNNNNNNNNNNNNNNNNNNNNNNNNNNNNNNNNNNNNNNNNNNNNNNNNNNNNNNNNNNNNNNNNNNNNNNNNNNNNNNNNNNNNNNNNNNNNNNNNNNNNNNNNNNNNNNNNNNNNNNNNNNNNNNNNNNNNNNNNNNNNNNNNNNNNNNNNNNNNNNNNNNNNNNNNNNNNNNNNNNNNNNNNNNNNNNNNNNNNNUAUAUAUAUAUAUAUAUAUAUAUAUAUAUGAACCAUGGAGCAAGCAUUCCAUUGUGAUCAAGGCAACAGUCCCACUUGAAAGAAAUACCACACAUCACUUUUGAUCCUUAGUAAUGAUGGCCAAACACACGAGGAAUGGUGUCCAAGCAGUUAUACUAGUUUCUUUUGUCCUUGUGGUGUGCUUUUCCUGUCUGGGAUGCACAAAUGGUAAUUUAUAGCUAAAGUUUGUUUCAUUCGGACAUAAAUUGCUGGAAUAGAUUGUUUAUGUCAAGACGAUGAGUCUAUUCUUUGUUUUAUGUUAAUCAGGUGAAAGCAUAAACGGCAAGAGGAGCAACGGGAUGAUCGAAGUGAGCCAAGUAGUCCGCCCCCCUUGUUACAAAGACCAUCACCAGCCCCCAGAAUUGCAAUAUUGUUGUCACACGGAUAAGAUAUGUUGGAUAGACCUUGGGGAAUGCUUCACAAACUGCCCGUGCAAGAUCAAUUGCCCACUGCCACCAGCAGCACAGUAGUUGUGUCAUCUCUCAUUCUUUGGCUUAAUAAAUCCCAACCUUAUGGACCCUGAGAUAAUCAUGUGUUGAUCAGCUAGCAAAUUUGCUAGAGAAAAAUAAUCCAGAAAUUACAUAUGCGGUUUAAAUAUUUAAUAAAAAACUACUGAGUUGCUCCCCUUACUUUUAUUUGUUUGAAACGGUGGAUCAACCCCCGACCUGUGCAUAUGAAUGAUGCAUGCAUCCAUAUUAUUAAGCAAAAGGUCGCACAAAUGGUACUAUGUGAUUGCUGCGUUCCUUAAUGGCACCUGCACAUCGAGGACCACCUCUAGCACGGACUUUCCGCGGUCGCGCGCGCUGAGCUUGGCAAUCUGUGUGUGCGCGCCCGCGCCAUGUGGGCUCCGGUCGUGCCAGGUGUGCCUACUACCCCAUCGGUGAAAGAGAGGUGCCUCGAUAGCGUCCUGACGAGCCAUCUCAAUAUCUCUUGCGUGCCACGGUCUGCAUCACCAUCCUCUGGAACGUCUGGAAGAGUCACGAUGCCAAGGUCUUUCGUGAUCAGCAUUCCACCCCCCUCUAUUGGUGCAUGCAAUAUNNNNNNNNNNNNNNNNNNNNNNNNNNNNNNNNNNNNNNNNNNNNNNNNNNNNNNNNNNNNNNNNNNNNNNNNNNNNNNNNNNNNNNNNNNNNNNNNNNNNNNNNNNNNNNNNNNNNNNNNNNNNNNNNNNNNNNNNNNNNNNNNNNNNNNNNNNNNNNNNNNNNNNNNNNNNNNNNNNNNNNNNNNNNNNNNNNNNNNNNNNNNNNNNNNNNNNNNNNNNNNNNNNNNNNNNNNNNNNNNNNNNNNNNNNNNNNNNNNNNNNNNNNNNNNNNNNNNNNNNNNNNNNNNNNNNNNNNNNNNNNNNNNNNNNNNNNNNNNNNNNNNNNNNNNNNNNNNNNNNNNNNNNNNNNNNNNNNNNNNNNNNNNNNNNNNNNNNNNNNNNNNNNNNNNNNNNNNNNNNNNNNNNNNNNNNNNNNNNNNNNNNNNNNNNNNNNNNNNNNNNNNNNNNNNNNNNNNNNNNNNNNNNNNNNNNNNNNNNNNNNNNNNNNNNNNNNNNNNNNNNNNNNNNNNNNNNNNNNNNNNNNNNNNNNNNNNNNNNNNNNNNNNNNNNNNNNNNNNNNNNNNNNNNNNNNNNNNNNNNNNNNNNNNNNNNNNNNNNNNNNNNNNNNNNNNNNNNNNNNNNNNNNNNNNNNNNNNNNNNNNNNNNNNNNNNNNNNNNNNNNNNNNNNNNNNNNNNNNNNNNNNNNNNNNNNNNNNNNNNNNNNNNNNNNNNNNNNNNNNNNNNNNNNNNNNNNNNNNNNNNNNNNNNNNNNNNNNNNNNNNNNNNNNNNNNNNNNNNNNNNNNNNNNNNNNNNNNNNNNNNNNNNNNNNNNNNNNNNNNNNNNNNNNNNNNNNNNNNNNNNNNNNNNNNNNNNNNNNNNNNNNNNNNNNNNNNNNNNNNNNNNNNNNNNNNNNNNNNNNNNNNNNNNNNNNNNNNNNNNNNNNNNNNNNNNNNNNNNNNNNNNNNNNNNNNNNNNNNNNNNNNNNNNNNNNNNNNNNNNNNNNNNNNNNNNNNNNNNNNNNNNNNNNNNNNNNNNNNNNNNNNNNNNNNNNNNNNNNNNNNNNNNNNNNNNNNNNNNNNNNNNNNNNNNNNNNNNNNNNNNNNNNNNNNNNNNNNNNNNNNNNNNNNNNNNNNNNNNNNNNNNNNNNNNNNNNNNNNNNNNNNNNNNNNNNNNNNNNNNNNNNNNNNNNNNNNNNNNNNNNNNNNNNNNNNNNNNNNNNNNNNNNNNNNNNNNNNNNNNNNNNNNNNNNNNNNNNNNNNNNNNNNNNNNNNNNNNNNNNNNNNNNNNNNNNNNNNNNNNNNNNNNNNNNCUCGCAUGGCAAAGAGACCACGAUGAAAGCUCUUUACUGCCUCGAGGAUGGUGCCUUCAUGCACUUAAAGGUCCCCGAGAUCAUCAUCGGCGGCCACGACGGCGGCUGGAUCGCAGGCGUAGCCUUAUCAGGUCUGGUCAGGAUCGUAAACCUUUUCUCUGGCGCCGAGGUCGCACUCGACGAGAAGAAGGCCACGAUAGUCUGCCCGAGCCCGCACCAUGCCCGCGGCAACCCGGUGGUCAUCUCGAGAGUUGUCUUCUCCGCGGCGCCCACCUCGUCCCUAUGUAUCCUUGCCGCCGUAACACAAAAUUGUGGCAUCGCGCUCUGCAAAAUCGGUUGUCCGAACAAUGGGUGGGCGGUACAAGGAUGCCAUAAUAAUAACAGACAGCUUGUCGACAUCACGUUCUGCAAUGGUAAGCUCUAUGGCCUAUAUAGCAAGAGGAAACUCGUAAGGUUUGAGAUUCGGGUGGGCGAAGGUGGCGCCCCAAGGAUCACCGCGGAACACCAGCUUGUCAUGCGAAGGAUCGACCGCACCAUCCGUACGGACGACUACCGGGACAUUGCUAGUUACAUCUUUAAUCUAGAUGGCAAGCUUGCCAUGGCGUUGAAGGCCCGGUGGUUGCCAAACAUCCCGCCGUUCUUCAAGGUGUUCAAGCUUGUUGACGUCCACAUGGUUAAAAGCAAGACACAUUAUUACAAGGACAAGUGGAUGGAGGUCACAAGCUUGGGUGACCAAUCAUUGUUUCUAGGGAAGUCAUUCUCUAAGGCAGUGCAUGUGCCAGCAAACAUGUGUGGCCUCGUCGAAAGAAACCGCAUCUAUUACUCACAUUAUUGUUGGUUAGGUAUAAACACCAACAUCCCAAGUGACAAGGUAUUCUUGAAAAUCUCGAACGGCAGUGGCAGCAUGACAUGCUACAAGGAAGAUGACUCGAAGAACACCAUCACCGACGAUGACGAUGCCAUGAAGAGGAUCAUGUCGGUAGGAUACUUCAUGCAGGGUGGUUUACAUGGUGGCAUGUGGAUUUUCCCUCCAAAUAUGCAUCUAGUCUAGACUGUGAUAUUAGCGCAUUAAUUUUUCUAUAAUAACAGAUAUCAUAUACUUACCUCGGAAGUAGGAGAAAAGAAUAAUAGAAGACAUAUAACAUGUUUAUGUGUCAUUUUUGUAGACAGACGGCAGUCUUAUAAAUGGAUAAAAGAUUCAAUGAAUAGCUCUUUUUCUUGUGAGCAUUAUGAAGGUUUGGAACAUUUUGGUAGAAAACAGGAAGUUUAGAAAACUGAAUCCAAAUACGGGGUCAAAAUGUUUGUAUCUUACCACCAGCACGGUAUAUAGUAUCUGAACUUUAUUUGUGGGGCUUCUGCGAUUUUCAAAAACAAUAGAGACUGAAGAAUCUUGUAUUGGAUCGGUUCGGAAGGCAUGGAAAAGGAAAAUUGAGGGGUUGACACUUUAUAUAAGGUCUUAUGGCAUUGUACGUACUUACCACCUUUAUCGUUGUAGAAAUUGGCUCCUGAACCUCUUCUUUUGGAGGGUCAUCUCACCAUCAGUUAAGCAUAUUUUUUUUUGGCAAUAAUCUUGUCCUCAUGCAAAUAGGUUUGCUGGAUGUGGUCAUACUUUGCUCUAUCAGGUUGCAUGGACUUCUGGGUAACAAAGCCCUUCGUAUCAGUCCCGCGAAACCUUCACAAACUCUCACAACAAAAGACAUGGAUCUCUAGAAAUUCAUGUCUUAAUAAGAAUAAACAACAUUGAGUUAUUUACUGUAAAGUAGUAACCUAUGAUGCUGACUCCCCCCCCCCCCCCCACACAGUAGAUCACGGUCCUCUCGAUGCUAGGAUAGUCGCCCGACGAAAAUUCCUCCCUUGACGAUGGAUUAUGGCCAGCAUCCUUGCAUUAUCCACGCUGCUCAUGUAUUCAGCGUGUCUAAAGGCAGCAGCGUAGCACAUUAGCUCAAGGUUCGAGGGAAAGGAACAAAACCCACACUACAUAGGCAUAUUUAUCAUAUAUGAAACACAACAGUGGUACCGUUAUGUACGGUGAUACAUAGGCAUAUUUAUCAUAUAUGAAUAUAUGAAACCCACACUACAUAGGCGAGCACCGGAGAAAGGGCAGCAACGGAGUGAAGUCAGAAGCCAUGCACCAUUUGCCUAGCACCAGGCUUGUCAAGUUGCAGAACACCAUCGGGUAUGUUUGCAAACCCCUCCCGCGUGUGAGUCUCUCUAUUUAUCAUAGAUGAAGGCUAGUUAAAACAGUAGUACAACAUACAACAGGGGGAAAUAGUUUGUAAAAGUAGAUGGUGCCUAGAAUUGAUAUCAAGUGGCAACUAAUACUGGAAAAAUCUGGCAAGGCAAUCCAUGAUAUUCAGCUUUUUUUUUGACAAGGAGGAACGAGCCCCCGUCCUCUGCAUCAAUCUAUGCAUGCAGCCAUAUUAUUAAACAAGAUCAAAACAAGGUCUUAGAUCCACAAGGCACUCAUGCGCUGCUGAAAAAAAGUACGAAAAAGGAAAAUAAACUAGCCACAUCCGGCGUAACUAAGAGUAGACUACGAUGCAUAUACACUUAGUCUAUUAGUAGCACGUCAUCCAAAUCAGUUGAAGAUAACCCGUGCGACCAUCUCCCACGAGUUGCCCCAGUAGCCAUUAGCUCCCCGGAGUCCGCAUGGCUGAGAGGGUCCUUGGAUACGUUUUAGUCCCAUGACUAAAAGUAGUGGGACUAAAACUUGCUAGCCUCAUCCAUGAUUGGAUUCAAAUACUGAAGAGACUAAAAUCAAGUUAAUGAGCAUUUAUUAUCCUCCAAACCUUCCAAUCCAGAACUUACCUGUGUUAAAGAAGAGAAGUUAAAUAAGGAGAGAGAUGACUAAUUCACAUUUUAGUAGGGGUACCCCUGACUAAAAGAUUUUAGUUUCAAGACUAGUUUUAGCCCCUCUUUAGUCAGGGGUGCUUGGAACUUUAGCUUUUUAAAGAGACUAUUUUUAGUCAGACUAAAAUAAGCCCCUUGGAUCCAAGCACCCUCUGAGUAACGAUCACGUAUAGAUCCAAGUCGUUGCUCUGAAGAUAUCCUGACAAAAAGUUUAUUAAAAUUCUUGCCAUUAAAAAGACAUAUCAUUCCUGGUAUUCCAUAUAGCCCAAAAUAAAGCACAUAUACCAAUCCGGAUAAGAUUCCCUAUAUUAACGUCCACUCCAUCGAGUCACAUUCGAAAUAACGAACUAAUGCAUAUUGGUGGGUUAACAUUAAAGGCUAUAUGAACAGUUGGCCAUAAUAGUUUUGCAUGAAGAUAAUCUAGAAAGAGGUGUCUUAUUGUUUCAUUUUGAUCACAAUAGCAACAAUUUUGAUCACAUGUUGCCAUUUUGAUCACAAAUGGCAAGAUAAUAAUGUUAUGCAGAAUUGUCAAGGACUAGCCCUGUGCAAAGGCAUGGGUUCGCGACUAGUCAUACAUAAUUUGACAAAAAGUGGAGCCCUUUUCCUCUGUGACUUGAAACGAAUCAACAACCAUGCUCAGCCAUGACAAAGAUGAUAAAUCACCCUGUUUGUUUGAGUAACAAAAACCUAUCUUCUCAUUUGCCUCCUCAUCGGGCAUGAUCGGCAGCUGGUUGUCCUCCGGUGUUUUUUUGCUCCACGUCCGGCGACCAGUAGUCCUCCACUUGUCCGUCUUCGUGGCUGCCGCCAUUUUUUUCAAAAAGAAGUAUAUAUCCCCGGCCUCUGCAUCUAGACGAUACAUGCAAUCAUUUUAUUAAUUAUUUUUAAAAAUCUUACAAAGAAAUACACCAGUAAGCCUGAAGUCACCAUCUUGACAACAUAUACCUCUACUCCUAUCUUCAUGAUGAAGGUGUGCCGAAUGUCUGAGCCUAAUACCGAACACACAUCGCACCUAACCCUAACUUCUAAAGCCGGAUGCCCUAGCCCAGCCACAUACCGGGACUGGGUCCAAACCGAUCCGGUGCGCACAGGCCGUCGCCGUCGUCUUCCACCAACCCAUCUCUAUAGCUGGUACUGAUGCAGCGACCUUGCCAGGCCUGCCGUCGACGCCACCGCGGUGUCAGACAGCUCCACCAUACUGCACGUAUUCAUUCACACGCGGUCGCCGGUGAAACUCCGCAACACCAUGCCGUCGGGAUCCGCCACCGGCCUUGCGAUGAAUGUAACACCGCUCUUCCUCUUGUCCCCUCCAGCCAGCACCUGCUCCAAAACGAUGCCUCCAGGAGGGAGAACGACACCGAAAGCAUCGUCAUCGUCCGAUCCGGUAGACCCAGAUCUAGGGUUUCCCCUGAAACAUCCCGAUCAAGUUGACGUGCCCUGCAACGACGAUGCCUCGGGAAGGGAACGACGUCCGAGGUGCCGCCAUCGUCCGCCAAGACCGCAGUCGGGUACUAUUUUCACCGGAAGCCACGUCGUCCCGAUCUCGCGGCUGGCUGGAACCGCGCGGAGCCUCAUCAUGAAAACAUAUGCCGCCGUCGGUAUUUCGGUAGAGAUCCUUCAUCCCCUCACCAGUCCCUCCACGUGCCGCCGCCAUUAUGGAGAAGGCUUAUCAUCGCCUCGUUGGUGGGUGGCGUCGAGAUUGGGGGAGGCAUUCGAUCGAAUAGUGUUCUGGCUCCGUCAGACAAAGUGAGAUUGGGGGAGGCAUUCGAUCGAAUAGUGUUCUGGCUCCGUCAGACAAAGGAUCCUCGGACGGAAACCGCGAUCAGACGAGUUUCAGCGACUCGAUGAACAUGUAGUAAAUGUUAGGUUGACAUUGUACGGUGGAGGAUAGCCCGAAGUGGAGGUGGAGGAAGAGGCAAAGUGCUGUCCUGGCGGCAUCGACACAACUGUCCACUUUGGAGUCGGAGCUCCGGCAUAAACGACAACCAACGUCUUCUUCUUCGCCCGCAUCCUCAUGUGCGGCUCUUGCCGUACAACGGCUACGGCCAUGCGCACGGUCUUCUCUGCGCCGGCGACUGGAUGACGGGUUUUACGCGGAAAUAGUGAGGCGAUUUUCCAAGUGCGUGGGCUAUGUGUAGGGUUUUGAUUUGAUCCUGGGUGUCGGAGUCCGAUGUGACACAUGUUUGGACGUCUAUACCGAUCGGCAUUUGAUGGAAAAUGUCAUAUUGUACAGUGGCUUAGAUGUUGAUGUAACUGCGGUUGGGUCAUGCGCUGAAGCCUCGUGCUUCUGCUGGUGUACAGAUGAAGAAAGCCCAGGACUGCCUGGCUCUGCUCCCCUCGGGCGACGCUAGGGCCCCCCAAACCCCAGGGCCGGCCGUGAGGGGGGGCAGGGGGGGCGGCCGCCCCGGGCCCCCAAAAUCUAGGGGCCCCCAAGGUAUGUAUGCAGGCUGUAUGUAGUCUAGACUAGGCCUUGGCCCAUACUACUGAAAUCGUAAGCCUGAACUAAGAAAAGGAAACUGGCAAUCCGCGGCUGUCGAUCGCUCGAGAGAUUCCCACAAAAAAAGGAAACGAGCGAUUUGCGGCUGGACGGUUCCUUUUCCAACUACCGACUUCUCGAGCCCUAGCUACAGGCCGUCGACGACGUCGCUGUAGUGACCGUACGCCUGUACACGCAGCAGCCAGUAAAGGAGAGACGCGCGCAGCAGCCUGCCUGUAGGAGAGACGCCCACAGCAGCCCUACAGCCUGGAGGAGAGACACAUGCAACUCUACACUACUCGUCCAGGUAAUUGGCUAAUUGUCUUCCUGAAUCCUGAUCUGAAACGUACGAUCUACAGAAAUCAGUAUGCCCUGUUUAAUUCCUCUCCUCUUAUUCAUGUGCAGAACUGCAUACUAUAGACACGUAUAGUACAGACUAUUGAAAAUCUGAAAUUUAGACCAUUAAGACUCAAGACAUGAGGAUUCAGGAUCAGGUACUGAGGUAUGUUAUUCUUACAACAGAUUUUUUUGGGUUCAGAACUGGCACCGUUCAACAACUGAUGUAACAUUUUCUUUUGUUUUUAGCAUCGUUUUUGUUGUCAUGCCGGCCAGCAAUAGGAAAUAUACAUCAGAUAGUGAGAAAAGGGAAAAAAGGCCUCAAGCCAAGUAAUAUUGGUGCUUCGAGUACUUCGUCAAACUCAGAUGAUGCGUUGGCGAUUGUUGCCAUAGUGAAAGAGUAACCGACUUAUGAAAAUUCAGACUCUAAUCAGCAAGAAGAAAAUAUCAACUCCAACAUCGGCGAUAGCAACGUAAGUAUCUCCAUUGCCUAUUGCAUCUUAUUUACUGUGCCUGUGACGGUUGCUUCGGCUGACAGAAGAUUUUCAAAGUUGAAGUUAUUAAAGAAUUAUUUGAGGUCAACAAUGACUCAAGGGAGGUUAAAUGGUUUGGCUACAUUAUGCAUCGAGAAGAAAUUAUUGGAUGAUAUUGACAUCAACCCCAUCAUAAGUGACUUUGCGUCGAGGAAUGUUAAAAGAAAAUUUUAAGAUAAUAUGUAUAAAUUAUUUGCUACGCAUACUGAUUUUGCUAGCAUCUAAAUGUUCCUGGUAAUAAUUUAUAUAUACAUUUUCAGACAACUAUAUACUCCCUCCGUUCCUAAAUAUAAGUCUUUUAAGCGAUUUCACUAAGGGUCUACAUACGGAGCAAAAUGAUUGAAUAUAUAAUUUAAAGCAUGGUCUAUAUACAUCCGUAUGUAGUUCACUAGUGAAAUCUCUAGAAAGACUUACAUUUAGGAACGGAGGGAGUAUAUGUUUUUUUAGGGAAAUUAUAUCUAUUAAAGGCUCCCGAUUUUUACUUUGCCCCGGACCCCCGAAUUCUCAAGACCGGCCCUGCCAAACCCUAGCCUCCAGAGCUUCUUCCUCCUUCCCCGGCCGCCGCUGACGCCGGCAAGGGCCGCGGUGGCGGCGGGCCCUGCGCCUUAGAGCCAGGGCGGGUGAUGCCGCGGAGCCCCAGCGAGGCGGAGGGGCCGUCGCGCGCGGGGAAGACGGGGGCGGCGGUCAGGGCGGCGGACCUGAUGAGCGGCGGACGGGGGCGGCGGUCAGGGCGGCGGACCUGAUGUGCGGCGGCGUUCGUGGCCCCAUGACCGGCCGUGGUCAUGUUGGAUGGCGGUGGAGGCGCUCCAUCCGGCGAGGGCAGUGGCUGUGCGCAAGGGCGGUCAUCGAGGGCUGCGGAUCUGGCGUUUCCUGUCCAGAUCCGUCCCGGCUUGGACUUUUUCGGCCGGUGGCGCGAGGAGGAUCGGUGUGGGGCGGCUGGAGGCCCCUGCUGGCAUGCCGACGACAGUCUUCGUCUACAUGACGUGCCUCCCUAGGUUCCAUCCAGCCACGAGAUCGGGGGGUCGCGACUUCCGGUGAAAACCGCGCCGACCUCGGUCAUGGCGGCGUCUAGGACGUCGUUACCAGCCCAUGGCAUCGUUGUUGCAGGUCGUGGCACCACACUCGUGAUGCUCCGAGGGAAACCUUAGAUCUGGAUCUACCGGUCGGACAAUGAUGGCAUCUUCGAUGUCGUUUCCCUCCUGAGGGCAUCGUUUUGGAGUACGUGCUGGGUGGACGGGACAAGAGGAGGAGUGGUGUUUGAUCUACCGUGAGCCAUACGGUGUAGCCCGGUGGCAUGGCGCUGCGGUGGUUCGUUGACAGGCAUGUGUAGGCGGAUAUGUGCAGGACGGUGGCGCUGUCUGGCACCGUGGUGGCGUGGACGGCAGACCUCGCAAGGAUGAUGCGUUUGUUCUAGCUCUGGAGAGGGUACGGUGGUAGAUGGUGGAGGCGACCUCUGCGCCGGACCAGUUUGGGAUCCAGUCUCAGUGGUGGCUGGGCUGGAGCAUCAGACUAUAGAUGUUAGGAUUUGGUGCGAUAUCUGUUUGGUAUUUGACCCGGAUAUUCAGCACACCUUCAUCAAGGAAUAGGAGUAGCAACAUGUGUUGUCUAGAUGGUGGAUUCAGGCUAACUGAUGUAUUACUUUGUAUGGUCUUUGUGAAUAAUUAAUAAAAUGGAUGUAUGCAUCGUCUAGAUGCAGAGGCCGGGGGUAUAUCCUCCUUUUACUAAAAAAAAAAUUGAUGGAAAAUGUGUGCUCGUGCAGGCGUACCAAACACACAUGUAUUUGGGUGAAAUACUCAGUAGUGAGCUUGGCAUGGUCAUAUGAUGAUAUGUGUAGCACCACAGAUAAAGUGCAAUCUUGACACUUUUGCAUGCAUUUGUGAUGUGAUUAGGCCCAGAGAAUAUAUUUCUUUGCUGUAUGAUGAGAAUAUGCUGGACCACACCACAUGCAACGGAGAGUACCUCCUACAAACCAUAUAAAGCACUAAUAUAAAGCACAACAUGCCAAUGUCAGAUAUUAGCACAAAUACAGUAUGGACCAGCAGGCUGGGAAUAUCUUGCUUUGCUUGAUGAUGGAGUGAACUUCUUUAUUCGGCACGUCCAACACGACUAGCUACAAGAAUAGCAUGCAGUGCACUACACAAAUUAACAAGUGCAUCUUGCUGGAACACCAAUGGCUUCCAUGGAUCCACUGCUGCUGGCAGCCGCGUUCUCGGGUUCCCCGGCAGCACUGCGCGUUCUUCUCGACGGGGAAGGCUCACCAGUGGACGUGAGGGCAGACAGGGUGCCAACUCCGGCAUUCCUGACGUUGCUGAAGCAUGGCGGCGCUGAAGAGGAGGACGCUGCCGUCGACAUUGCGUCGCUGCAAGCUUUCAAUACAGUACUGUCGCCCUCGCUCCUAGAGGGCGUCACCGCCGAGGGGAACACCGCGCUGCAUGUGGUGGCCACCAACGGAGACUGCGCCAGAUACCUGCAAAGCGCCACCUUCAUCUGCAGAAAGGCCAGGCACCUCCUCCACAAGGCCAACAGCAAUGGCGACACACCCCUCCACUGCGCCGCCAGGGCCGGGAGACCAUUCAUGGUCUCCCGCCUCAUCGACCUAGCUAAAUCCGGCGAUGUUGACGACGAAACUGCCGCGGGAGAGAGGCUCACCAAGUUCCUGAGAAGGGAGAACGGGUGCAGCGAGACGGCCUUGCACGAGGCUGUCCGCAUUGAGAGUAAUUAUAUUGUUGAGCUGCUAAUGGCGGCGGACUCGGAGCUGGCUUGCUUUCCGAGCCACGACGGCGCUUCGCCAUUGUACCUCGCCGUCCUGCAUGACCGGGUCGACAUUGCACAGACGCUGUACCAGAAGAGCGGUGGGUGUCUCUCCUACUUUGGACCGGAUGGACAAAAUGCCUUGCAUGCUGCUGCUCUUCGUAGCCAAGGUAACAUAUCUUAGUAAUUCCUCUGUAUUUAGAUUUUAUUUCAGAAAACAUCGAUCGCCAUCUCUGUAUUUCUGUACAUUUGUUAAAUCUAUCCCUGAAUAAUUACAUUAGUGGGCAAAUGUUCUCCACAAAGGAUUGAUUCUUUUCUUAGCCUAGAAAUUCUCUGUACUGCAACAUGGCAAAUCCUUGAAACGGCUGGCAAUUUCUUUUGAUGUAGUAUGCCAAUUCUUUCUGCUAUAACAUGACAAUUGUGUCUUCUUAACAUUAAAACAUAUCUAUGUUAUAGCAUGACAAAAAUGUAUGUUAUAGCAUGACAAUCUCUAUAAUAUUUCCUGUGAGCGUCUUUUGAGCGAAUGCUCUCGAAUGAGCCUCCUAGAAUGAAUGAUUAUGUGUGCCGCAACACAAGGGAGGACACGGUCUCUCCUCAUUAGAGUCCAACAAUUAACUUGUUGGUCCGUUAUUUAUCGGUCUAGUAACAUUGUGACCUUUAUAAUGGUUAGGCAGAAAAAGAAUACUGAAAUGAAUUUUUCUUCUAAAUAAAAAUAGAAAAAACGAUCUUAAGGCUAAAACCAUUUUAUUAUGUUCCUAGUGCAUAGACGAGUACUCUACAAUUUUUGUUUAGGAAAUAUUUAGUGUAAUGUGUGGAUAAAAAAGGUCGAUCUGAACGAAAAGAUUAAAUCACAGGCGACAUUGCCGCUACCGUGCAACUAUCAUAGAUCUUAAAUGCUCGCAUCAUUUGCGUGGCGCCAGACAUCCCGGGAGAUCGUGACGUAUCGUUGAGGAUCGCACCAUUUCUUCUUUAUCCAUUACUGCAAAAUUCUCUGCCACGAUUUGGUUCCUCCCAUGAUUUAGUAUGUGAUCUAAAUAAAUACAGUGUAAUACACGAUGGUAUAUAUUAUGAGUUGCAAACUAGAGGUUUGACAUUGGAGAUUGGACAGGCUUAACAGAAGUUCGACAUAUAAAACCAUAGUACCGGUUAAGGGGGCUAACCCACAAAGCUUUUUGUUUCUAAAAAACACAAAUACAGACGUAGACGCUCACAUACAUGCGCACAUGCAUUCAUCCCUAUGUGUGCACACACUUCCUAUCGUUAUCAGCAACUCUGAGAGAUCAAACCAGCAGAUCAUGAGAUUGAUAAACUCGUGACAGACGUUUCACAGUUGACGGGCAAGACACACUGCUGAAAGAAUAGCGCUGGAGAACCUGAAAUAAGUCAAGAAAAUAUACAAGCACCCGUGCCAAAUUUAGAACUUGAAGCCACGUAGAUUGGUUCGACCAUAAGGAACGUAACCGUCUAAGUUAUUGUCAGUUCUCAAUCGAGAAAGUGGUUAGUUCGAAUUGUUCCAUUGUAAGAAGAUGGUAGACUUUGCACACUGUCCAAAGGAAGCCAAAGAAGCAGUCCAUGAGUUAGCUACUUCGUUUUCUAAAUCUAAAAUUUCUUUUAUUUGUGUAAAAAAACCACCCACUCCUUUAUUUUAAGAAAAUUCUUCUAUCCAAUCAAUUCGCAAGAAAACUUGUAUUAUAUUUUUGUGAACACAGUACUGACGCAAGCGCUCAUAUAUGCGCAUAUACUCAUCCCUAUGAACGUACACACACAUCCUACCCCUAUGAGCACCUCCGAAAGACUGAUCCGACAUAUCAUCCUAAUAUUUACGAAGUCACCGUAUACGCCUAUUCAGGAAUAAUGCGAGCACCAAAACUUGAAUCCUGAUGGGUUAAAAAUGCCAUUGUCCCUCUAACCAUUCAAUCAUAGGUUGGUUCACGUGCUAUUAGAGAGAGAAUACAAUAAUGGAUUUGCUUGCUUUAUAAUUUAGCGACAAACUGACUAGCUUUAUCUUCUUUUCUAGUUUCCACGCUUUACUUUACUCUAACAAUCAUGAAGCAUCUGAAUUAAUUAAUCUGGUUUUCCAUAUAGACAUCAUGAUUAACAAGAAAGUGUGAUUGCACGGGCUUUUAAUUAGCACAUGCGACACUGAGAUCAUAGUAGGAUAAAAUUAAUAUUACCUUGCUAAAAGGACACUGAAAGAGAGAUGCACUUUGUUUUGAACACAAUGCAGUCGAAGUUGUUCAUAUACACAAAUUAUACUCUCAGCCUGUAAACGCACGCACACACACUCUAGUUUUAUGAGUAUUUUCGAGAGACUAAACCAGCACAUCAUCUAGUGAUUGAUAAAGUCAUCACGGAUGCCUUCAUAGUCGACGGAAACAUCUCCUCACAUUGCCGGAAGGCCUAGAAUAAAUUCAGAAAAUGCAAGCACCAAUGUCAAGUGUGGGACUUGAGUUGCACUUUAAUAGAAGUAUAUGUGAUAUGUUCCUUGUUAAGGUUUGUUGCCAUGGAUCCAUAGGUAGAAUAUUGAGUGAAUUUCACUUUUUACCCUAUAGUAUUAUAUUCGUGACACAUAUUGCCCCAUUUAGAGGGGCCGUAUGCAUUGUGCUGAUGCAGAGGCCGGAGGUACUCCUUCUUUUCUAAUUUUUUUUACCCCUAUUUAGUGAAACUUUUAUCAAAUAUCAGGCAUUAUCUCACACCUUGCCUGAUGAACACGCAUCAGAAAAUGAGUGGCUAAAGCAUCCAAAAGGGGUAUUCUAGAGGAUCUUCCACUCGAUGGGGUAAUUAGUGUCAUAAAUGUAUAAGUACAGGGUAAGAAAGUAGAAUUCACUCUAGAAUAUAUAACUCUUUGACAUGCUAGUAACCCCUUCGUCCAAAUAUACACAAGCCCCCUUAACAUUUGAGUCUAAUUUUACUCAUAAAUUUGACUAACAAAUGAUGACAAAGCGCCUGAGUAUGAGUUAAGAAGGAUACACCCGUCCCAACAGGCACGAAGUGGACCAUGUCAAUGACAUGGAGUUACCGGCGUGCAUCAUCUCCUUGGAGUCCAAGAUAGUUUAUUUGGUAGGUCUUGUGUAAAUCGAAUAGAACUCUUCCAUGUAAACCGACAUGGGUCCAUGUAACUCUACCUUCAUUUGCCUAUAUUAGGCGUGAUAGGGGGCCCCCAAUUGGUAUGAGAUAAUCUGAUAACACACGUGACGUGCAUACGGAAAAACCCUAACUCUCACAUGAGGCAACCAUCAAUAGAAACUACAACGGUAGGAAGUAAGCUAUUACCAGUCGUAGAGGGUCUCGACUUGGGUAAAUCAUUGUCUUGUGUGUAUCAAUCCAGAUGUUCUAUAUGUACGCCACACCAUAUUAGCUAUUGCCCGAUCACUACACCCACAUUAACAAAAAAUAUGUUGUAUGGCACAAAGGGCAUACUAUUCGAAAGAGGUUUCGAAUGAUAUAGAUUUUGGUCAAUGAAUAAUAAUCCCUCCCUUUGGGUAUGUAAGCCUCCCCCCUCGUAUUUUGGGUGAAAUUUUGGUCGUGUAUUUGAUCACUCAAAAAUGAAUUAUUUGUAAUAAAAUAUAUCAUCAUAAACUUCUUUUGUAUAGAAAUCUAAUAGUGUACUUUUUGUAGCCUAUAUGUUACAUUUCGGUAGUCAACUUCAUGUUCAAGAUUUGAAAAAACAUGAGAGGGCUUUCAAUAUCGGAAUGGAAAAAGUACAACAUUACAUAAUGAACCUUCACUGAACUUGGUACCAAAAAUGACAUAUUUUGUCAUGCCAUUAUUGAUGGCCGGUAAAGCAAUAGUGCCACACCUGAUACGCCAACUUGACACUCUGUUUUUUUUUUGUAACAGACACUCUAGUUGUUGGUGACAAGGCAACAUUGUGUAUUCAUACCUAAAAAGUAUUUGUUUUGUGACGACAUUGAUGGCGGCAUGAAAAAAGGCCAUACAAAAUUGGACUUACCUCUGGGUUGUGGCUUGUUACCUAACUACAAAUAUUCGUGGGUCGUUGCUUGUCAAAUAAGUCCAUUUCCAACGCAAACAUGUUAUAUAUAUAGUGUCAGAUUGUUAUAUCAAAGAAGAAAAAUAUGUGGAGCACAUCCUAACCAAACAAUAUAAAUUUCCUAGAUAAUUGUUCAUGUCGACAUGUCCAAUGUUAUUAUUAUUAUUUAGAUAAUAAUAUUGUGUUGACUUAUGAUUUUAGGGGUCACUCUAUUAUGUAAGAAGUUUUAUUUUGUAAAUGUAUUGUUACGAGAUAUACAUCUAAUAUGAAAAUUUCAAAUUUUGAUGUCUUUAAAUCAUUGUGAUUUCAAUUGAUAUUCAAAUACAUGGAUACACAUAUUAUACAAUAUCAUAUAGUUAUGUUCAAGAAGAAAAUAACCGGAGCAGAUUCUAACCAAACAAUAUAAGGGGAUUUCCAAGAUAAUUGUGCAUGUUGACAUGACUUAUGUGAUUAUUAUUAGUUAGAUAAUAAUAUUGUGUUGAAUUAUAUUAUGAGUACCCACACAACGUGCUACUUCUUUCAAUUUUGGCAUAUAUGUUUUUCUGAAAACAUAUAUUUGAACAUCGAAGUAGUAAAUGUUCAGUAACACCAUCUAAAAUUUGCUAGGUUACAUAGAACUACAAUUCUUUAUGUUAUAUGGUUGGAUUAAAAUUGUGAAAUGGAAUAAUUGCAACAUAAUCCUUCGUGUCAGCUAAUGAACUAUGGUAGUUCACAUGGCAAGUCCUAGUUUAAAAACCUUGACAACUUGCCAUGUCGACCAUCGAAUAGUGAUAAACUAAUUAUCCAUAAGAAGUUUGACAUUGGUUUGAUACUUUGGUGUUAUAUUUGUUUGCAAAAAUUAAGGACACAAAUAAUGUUAAGUGGUCAUUACUUGUCAUCUUUGGCAGCCAUGACAGAAAUGCUAUUGGAAUGGAACAUUGGACUUACUGCACAAAAGGACCGAAAAGGGAGAACGCCCCUUCACUUUGCAACCUCAAUUGUACACACAAGAGGUGUACACUUCUGGAUUUUCCGUCCUUGGUACACAUGGCUUCAUGGUUUUUGGCAUUCAAGCAUGCCAUUCUAUCCGGUGCUUCAAUUUAUCCUCCACCCUUGGUUCCCAUGGAAUCAUAGUAUUUGGAAAUCAAGCACACCAUUUGAACUAGUGUUGCAAGCUAACUCAACUCAGAUGUAUCAAUCAGAUGAUCAAGGAAUAUUCCCUAUACACAUUGCAGCUUCCACAGGUGUGAACAAGGCCAUUGUCAAAUUUUUAGAGAAGUGCCACAACAUUGCCGGUGUGCGUGACAUCAAGGGAAGAACUUUCCUCCACAUUGCCGUGGAAAAAAAGAAAUGGAACAUAGCUGCACUUGCUUGCAAAACCCCAUCGCUGUCAUGGAUUUUGAAUAUGCAAGACGAUGAAGGAAACACUGCACUACACCUAAGUGUACAACUUGGGCAUCAGGAUUAUUUUUUGUUUGCUCUUGGCGAAUAAUAAAGUGCGGUUAAAUCUAACAAAUAAAAAGGGGGAAACUCCUCUAGAUAUAUCGCAAAGUAAUAUUCAUGCAGGAUGUUUUUAUACAUGGGUAAUAUACUUUCUUUCCUUUCAGUCCAAGCUUAAUUUUCUCCCCCAAAGGCAAAUGAAAUAAUAUUACUUCCUAUGUCUCACAUAAAUUUCAUAUUUUCUUUGGCAGAACCCCAGAUUUGUGAUGAAUGCUGCUUUAAUAUAUUGUUGCGCUAAACUUGGCAAUCACCCAUUGGAUUGCUUUAAAGAACAAUACAUUCGAGUAGAGGAUGAAGAGAAAGAAUCAAAGAAACUGACAGCUUCAACUCAAACAUUGGGCAUUGGGUCAGUGCUAAUUGCGACCGUGGCGUUUAGUGCAAAUUUCACGCUACCAGGGGAUUACAGUGGGAAUGGCAUGCCAAAUCUGUCUGGGAGGUAUGUUUUUGAUGCAUUCAUUGUGGCCAACUCUCUUGCGUUCAUGUGCUCUGGUUUGGCCACCAUCAACCUCAUGUACGCAGGGACAUCUAUCGUCGAUGUGCCUUUGCGUGGUAAACACUUACAAAUAGCUGUAGCCUUUGCAGUUUGCUCGGUCACAAGCUUGUCUACAGCUUUUGUAUUAGGCCUAUAUGUGGUCUUGGACCCAUUUGCUCAUAUGACUUCCACUAUAGUGUCUGUGGUAGCUUCUUUUGUGUGUCUGUGUGGAUACAUAGACCCCUUGCGAGGGCAGGCUGUAGCAAGAGCCUUAUUUCAUAGAAUGGGAUACCCAGCACUGGCAAUAUCCGCACGCAUUCUCAUCACACAGACAAUGAUGGUGUUUUGGCCCAUGAUUGCGAGCUUCGCUUGGGCAGCAAUUUCAGGAAAAGAUWCGUCACAAGAAAAAAGACCUGAACAUGUGGUGGCAUAUGAGAGGAGGUAGUAUCAGUUCACUAGUUGGCAAUCUUCAACUUGUGUGUCAUUUCUCCAAAAUAAUGUACCAUCAUUUUUGUUUACUUGUCAACCAGUUCUUGAGUGUGUCAACAGUUUGGUUGUAUUUUGUACUUCUCAACGUUUGUUCUAGUGGAUUUUGUUCCUGAAGAAACCAUGAGUAAACUACUUUCAUUGCAAUGUGUUGCAGUUAUUCUAAUUGAUUCUAUAUACAAGUUUCGGCAACAUUUAUGUAGAAAAAAAGCUUGUUGUUUCCUUUCCUCCUAUAGUUACUUUCAACAUAUAAGUGUUAUUUAUUUGCCUAUAUAUUUCGUUUCAACAAUCAUGCUAUCACAUGAGCCUAUUCAGAAUGUAGAACCUGAAUGCAUUCGAAUAGUGGACAGUGAUUAUGAUCUGAGAGAUGUUGUAUGAACAUCAUGUUAACGAUGUUGUAGAUAAGAAAGUAAAGGGGAAAGGCACUACAUCCAGACGAUGAAACAAUUAAGCAAAUGUUCAGGUCAUUCAAAGAUGAUGACAUGCACUGUCCAAAUUUCCAUGUUGCACAAUCAUUGCAAUAUGUUGAUACAAUAAAAGUAUUGACAAAAUGAACAAAAUUUGUUCAUAUGACCGGCCUUUAGAAGGUUAUUGAUCAUUGGAGGUCUUCUAAGUCGUAGAUGACAAGAUUAUGUAUCUGCUGGUGUUUGAAAUAAAAUAGGCAUGGCCUCUGAUAUCAUAGAUGACAAGAUUAUGCACGUGCUUGCACUAAGAAAAUGUAAACAAAGUGGCGAAAAUGGCUAGAAGCAGUCGUCUAACAAAUUUAAUUAGUGAUCUGAUUAAUUCUUACCUUGUCUCACAUGUAAAAAAGAGGUAAGAGGGACCAUGUUCAAAUUUGCCAUAUAUAAAUGCUUCUCCAUUCUCCCGAUUAAAAAAUGGCAUGCAUGUGGGUGCAUGCUCGAGACGAAAAGAAAUUCAUUGGAAUGCUUCUAGGUCUUAAGGAGGCCUACUUGUGUUUUCAUGUAAGGCAAAAUGUUUCAAUAACUGAGGGUUUCAUGGUCGGCUCUACUAUUUUCGCGUUCCACCCCAAUUUCACAAGUGAAUAUUUCUGGGUAGAGUUCUAUUUAAUUCCAAAUUAAUUCAUCACGUGACAUUCCAAGNNNNNNNNNNNNNNNNNNNNNNNNNNNNNNNNNNNNNNNNNNNNNNNNNNNNNNNNNNNNNNNNNNNNNNNNNNNNNNNNNNNNNNNNNNNNNNNNNNNNUCUAUAUCCCUAUGUGUAUGUGCAACCAUUCAAAGAAGAAAAGAAACAAGCAAAGCUUGUUAAGUAUGAUUCAAAUUGAGAGGUUUCAAUGCAAAUAAGCAUCCAUAGCUCUAGCAAAAGUUAAUUAGAGAGAGGGGAUCACUACAAGAAAUAUGCUCAUAUAUGAAGUUUCUUAAGACGUGGUUGAUGAAUUCUUCAUAAAUCUAUGAUGAUUUCAUUCGAGAUUGUCGUAAACCGUUUGAGGGAUCAAAUCUACAUAUAAAUUACGACGAUGUGAGUCAAAAAUAUCGUAACCGCAUAAGAUGAGAUCGUCAUAACUUUUACAACGAUUAUAAAACUAUCGUAACAUGUUCUAACUAUGUUGACAUGUCACUCGUGGGUCCAUUCUAUGUCACGCGCCAAACCCGCCUACCAAAAAUAGAUAGAAAGGUCGGAAAUGCAUACAACUCGGUGAUCAUACAUAAAAUGUGGUCUAAGUUGAGUGAAAUUUUCAGUGAUGCCUUUUUGCACAAUAUUUUUGAUAGCUGGUUCAGAAAAUCUAACUUGAUUUUAGCAUUUAGAAACUAGUAUUUUAAAUCAUAGAUAUUUCCAACCAGUGAUAACUGUUCCCAUGGAUUACCCAACUAUAUCCAAUCUGAACCGUCCACACUCCAUAGAUCCAACGUCUCUCACUCCAGUCUCAGGAAGCCAACCUAAACCCUAGGAGCCCGUGGCUAACUCUCCUCGCCUGACCCUCCAGAGAACGCGUGCCGUCACCUCUCCCUCUCCCUCUCCCCUCUCGUCGCCAGAUCCAACCCCACUCCCGUCGCCAGAUCCAACCCCACUACCGUCCCCGUCCACCCCGCCGCCACCACCGCCGCGAAUCCCGCCGGCGUCCACCCCCCGCGCGCGUGCUCUGCGCCCCUGUGUCGGCCCGGCGGACUCCAGGACCUCCGGAUCGGUGCCCCGCGCGCCUCGCCAUGGCGACCAACGCGCUCAAGGCCCAGCUCAAUGCGGCAGACCGCUUCCAGUUCUGACACCGGCCGGUGACGGGAGAUCGGGCUCGCCAAUCUCUCAUCGGCUUCCCUCUGUCCCUGCCCAAAGGCGGCUGCGGCGUCAAAUCGCGCACCGAGAAGAGCUGAUCUGCUCUGCUCGGUGGACGCGGGCAUGCGGCAGCGACAACGAUGGAGAAGGGAGGGGAGGUAGGCAUCGGGUGACCUCCGUGACGCUCUCGAUGUUGGGGGAGAAGCCCAACCUGGUUUGCGAGUCUUGCGACAUGCUCGGGCAGGCGACACAAACCAAAGACACAAAACAAGCGAAGCGAACCCCCUCUUCCUCCUCAUGCCGCCACCCGCCGCCGCCGGCGAAACCCCGAGGAGUCGCGGUGGCUCGCGGCCCUCUCCGAACCCGAGCUCGUCCGUCCUCCACUUCGCUCGUAAUCUCUCCUUCCGACCACAGAUUUUUCAACCUUCGAUGGUUUCGUGCAGGAUUUGCUCAUCAGCCUAAAGAUGCUGGCCGUGAGGCGGGCCGAGACGGCCGGCCUCCCCCACCUCGCCGACGCCUUGGAUAUGCGCACUGUUAGGAAAUAAACCGUGGCGGUGCACCUGGCGCAUCGGGCUCGUGUGUGAGCGCACGCCGGGCACGUCGGGUGCAUCGGGUACACAGUGUAGGCGUGCGUGUGUAGGCGUGUGUGGUGCACGGGGGUGCCCGGGUGCGCGCGCACCGUACGCGGGGAUGUAGGAGGAGGUCGUUGGCGAGCGGGCGCGGUGAUCGCGGGAGGAUCCAGGGCGUCGUGCAUGGACUGGGCGUAGCAGAGCGCGUCCUGGGCGCGCGAGGUAGGCGGAUCAGCGCGAGCGAGUGGAGGCGUGGGUUAGUGCCCAGUGCGCUGGCUUGGGUAUAAAGCCGCGGAGGGCAYCUUUGUAAUGGCUGCGGUGUAUCGAGUUCGUGCUCGAGGGAAUCAAUCAGGAGGCGUUCGUGCGCCGGCAACCCUAGGUCUACCCCAUCUACCCCCUUUCUUCUUCCUUCCGAUCGCUGGCUCGAGUAGCGGAGAGGGCGAGCUGGCAGGCGAGCGCGUGCGGGCUAGGGUAGACUCCAACACGCACGCUGCGGGCUCUCGGUAACGCCACCCUUAAUUUCCACUUGUGAUCUGCGCUGCAGCAUGCAUACUCGUCGUUCUUGCUUUAUUUCCGUCCUGUCACCCGCUGAUUACUCUGCAAAUGCGAAGUUCAUUUCCGAUUUGGUGGCAGACCUAUUGUCCUACGCCUCUCCUUGCUAGUUCGCCACUUUGCCGAGUCCGAUUGUUUGGGGUGGGCGAAAAUUGGAUAUAAUCUAGACGGAUUGGUACUGUUAGGGGGAGGAAUGUAUGUGGAAGGUGAAAUGAUGUGGUGAAUUCGUGGCACUCUCCCCUCUUGAAUUGGAAGUAGUAGGAAAUUACACUUGUUUAUUUGGUGUAUAUGUAUGUCGAUGCAGAGUAACCUGUAAAUAGGCAAAGUGUGCAACCUGUAAAUAAGGGAAGUUUGCAAGAUCUGGAUUCUUUUGAUGGACAGCAUCAUGCCUGUUGCAUCGAAUAUUUUGGUUUUGACAGUGGUCUCCAGUGUGUGAUUGCGAGUAGAUUUUAUAUGCAUUUUGCGGCAGUGCUGGACGCUGGGACUGUACUCGGCUACCAUGAGCCCAUGAUAAUAUUGGGAAUAACAUAUGUACUGGAUUAGUACUAUGGCUAUGAUUACGAAGAUAGAUUGGCAACUGAAAUGGACCUUAGUAAAUAUUUCUGCAAACUGCAGUAUUGUCUUUUUAAGAUUAAUCACGUGGACAGCGUGUAUACUGCAGGAGUGGAAUGCCCCUAAGCCAAUGCACGAGUCUCUUUUGAAUGAGUCUUUGCGAUGGACAAUAGUGAGUAUUCACAACUCACAUAAAAACUGGAAAUAGUUAUGUUGAAGUCUAUUUGUAACUUACUCUCUGUACUGCCAGAUGAACAAAAAAGAGAUCUCUGGACACCUUUGCCUGAUCAGGGGUGGAAACCAUGCAUAAGGUCAUCGAUCACUCGUGGUAACAUUCUGCGAUAACUCUGUUUAGGUAAUGAUUUUCUCCCCUACAAUAUGCCAGGAUAAUAAAUCUACGGAUGUGAGCUCAUAGAUAAAUCCAAAAUCAGCAGAGUGAACUUAUAUUAUAUUAGCUUGAUAUGCCAACACAGUUUAAUAGCUUUUGUUUGAUCUUAUGCAACUGGUUUUGUUGAUAUGCCAACAUACAGUCCAUUAUAUUUAUGUUGUACAAACAAGCUAGAUCUAUGGAUACUAGAUAUCAAUUAUGUGUAUAAUAACUGGUUUUUUCAUCUAAUCAUGAAUGUGAUAAGGAAACUUUUUAUUUCAGAAUAGUAGUCCCAAUUUGAUUUAAUAUAUAACAGCAAUAAUUUGCAUUAGCCAUUUGGAGGAUAUAAAAGCUUUCUUUUUGCGCAUAGAUGAAUCCUUCUAUUCAUGCGGAUCUUUCCUGUAAUUCUUCCGAUCCUCAUGUGUAUUAUUUCCUCCGCAACUAUAGUUGUUGCCAUCAUUAUGCUAUUAUCCAAGAUUUGGGCAUCAGAAAGGGUGAAUUAACCAAACAACAAUUUUCUCUAAAAAAAAUCUUCUUAUCCACUGAUGAUGUGAUAAGAAAUAAAAAGAAAAGGAGAAUCAUUUGACAAAGUGCAUCAUGCAUGUCUACCUUUUCUUGUAGUAAUAAUACCAAUUAAAUUCUCUUUCNNNNNNNNNNNNNNNNNNNNNNNNNNNNNNNNNNNNNNNNNNNNNNNNNNNNNNNNNNNNNNNNNNNNNNNNNNNNNNNNNNNNNNNNNNNNNNNNNNNNCGGGCUCCAGCCGCGGGGUCCCGGCGUUCGCCACAACGAGCAGGAGGAGCAGCAGGGAUAGCGGAAGGAGGCGGAGGAACGCAAUCGCCAUGGAUGGUGCUUGGGGUUCUGAACUCCAGAAUAUAUAUAUAAGCGAAAGAAACUUCUCCUUUUAUGUACGUAUAUGCGCCGGCGCCGGCGGCGGCUGCCGCAUGGGAUAUAGAAAGAAUUCGGGCAAAGGGAAAGGUUACCACCCACCACAAAUGAUGAUUUCGUUCCGCUGCCCUGUCCGUGUCGGACGCAGCACGGCCGUCCAUGGCCGAUUGGCUGCUCGCCGACCUGCUACGUGCCUGUGGGGUGUCCUCUUGUGCUCCUCGGAGAAAUAUGAGCCGUCGAUUCCAAGCUCUAGCAUUUGGUUUGUUGUCUGCUAGCUGGCGCGUACGUCCGGCUAUGGAACCUCUCUCGGCCGUUCACGUCACCAUCACCAGCGUACUAGUAGUACUAGUUCCUGAUUUAACUGAGGCCAGGGCGCCUAGUGCUAACUGCUAACUCUGCUAUGGGGUGUCUGUUUCCACAGACUGGAGAAACUUUUAGAGACUAAAAUAAGAUAAUUGGGACUAAAGGAAGAAGUCCAUAUGGAAGAGUCUUUUUGAGACUUUUUGACACUUUUUCCAACGCUAUCCCUACUUUUAGCAUGUUAUUUAAUAACUUCUAGUACAUUACUAGGGGUAACAUGGUCUUUUUACAUGUCAUUUAAUGACCUCUAGUCUAUAUUUAGUCCAUAGAAACAAACAGAUAGGAACUAUGAACCUUUUAGUUGAGACUAAAAAAAAGUCCUGAAACUUCUGAAACAAACAGGGCCUAUGUCGUGUCGCGUCAAGAUUGUUGCACAUUAAUUUACUCCCUGGAAGGUACUAGACACGUGGGGCGGCUUGUCUCACGCCACCUGAUGUACACAUGUAUAAUCAUUUUGCAAAGAGAAAAAAAUGCUUUUACCACUUAAUUUUACAUGAAGUUGGUAUGCAGUAAUUUAUCUUUUUUUGCUCGACAUUUAGUCCCCCCAUGUCGCAAAACCAGAUGCGUUCUGUCCUUUCUCUCUCGUACAACAUCAAAAUAACAAUCAAAUAACAUUAACGUGAAGGGCAACCGGGCCACAUCGUCUAGGCGACACCAUGAGAAGCCAUGAGUCCCACAUAUGUCAGUUAACGGUCAAAUAGUAGUCAAAUAAAAAAGCUCAUAUUUGGUCUCACGUGUCAGUUAACAGUCAAAUAAAUAGUCAACAGAUGGUUUAGUUAGGAGCGUGCCCCACCUGUCAUAAUCCGGAUCAAUUUUAAACAACCUGGUCACUUGUUUUUUUUGGAACAAUCAAUCAAUUUUGUGAUAGCAUUUAAAAAAAUUCAGAAAAUAUGUAGUUUUUUAUAACCCUAAAGCGCAAUGUGGUAGUUUUUUGCUAUUUAUUUCUAUGGACUCUGUGUCUUCCGGCCACACACAAAAGUGGUCGUGGCAGAAAGCGGAAGGGAGGCCACAUGUGCGGUGUCACCGGUGGGUGCCUCGUGAAGUCCUCCAGCGACGUUGGCAUGCUGGGCAAGUACACACAAGGUGGUAGAGAAGAUGCCGUCGUUGUAUGAGAGAGAGGAGGGAAAAGGAAAUAGAAAACCAGUGACACGUCAACGGUUUUCUCACAUUUCUGGUUUUGGAUAAAGUUUAUAUAGUUUUGAGACUGAAGGGACUAAAUGUCCACCACAAAAAGGCGAAUUACUAGAUACUGACUUCUUGUAAACUUAAGGGACCAAAAACAUAGUUUUCCCAUUUUAAAUCAUCUAAUUAGUUCAUCGCUAUAAGGUACAUUGCAAAAAGAAAAUGCAGCAAAACUUCAAAACGUUAUGCCAAUUUUGAGCAAAGGGUCCUAAAGUAAAUGGCGGAGAGAAAAGCAAUCUGGAAGUAAUAAUUUGACAUGUAAGAAAGAAGACGCGCCAACCGAAACAAUCAAAGUAGAGAUCAUAAUAAACAUUGCUUAAAAUGCCGAUAACAACAUUUCGUUGUCGAUGAGUUAACAGGCUCCAACGAAAUUACAAUUUACUAAUUAACCAUGGGAAGCAUCAAUGUCAAGUCUGCCUUCUAACCAUCAAACCUUGAUUUGCGCAAUGGAUAUUAUCUUGACGUGAUAACAAAGGAGCCCCCUUUUUUGGCAUGAUCAAAAGAAGUUCCGAUACACAUUUUUUUAGAGAGUGCCUAGAACUCAGCUAGCUGAGAUUUUCUAUGGUCUCAUUCACAUAAUUUUAUUAUAUUGUGUGUUUAUUCUGUUUGUUUUCUUUAGCUCAUCAUUUUAUUUUUUUGGGCUGAAAUAUCAUAUUUUUGGUUGUUGUUGCUAUGUGCCCCAUCUAGCCGGUCCAAUAACUACUCGUUCGGUUCUUAUUGUUGCACGUCAUAUUAAAAAAAAAAAAAUCAUUGAUAGAGAAAAAAAGAAUAAGAAAAAAAUUAUGUAAUGGCUUGUUAAAUUCAACUACUCCGACCACUAAACAUUCUUGUACAAAGUAGUGUGUCCUUAUUAUAUGAAUUUAUUUUUUUCUUAGUAAAAAACAACUUGAUUCUAGCUUUUCCAUGUAAUUGCUGCACAAAUAAGAUNNNNNNNNNNNNNNNNNNNNNNNNNNNNNNNNNNNNNNNNNNNNNNNNNNNNNNNNNNNNNNNNNNNNNNNNNNNNNNNNNNNNNNNNNNNNNNNNNNNNGGUGGGCUCCCCCCCCCCCCCGGUGAACAUCCGGAACCCAUUCGUCAUUCCCGGUACAUUCCCGGUAAUUCCGAAAACCUUCUGGUAAUCAAAUGAGGUCAUCCUAUAUAUCAAUCUUCGUCACCGGACCAUUCCGGAAACCCUCGUGACGUCCGUGAUCUCAUCCGGGACUCCGAACAACAUUCGGUAACCAACCAUAUAACUCAAAUACGCAUAAAACAAUGUCGAACCUUAAGUGUGCAAACCCUGCGGGUUCGAGAACUAUGUAGACAUGACCCGAUGGACUCCUCGGUCAAUAUCCAAUAGCGGGACCUGGAUGCCCAUAUUGGAUCCUACAUAUUCUACGAAGAUAUUAUCGUUUGAACCUCAGUGCCAAGGAUUCAUAUAAUCCCGUAUGUCAUUCCCUUUGUCCUUCGGUAUGUUACUUGCCCGAGAUUCGAUCGUCAGUAUCCGCAUACCUAUUUCAAUCUCGUUUACCGGCAAGUCUCUUUACUCGUUCCGUAAUACAAGAUCCCGCAACUUACACUAAGUCACAUUGCUUGCAAGGCUUGUGUGUGAUGUUGUAUUACCGAGUGGGCCCCGAGAUACCUCUUCGUCAUACGCAGUGACAAAUCCUAGUCUUGAUCCAUACUAACUCAACGGACACCUUCGGAGAUACCUGUAGAGCAUCUUUAUAGCCACCCAGUUACGUUGUGACGUUUGAUACACACAAAGUAUUCCUCCGGUGUCAGUGAGUUAUAUGAUCUCAUGGUCAUAGGAAUAAAUACUUGGCACGCAGAAAACAGUAGCAACAAAAUGACACGAUCAACAUGCUACGUCUAUUAGUUUGGGUCUAGUCCAUCACAUGAUUCUCCCAAUGAUGUGAUCCAGUUAUCAAGCAACAACACCUUGUACAUAGUCAGAAGACCCUGACUAUCCUUGAUCAACUGGCUAGCCAACUAGAGGCUUGCUAGGGACAGUGUUUUGUCUAUGUAUCCACACAUGUAUCUAAGUCUUCAUUCAAUACAAUUAUAGCAUGGAUAAUAAAUGAUUAUCUUGAUACAGGAAUUAUAACAAUAACUUAUUUAUCUUUGCCUCUAGGGGAUAAUUCCAACAGUCUCCCACUUGCACUAGAGUCAAUAAUCUAGCCCUCACAUCACCAUGCGAAUUACAUUGUAAUAAAUCUAACACCCAUACAGUUCUAGUGUUGAUCAUGCUUUGCCCGUGGAAGAGGUUUACUCAGCGGGUCUGCUACAUUCAGAUCCGUGUGCACUUUGCAUAUAUUUACGUCCUCCCCUUCGACGUAGUCGCGGAUGAGGUUGAAGUGUCGUUUGAUGUGUCUGGUCUUCUUUUGAAACCGUGGUUCCUUUGCUAAGGCAAUGGCACCCGUGUUGUCACAAAACAAGGUUAUUGGAUUUAGUGCGCUUGGCACCACUCCAAGAUCCAUCAUGAACUGUUUCAUCCAGACACCCUCCUUAGCCGCCUCCGAGGCAGCCAUGUACUCCGCUUCACAUGUAGAAUAAGCUACGACGCUUUGCUUGGAACUGCACCAGCUUACCACACCCCCAUUAAGAAUAAAUACGUAUCCGGUCUACGACUUAGAGUCGUCCGGAUCUGUGUCAAAGCUUGCAUCGACGUAACCUUUUACGGCGAGCUCUUCGUCACCUCCAUACACGAGAAACAUCUCCUUAGUCCUUUUCAGGUACUUCAGGAUAUUCUUGACCGCCGUCCAGUGAUCCACUCCUGGAUUACUCUAGAACCUGCCUGCCAUACUUAUGGCCAGGCUAACGUCUGGUCUAGUGCACAACAUUGCAUACAUGAUAGAGCCUAUGGUUGAAGCAUAGGUGACGGUGCUCAUAUGCUCUCUAUCUUUAUCAGUUGUUGGGCACUGACUCUUACUCAAUCUGGCAAGAACCCCUUCUUGGACUGUUCCAUUUUGAACCUCUUCAAAACUUUAUCAAGGUAUGUACUUUGUGAAAGUCCUAUCAGGCGUUUCAAUCUAUCCCUAUAGAUCUUAAUGCCUAGAAUGUAAGCAGCUUCUCCUAGGUCCUUCAUAGAGAAACUUUUAUUUAAGUAAUCCUUUAUGCUCUCCAAAAACUCCACGUUGUUUCCAAUCAGCAAUAUGUCAUCCACAUAUAAUGUUAGAAACGCCACAGAGCUCCCACUCACUCUCUUGUAAAUACAAGAUUCUCCAACCACUUGUAUAAACCCAAAUGCUUUGAUCACCUCAUCAAAGCGUUUAUUCCAACUCCGAGAUGCUUGCACCAACCCAUAAAUGGAUCGCUGGAGCUUGCACACUUUGUUAGCAUUUUUAGGAUCGACAAAACCUUCGGGUUGCAUCAUAUACAACUCUUCCUUAAGGAAACCGUUAAGGAACGCCGUUUUGACAUCCAUCUGCCAGAUUUCAUAAUAGAAAAAUGCAGCUAUUGCUAACAUGAUUCUGACGGACUUAAGCAUCGCUACGGGUGAGAACGUCUCAUCGUAGUCAACUCCUUGAACUUGUGAAAAACCCUUUGCCACAAGUCGAGCUUUAUAAACGGUCACAUUACCGUGAGCAUCCGUCUUCUUCUUAAAGAUCCAUUUGUUCUGAAUAGCCUUGCGGCCCUCAGGUAGUACUUCCAAAGUCCACACUUUGUUUUCAUACAUGGAUCCUAUCUCGGACUUCAUGGACUCGAGCCAUUUGUUGGAAUCUGGGCCCACCAUUGCUUCUUCAUAAUUCGCACGCUCAUUGUUGUCUAACAACAUAAUUGAUAAGACGGGAUUACCGUACCACUCUGGAGUAGUACGCGGUCUCGUCGACCUGCGAGGUCCGAUAGGAACUUGAUCUGGAGUUUCAUGAUCAUCAUUGUUAACUUCCUCCUCAACCGGUGUUGCAACGACAGGGGUUUCCCCUUGCCCUGCGCCACCAUCCAGAGGGAUGAGAGGUUCGACAACCUCAUCAAGUUCUAUCUUCCUCCCACUCAAUUCUCACGAGAGAAACUCCUUCUCGAGAAAAGCUCCGUUCUUAGCAACAAACACUUUGCCCUCGGAUUUGAGAUAGAAGGUAUACCCAACUGUCUCUUUCGGAUAACCUAUGAAGAUGCACUUUUCUGCUUUGGGUUCCAGCUUUUCAGGCUGAAGCUUUUUGACAUAAGCAUCACAUCCCCGAACUUUAAGAAACGACAACUUUGGUCUUUUUCCAUACCACAGUUCAUAUGGUGUCGUCUCAACGGAUUUUGAUGGUGCCCUAUUUAAAGUGAAUGCAGCUGUUUGUAAUGCUUAACCCCAAAACGAUAAUGGCAAAUCGGUAAGAGACAUCAUAGAUCGCACCAUCUCUAAUAAAGUACGAUUACGACGUUCGAACACACCAUUACGCUGUGGUGUUCCAGGCGGUGUCAACUGUGAAACAAUUCAACAUUGUCUUAAGUGAACACCAAACUCGAAACUUAGAUAUUCACCCCCGCGAUCAGACCGUAGGAAUUUGAUGUUCUUGUUACGAUGAUUUUCAACUUCACUCUGAAAUUGCUUGAACUUUUCAAAUGUUUCAUACUUGUGCUUCAUCAAGUAGACAUAACCAUAUCUACUCAAAUCGUCAGUGAAGUUGAGAAAAUAACGAUAUCCGCCGCGUGCCUCCACGCUCAUUGGACCACACACAUCGGUAUGUAUGAUUUCCAACAAGUCACUUGCACGCUCCAUUGUUCCGGAGAACGGAGUUUUAGUCAUCUUGCCCAGGAGGCAUGGUUCGCACGUGUCAAGUGAAUCAAAGUCAAGUGACUCCAAAAGUCCAUCGGUAUGGAGCUUCUUCAUGCGCUAUCAUUGUUAACUCUAACUCUUUUGGUCUCAAUGUUAUGUAUAUGUGUAUUAUCACUAUCAAGAUUCAAUAUGAACAAUCCUCUCACAUUGGGUGCAUGACCAUAAAAGAUAUUACUCAUAGAAAUAGAACAACAAUUAUUCUCUGACUUAAACGAGUAACCGUCUCGCAAUAAACAAGAUCCAGAUAUAAUGUUCAUGCUUAACGCAUGCACUAAAUAACAAUUAUUUAAGUUCAUAACUAAUCCUCAUGGUAACCGAAGUGAAACUGUGUCGACGGCGAUUGCAUCAACCUUGGAACCAUUUCCCACACGCAUCGUCACUUCAUCCUUGGCCAGCCUUCGCUUAUUCCGCCGUUCCUGUUUCGAGUUUAAAUAUGAGCAACAGAACCGGUAUCGAAUACCGAGGCACUACUACGAGAGCUGGUUAAGUACACAUCAAUAACAUGUAUAUCAAAUAUACCUGAUUUUUCUUUGGCCGCCUUCAAAUCAGCCAGAUACUUGGGGCAGUUGCGCUUCCAGUGAUCCAUACCCUUGCAAUAAUAGCACUCCGUUUCAGGCUUAGGUCCAGCUUUGGGUUUCUUCGUCGGAUUGGCAACAGGCUUGCCGCUCUUCUUUGAAUUACCCUUCUUUUCUUUGCCGUUUCUCUUGAAACUAGUGCUCUUAUAGACCAUCAACACUUGAUGCUCUUUACGGAGUUCUCACUCUGCGACUUUCAACAUCGCAAACAACUCGCCGGGUGACUUGUUCAUCCCUUGCAUGUUGUAGUUCAACACAAAGCCCUUAUAGCUUGGAGGCAGUGAUUGAAGAAUCCUAUCAGUUUGUAAUGCCCCAAGUAUGGAACUUUCCCUUUUUGGGUCCUGUUGAAUGUGGGUCCACCCUGUCAGAGAUAUGUUGAUGACACUUAUCUCUAUGGUUCCCUGUGCCACCCUGAGUUCCUUGCAUAUCUUCCUUGCAUUGCAUGCUUAGAAUAACAUAACAUGUCAUCUCAUCUCCCUAAUCUUGUGAUUUCAUGUGACUCUUCUUCUCUGUUUUAUUAGCAUGCAUGCAUCCAUGCCAUGUCAUUCCUUGCCUUACCUUUUGUAUGCAUGUGAUAUUGAUAGGUGUGAGGGUGUGGUUUAGUAAUAUUUUGGUUGAUGCCCAUGUGAUAAUGGUGUGUGCAUUGUAGGAGUGAGUGCUAGUCAUUUUAAGCUCUUGCUAUUUAAACUCCUUUUCCCUCCUAUUAUUCCAUGUCAAAAAUUCCUUCUUCCCAAGAUGAUUCUAAAAUGUCUGGUGGUUAGAGUAAAUUGUGAUUAUGAGGAGGUGAAUUUUUGCUGUUUUGUUCUUUGACUUUAAAGGAGCAAAUAAACCCAAACAGUAAAUUAAUUACUAUUUUGCGUUUAAUCUAAUUGGCUCCAAAUAUUUCGUUUCGAAUUUAUUUGAGUAGGCCAUAAUUCCUCAUGGCUAGGGGCAUUUUGCUUUGAUUUUUUUACCCCAUCAGAACCGCUAGAGAUUUAAAAACCUGUCUGAGUUGUUUUUUUAAAAAAAAACCAAACCCUUCCCAGUCUCGACCUAUCUUUCGCCUAUGGGAUUCGACACCGCGGCCCAGCCCACUUCGCCCGGAGUCACGCGCGCGAGCGUCGUCCUCCUCCCCUUUCCAGCGAGGCAGGCGGCCCCACUGGGCAGUCUCUCACCUCGCCCCUCCCCGAGCCGAAGCUCCCCGCACAUGGCACCGCGGCGCGCCCCUCGUUCCCCUCUCUCCCUAUAAAAUCCCUUCGGCGUCCGUGCCUUGGCUAGGGUUUCCCUGCCACCGCUGCCGCUCCACCAGAUCCCUCCUCCCUCCUUCCUCUUUCGACGCGGUGAGGUAAGCGCUGGUACCGCCAUGGCCGACGGGUGAAGGAGGUCACUGUCGCCGCCGUGGUACCUUCUCCUUCGCAUCAAGGGCUCCAGGAGCAUGCGGGCCUCACCACGGGCUCGUUCCCGCCGCCAGAUCGACGUUCCCGGCGCUGCUUCCUCUUCUUCCAGGAGCCCUUCUUCUCCGACGAGCUCCACCGCAGCGCGCUCUUCUUCCCGCUGCUUCCACUUCGGUUGCUCCCUCCUCGACUCGAACACGAGGUAGCGCACCCCCUCCUUCCUCCCUGCCUCAGAUCGGGCGCCGUAGCCGUAGGGAUCGCCGACGUGAUGUCUCUGUCGCCGGAGCCGCAGGUCGUCGUGGCCACGUCUCGGUAGAGCCCCUCGGGCAUAGCUAGGUGCGGGAAUGGAUCCGUGUGGAUGAGGGCUUCCUCCCCUCCACGAGUCAGAGACGGAUUCGACCCGCAGCGCCGGCGAGGCACCUCCCCUGUUCCGGCCAGUCGUCGGUAGCAGUAGUUGCUAGGGUGUGCACUUCUGAAUUUGCUGCCUUAUAUGUUCAGACAACGGUCCGUAGUGCAGUGGUAGAGUGUGGUGUGCCUGAUGAGGGGGCGCGGGUUCGAUCCCCCUCGGCCUCUUUUGGUGUUUUUUGGUUAACUCGGUGCACAGUGACCUGUGUAGCAGAUACCUUGUUCCCUUCCUCCAUCCUGUCGAUUAGAUGACAGAGGCGUGGUGGUUUGUUGCUGCUGUUGGACACCAGGGGUGCUGGGUUCGAUCCCCAGGAGCCCCUAUAUCUUUUGUUUCUUCUUUUCUUUUCCUGCCCAUUAAUUUUUGUUUCCUAACUCCUACACAAGUGGCUUGUUAGUUUCAUUAUUUCUGUUGUUUAUUUAACUCCUUCACACAGUGGUGUUUGGUCCUGUUCCUGCUAGCAUAGUGGAGUAGAUAUAAUUGUGUGUGUGUUUUGCACACUAAGAGGUGAUAAAUGAUAUUGCUAUACUUGUGAUGUUUAUGGUGGUUGCACCUUAGUGAAGUGGAGUUAACCUUGAUAAGGGGAUGAUGCUAGAUGCCUUGACAAUUGUGUGUGUUGUGCUUUGAGGUGAUAAGUUGCACUAGCUAAUCUUGUAUAGCCCCAACUUUUGAACUUUGGUGUGGGCUAAGUUGAUCAUGUAGUUUGAAUUGUUUGCAUUGAUUUAGUGGGGUGUGGGUGCCUCCCCCUCAUCACAUGUUUUGAUGUGAAGUGAUGGUCUAGUGGCCAACUAUGAUAGCAUGUGAAGGUGGAGCUUACUAGUUAAGCUAGAGUAGAAUGUUGUGGGGGUUGCUCCUUGAGUAUGACAUGAUUCUUAGGAAGAUCCUAGUAAUUUUCAUUAAGUCCCUGAGAUCUGAUGGUUUUGGGAAAGUUUGUGGCCUGGUAUCUUCUAGAGUUUAAUUCAUUUUGCUGUGAUUCUUGCUGGGACUUGUAGUGUUCUUGGUUGGCAACAGCCACAUAUAUUAUUUGUCAUGUUUGAAGACCUGUAGCUAUGUUGCAUGUUGCUCACAAACAGCUAAGAUGCAAAAACUGGCAGAUUGCGUAGUUUUGCCUUUUUGGUCAAAGUUUGUGCUCAAUUGUUGUUGUGGUGUUCUACCUUGCUCCAUUUCACUCAUGUUGGGUUAAUAUAUGUCUUGGAAACCUGGGAAUACCAGAUUUGUGCCAAAUGUGUGUGAGGUGUUGAAUCUUUCACGUAGAGCUUCAUACCGUGUUUCGUUGAUUCCCGUUGAUCCGUAGCUCCGUUUGCAAAGUUCUUUAUAUGGUUUUGCACCGUUUUUACGAGCUGCAUCUGUUCAUAUCAUUCCCAUGCAUGUCCAAAUAGUUUAUUGCAAAGUUCUGUCCAGAAACUUGUUGUAGUCUAUUUUUCUUGUGCUAGUGAUAGAAAUAGUGUUGCACGCUCAACUUUCAUGUCAUGCAUCAUGUGAUUGUUGCAUUUUGUGGUGCUGCUGUUAAUUGGCUGUAUUCUUGUGUUGGGUAGCACCGGGAGCGGAGAACGAAUACGUGGAGUCAGGAGAGUACGUGCAGGACGAUCCAGAACCAUUCCAAGCUGAGGAUAUCACAGGCAAGAUGAUAUGACCUUGAUCCCAUCUCUAGACUUGUUAUGUUAGUUUCAAUUCCAUGUCAAAUUGCUCGCUGCCUACCACUGAAAAUAUAUUGCCUCUUCAUAUGCCAUGAGCCUAAACACCUUACUCUUUCCUAGCAACUUGCAUGGCUAGGUAGGCUUGCUCAGCUACUAAUGUUAGCAUUGUUAGUUGCAGGUGUUUUAAACUCAUGUGAUGACAUGAGCUUGAUAUCAUUAUAUUAAUUUCUGUUAUUCAAUUAAUGUAUCUAUAUACUUGGUAAAUGACGGGAGGCCUAGCCUUUUGUCGGGUGUCUUGUUCCGUUAUUGCCGCCUUAGUUACCGGUUACCGGUGUUUGAUUCCAUAAUGAUCGCUCCUAACACGUUCGGGGUUGUUAUGGGGACCCCCUUGAUAAAUCGCGUAGUGCUAAGGCUUGUCCGGCAGGACCCAACAUUGGUACUAUUUGUUAAUCACCUAAUAAUAAACUGCAUAGGGAAUAGCUACCCCGAGGAAUUUAAUCAACAACCCGGGCCAGUGCUCCUCAUGAGUGUUGGUCCAAACCUGAGCACCUUAUUACGCUCCCCGGGGCAACUCGGUGUUUUGGCAUGGUAACCAUCGCUCAUCCGACGUGUCCUGAGACUGAGAUACGCGGCUCUUAUCAGGGUCGUCGACACGUCGGGAGGUCCUGCUAGUCUUCUCUUGCCUUAGCGGUAUAUCUUGCAUAUAGGAAUCCCAGUGAAGCUUUGGUUUUCCCCAGAGUCGAGGUUUUCCUCUAAGGAAUCCGACGAGAUCACGAGAUUCGUGAUAGAGGAUGCCUUUGCGGCCUGUGUUCGUUUGUGAUGGACUAGUUGGAGCACCCGUGCAGGGUUUAAUANNNNNNNNNNNNNNNNNNNNNNNNNNNNNNNNNNNNNNNNNNNNNNNNNNNNNNNNNNNNNNNNNNNNNNNNNNNNNNNNNNNNNNNNNNNNNNNNNNNNCAAGUAACAUACCGAAGGACAAAGGGAAUGACAUACGGGAUUAUAUGAAUCCUUGGCACUGAGGUUCAAAACGAUAAUAUCUUCGUAGAAUAUGUAGGAUCCAAUAUGGGCAUCCAGGUCCCGCUAUUGGAUAUUGACCGAGGAGUCCAUCGGGUCAUGUCUACAUAGUUCUCGAACCCGCAGGGUUUGCACACUUAAGGUUCGACAUUGUUUUAUGCGUAUUUGAGUUAUAUGGUUGGUUACCGAAUGUUGUUCGGAGUCCCGGAUGAGAUCACGGACGUCACGAGGGUUUCCGGAAUGGUCCGGUGACGAAGAUUGAUAUAUAGGAUGACCUCAUUUGAUUACCAGAAGGUUUUCGGAAUUACCGGGAAUGUACCGGGAAUGACGAAUGGGUUCCGGAUGUUCACCGGGGGGGGGGGCAGCCCAAACCGGGGAAGCCCAUAGGCCUUAGGGGUGCCGCACCAGCCCUUAGUGGGCUGGUGGGCAAGCCCAGAGAGGCCCCUGCGCAGGGAGAUAAGAAAAUCAAAGAGAAAAAAGGGGAAGUGGGAAGGAAGCGAAGGACUCCACCUUCCAAUCCUAGUUGGACUAGGAUUGGAGGAGGACUCCUCCUCCCCCCUUUGGGCGAACCCCUUGGGGCUCCUUGAGCCCCAAGGCAAGGCCCCUCCCCUCCCACAUAUAUAUACGGAGGUUUUAGGGCUGAUUUGAGAAAACUUUUCCACGGCAGCCCGACCACAUACCUCCACGGUUUUUCCUCUAGAUCGCGUUUCUGCGGAGCUCGGGCGGAGUCCUGCUGAGAUUAGAUAACCACCAACCACCGGAGCGCCGUCACCUUGCCGGAGAACUCAUCUACCCCUCCAUCUCUCUUGCUGGAUCAAGAAGGUCGAGAUCAUCGUCGAGCUGUACGUGUGCUAAACGCGGAGGUGUCAUCCGUUCGACACUAGAUUGGAGCGGAUCGUGGGAUGGAUCGCGGGACGGUUUGUGGGAUGGUUCGCGGGGCGAAUCGAGGGACGUGAGGACGUUCCACUACAUCAACCGCGUUUAUUAACGCUUCUGCUGUGCGAUCUACAAGGGUACGUAGAUCUGAAAUCCCCCUCGUAGAUGGACAUCACCAUGAUAGGUCUUCGUGCGCGUAGGAAAAUUUUUGUUUCCCAUGCGACGUUCCCCAACAGAUCUAUGGCUGGAGCAGCUGAUCAUCCUGAAUUCCAUUCGUUUGGAGUCGGCUCCGGCGAUGGAGGACGUGGAUCUGUGGCUGGAGCUGCUGAUCAUCCUGAAUUCCAUCCGUUCGGAGUAGGCUCCGGCGAUGGAGGACGUGGAUCUGUGGCUGGAGCAAGUGAUCAUCCUGAAUUCCAUCCGUUUGGAGUCGGCUCCGGCGAUGGAGGACGUGGAUCUGUGGUUGGAGCAGCUGAUCAUCCUGAAUUCCAUCCAUUCGGAGUCGGCUCCGGCAAUGGAGGACGUGGAUCUGUGGCUGGAGCAGCUGAUCAUCCUGAAUUCCAUCCGUUCGUAGUCGGCUCCGGCGAUGGAGGACGUGGAUCUGUGGCUGGAGCACCUGAUCAUCCUGAAUUCCAUCCGUUCGGAGUCGGCUGUGACGAUGAAGGACGUGGAUUUGUGGUUGGAGCAGCUGAUCAUCCUGAAUUCCAUCCGUUCGGAGUCGGCUCCGGCGAUGGAGGACGUGGAUCUAUGGCUGGAGCAGCUGAUCGUCCUGAAUUCCAUCCGUUCGGAGUCGGCUCCGAAGGCAAGACGUCUCCGCUGGCAACAGAUGGAGGCGACGCAGACUGCGCAGGAGGCGGCGCACGCGGCUCAGGACAUCGUCGACGAUGUGCUAUUCAUUUUACAUGCUUUUGUAUGGAUCUAGGAAUGAAAUGUGAGAGAGUUGAGUGUGGAUGAAUAGAUUUGAGACGUGAUCAGUCAGUGUCAACGAACGUGUUCGGGCUUGUCCGCGGGCGUUUGAGGGGCUAAAUUUGUAAGUAUCGGUCGUAGAUGCUCUUACAACCGGAUCCCUCAAGCCCUGCUCAAACGCUCGGACAGGUCGCCCCGUCAAUGCCCGGUCACGAANNNNNNNNNNNNNNNNNNNNNNNNNNNNNNNNNNNNNNNNNNNNNNNNNNNNNNNNNNNNNNNNNNNNNNNNNNNNNNNNNNNNNNNNNNNNNNNNNNNNAUUAUAGAGGAUUGAAGGGGUUUGCUCAUCACAAACCAUGUCCACCAAAUGGACAUGCGGGGAAUCGCGAGGUUUCUAAUCCCCUCGGGGAUAAUCCCCUACAAACCUCCUCAAACCCUGCGCACCAAACAAGGCCUAAGGAAUCAUAGCAAACCAAUUUAAAGAUCUCAUUAUUUUUUAUCUAGAAACCACAGUCGAAUGAUAUGUAGAGGAGAUCUUGGCAUGUCAUAAAGAAAAAAACUACACCUAAUAGACCAAGGAUAUUUUGCCACAUAACAAUCAAAAAAAGAUGUUGCACCAUUUCAGUUUCAUUAUAGAAUAAAUAUGAGCCAUUAACAUCAGUCGUAUGCUUGGCCAAAUUGUCACUAGUAUAGAAAAGUUUAGAUAUGACGUGACAAAAAUUGGACACCCGACGCCACCAAUGUGACGCCACAGUUAAAAAAUACUGUUGGCGUUGGCACCGACGCCAGCAGUAUUCGGAAUACCUAUAGCGUGGGCUAUAUCUCAAACGACAGCAAUAUCAUACAUAUCUAUGGCAUNNNNNNNNNNNNNNNNNNNNNNNNNNNNNNNNNNNNNNNNNNNNNNNNNNNNNNNNNNNNNNNNNNNNNNNNNNNNNNNNNNNNNNNNNNNNNNNNNNNNAAAGCGUUUUACACUACUCUAGUGUGUCAAAAACAUGAGUAGGAAGUACGAGUAAAUCAUUUUGAUAUUUGUUUGCGCAAAAAACAUUUUUAUAAAGCACACCUGUAUGAUACCGUACCAGAAAGUACGAACUGAUAUGAGUGCCACAUGAUUCUAGCAAAUGAAUGGACAACAAAGCAGGAUACCUGUCUUCCAUCCAAGAAAUGCUGUAUAGGUCGCCCAAGCAAGUGUCAUAUUCCGGCGGAGGGCUCGGGUACUCGCCAGGGCAAUACGCUCCCCAACUGCUCUCCUCUGCGUUUGAUGCGGUGGUUGCGUAGACACCAAUGUCGUUCGGCAGAAGCCCCUCAAAGACACUCCCGGCUUCACAGGCUUCAAGGUAAAAUACCUGCAAAAUAAGAGUCCAGCCAUUGCUUCAAGCAGCGAGUAAACAUGAAGACAGAGCAAAAAUACCAGAGGAUGAUGCAUGGGGGUACCAGGCUUUUGUAGGUUCCAGCAGCGUGCUUUUUCUCAGGACGUCUACAAGNNNNNNNNNNNNNNNNNNNNNNNNNNNNNNNNNNNNNNNNNNNNNNNNNNNNNNNNNNNNNNNNNNNNNNNNNNNNNNNNNNNNNNNNNNNNNNNNNNNNGCCAAGAACGGAUCCUUUCUAGAGAAAGAGUUUCUCUCGAAAGAAGUAAGUGGGAGGAAGGUAGAACUUGAUGAGGUAAUUACACCCCCUCUCGAACAGGAAAGUAGCGCAACGCAAGAAGUUGUUCCUGUGAUGCCUACACCAACUGAAGAGGAAGUUAAUGAUGAUGAUCAUGAAGCUUCGGAUCAAGUUACUACUGAACCACGAAGGUCCACAAGGGUACGCUCCGCACCAGAGUGGUACGGCAACCCUGUAAUGGAAAUCAUGUUGUUAGACAACGGUGAACCUUCGAACUAUGAAGAAGCGAUGGCGGGCCCGGAUUCCAACAAAUGGCUUGAGGCCAUGAAAUCCGAGAUAGGAUCCAUGUAUGAGAACAAAGUAUGGACUUUGGUGGACUUGCCCGAUGACCGGCGAGCCAUAGAAAAUAAAUGGAUCUUCAAGAAGAAGACUGAUGCAAACGGUAAUGUAACCGUUUACAAAGCUCGACUUGUCGCAAAGGGUUUUCGACAAAUUCAAGGAGUUGACUACGAAGAGAUUUUCUCUCCCGUAGCGAAGAUGAAAUCAGUCCGAAUCAUGUUAGCAAUUGCCGCCUUUUAUGAUUAUGAAAUUUGGCAAAUGGACGUCAAAACAGCAUUCCUUAACGGGAAUCUUAAGGAAGAGUUGUAUAUGAUGCAACCAGAAGGUUUUGUCGAUCCUAAAGGUGCUAACAAAGUGUGCAAGCUCCAGCGCUCCAUCUAUGGGCUGGUGCAAGCAUCUCGGAGUUGGAACAUUCCCUUUAAUGAGGUGAUUAAAGCGUUUGGGUUCAUACAGGUUUACGGAGAAGCCUGUCUGUACAAGAAAGUGAGUGGGAGCUCUGUAGCUUUCCUCGUACUAUAUGUGGAUGACAUAUUAUUGAUGGGGAAUGAUAUAGAGAUAUUGGAGAGCAUAAAGGCCUAUUUGAACAAGAAUUUUCAAUGAAGGACCUUGGAGAAGUUGUAUACAUAUUAGGCAUCAAGAUCUAUAGNNNNNNNNNNNNNNNNNNNNNNNNNNNNNNNNNNNNNNNNNNNNNNNNNNNNNNNNNNNNNNNNNNNNNNNNNNNNNNNNNNNNNNNNNNNNNNNNNNNNGAAUUCGGGAUGAUUAGCUGCUCCAGCCACAGAUCCACGUCCUCCAUCGCCGGAGCCGACUCCGAACGGAUGGAAUUCAGGAUGAUCAGUUGUUCCAGCCACAGAUCCACGUCCGCCAUCGCCGGAGCCGACUCCGAACGGAUGGAAUUCAGGAUGAUCAGUUGCUCCAGCCACAGAUCCACGCCUCCAUCGCCGGAGCCGACUCCAAACGGAUGGAAUUCAGGAUGAUCACUUGCUCCAGCCACAGAUCCACGUCCUCCAUCGCCGGAGCCUACUCCGAACGGAUGGAAUUCAGGAUGAUCAGCAGCUCCAGCCACAGAUCCACGUCCUCCAUCGCCGGAGCCGACUCCAAACGAUGGAAUUCAGGAUGAUCAGCUGCUCCAGCCAUAGAUCUGUUGGGGAACGUCGCAUGGGAAACAAAAUUUCCUACGCGCACGAAGACCUAUCAUGGUGAUGUCCAUCUACGAGGGGAUUUCAGAUCUACGUACCCUUGUAGAUCGCACAGCAGAAGCGUUAAUAAACGCGGUUGAUGUAGUGGAACGUCNNNNNNNNNNNNNNNNNNNNNNNNNNNNNNNNNNNNNNNNNNNNNNNNNNNNNNNNNNNNNNNNNNNNNNNNNNNNNNNNNNNNNNNNNNNNNNNNNNNNAUACGAGAUUACCGAAAGUUGUUCGGAGUCCCGGAUGAGAUCCCGGACGUCACGAGGAGCUCCGGAAUGGUCCGGAGGUAAAGAUUGAUAUAUAGGACGGAUGGUUUCGGACACCGGAAGUGUUUCGGGCAUCACCGGUAACGUACCGGGACCACCGGGACCACCGGAGGUGGUCCCGGGGGACCACCGAAGGGGGCUGCGACCCCAAGAGGUAAGAUGGGCUAAGUGGGGGUGGGAACCAGCCCCUAGUUGGGCUGGUGCGCCUCCCCACUCAGCCCAUGGCGCAGGGGGAAAGAAAAAGAGGGGGGGAACCCUAACUUAGGUGGGCCUUAGGCCCACCAGAGGGGUGCGCCACCCCCUCCUCCCCAUCUGGCCGCCACACACCCCAUCUGGGAGGGCUGCCACACCCCCUAGGGUGGGAACCCCUAGGGGUGGCACCCCCCUCUCCCCUUCCCCUAUAUAUAGUGGGCACUUUUUGGCCUUUUGGAGGAUACAGUUUUCCCUCUCCCUCGGCGCAGCCCCCGCACUUCUCCCUCCUCCUCUCUGCCGGCGCUUGGCGAAGCCCUACCGGGAGACCUCGUCUCUCCACCAACACCACGCCGUCGUGUUGCUGGUCUUCUUCCCCAACCUCUCCCUCCUCCUUGCUGGAUCAAGGUGCGGGAGACGUCACCGGGCUGCACGUGUGUUGAACGCGGAGGUGUCGUUGUUCGGCACUAGAUCGGAAUCGCUGCGAGUACGACUCCAUCAACCGCGUUCUAGCAACGCUUCCGCUUAGCGAUCUUCAAAGGUAUGAAGAUGCUCUUACCCCUCUCUCGUUGCUGGUCUCUCCAUNNNNNNNNNNNNNNNNNNNNNNNNNNNNNNNNNNNNNNNNNNNNNNNNNNNNNNNNNNNNNNNNNNNNNNNNNNNNNNNNNNNNNNNNNNNNNNNNNNNNUUCAAACGAUAAGAUCUUCGUAGAAUAUGUAGGAUCCAAUAUGGGCAUCCAGGUCCCGCUAUUGGAUAUUGACCGAGGAGUCUCUCGGGUCAUGUCUACAUAGUUCUCGAACCCGCAGGGUCUGCACACUUAAGGUUCGACGUUGUUUUAUGCGUAUUUGAGUUAUAUGGUUGGUUACCGAAUGUUGUUCGGAGUCCCGGAUGAGAUCACGGACGUCACGAGGGUUUCCGGAAUGGUCCGGAAACGAAGAUUGAUAUAUAGGAUGACCUCAUUUGGUUACCGGAAGGUUUUCGUGCAUUACCGGAAAAGUUUCGGGCUCAUCGGUAGUGUACCGGGAGUGCCGGGAGGGGUGCCGGGGACCAUCGGGAGGGGUGUCACGCCCCAAGGGGUCUCAUGGGCUAUGGGAAGAGAUAAACCAGCCCCUAGUGGGCUGGAAUAAGUCCCCACUAAGGCCCAUAAGGUUUGAGAAGGAAAAAACACAAGGUGGAAAGAGUUUCCAAGUGGGAAGGUGGAAUCCUACUCCAAGUAGGAUUGGAGUAGGACUCCUCCACCUCCAAUUUCGGCCAAACCUUUAGGUUUUGAGGCUGCCUCCUCCCCUCCCUCCCACCUAUAUAUAUACGGAGGUUUUAGGGCUGAUUUGAGACGAUUUUUCCACGGCAGCCCGACCACAUACCUCCACGGUUUUUCCUCUAGAUCGCGUUUCUGCGGAGCUCGGGCGGAGCCCUGCUGAGACAAGGUCAUCACCAACCUCCGGAGCGCCGUCACGCUGCCGGAGAACUCUUCUACCUCUCCGUCUCUCUUGCUGGAUCAAGAAGGCCGAGAUCAUCGUCGAGCUGUACGUGUGCUGAACGCGGAGGUGCCGUNNNNNNNNNNNNNNNNNNNNNNNNNNNNNNNNNNNNNNNNNNNNNNNNNNNNNNNNNNNNNNNNNNNNNNNNNNNNNNNNNNNNNNNNNNNNNNNNNNNNUGCAUGCAUCCAUGCCAUGUCAUUCCUUGCCUUACCUUUUGUAUGCAUGUGAUAUUGAUAGGUGUGAGGGUGUGGUUUAGUAAUAUUUUGGUUGAUGCCCAUGUGAUAAUGGUGUGUGCAUUGUAGGAGUGAGUGCUAGUCAUUUUAAGCUCUUGCUAUUUAAACUCCUUUUCCCUCCUAUUAUUCCAUGUCAAAAAUUCCUUCUUCCCAAGAUGAUUCUAAAAUGUCUGGUGGUUAGAGUAAAUUGUGAUUAUGAGGAGGUGAAUUUUUGCUGUUUUGUUCUUUGACUUUAAAGGAGAAAAUAAACCCAAACAGUAAAUUAAUUACUAUUUUGCGUUUAAUCUAAUUGGCUCCAAAUAUUUUGUUUCGAAUUUAUUUGAGUAGGCCAUAAUUCCUCAUGGCUAGGGGCAUUUUGCUUUGAUUUUUUUACCCCAUCAGAACUGCUAGAGAUUUAAAAACCUGUCUGAGUUGUUUAUUUUUUUAAAAAAGAAAACCAAACCCUUCCCAGUCUCGACCUAUCUUUCGCCUAUGGGAUUCGACACCGCGGCCCAGCCCACUUCGCCCGGAGUCACGCGCGCGGGCGUCGUCCUCCUCCCCUUUCCAGCGAGGCAGGCGGCCCCACUGGGCAGUCUCUCACCUCGCCCCUCCCCGAGCUGAAGCUCCCCGCACAAGGCACCGCAGCGCGCCCCUCGUUCCCCUCUCGCCCUAUAAAAUCCCUUUGGCGUCCGUGCCUUGGCUAGGGUUUCCCUACCGCCACCGCCGCUCCACCAGAUCCCUCCUCCCUCCUUCCUCUCUCGACGCGGUGAGGUAAGCGCUGGUUCCGCCAUGGCCGACGGGUGAAGGAGGUCACCGUCGCCGCCGUGGUACCUUCUCCUUCGCAUCAAGGGCUCCAGGAGCAUGCGGGCCUCACCACGGGCUCGUUCCCGCCGCCAGAUCGACGUUCCCGGCGCUGCUUCCUCUUCUUCCAGGAGCCCUUCUUCUCCGACGAGCUCCACCGCGACGCGCUCUUCUUCCCGCUGCUUCCACUCCGGUUGCUCCCUCCUCGACUCGAACACGAGGUAGCGCACCCCCUCCUUCCUCCCUGCCUCAGAUCGGGCGCCGUAGCCGUAGGGAUCGCCGGCGUGAUGUCUCUGUCGCCGGAGCCGCAAGUCGUCGUGGCCACGUCUCGGUAGAGCCCCUCGGGCAUAGCUAGGUGCGGGAAUGGAUCCGUGUGGAUGAGGGCUUCCUCCCCUCCACGAGUCGGAGACGGAUUCGACCCGCAGCGCCGGCGAGGCACCUCCCCUGUUCCGGCCAGUCGUCGGUAGCAGUAGUUGCUAGGGUGUGCACUUCUGAAUUUGCUGCCUUAUAUGUUCAGACAACGGUCCGUAGUGUAGUGGUAGAGUGUGGUGUGCCUGAUGAGGGGGCGCGGGUUCGAUCCCCCCUCGGCCUCUUUUGGUGUUUUUUUGGUUAACUCGGUGCACAGUGACCUGUGUAGCAGAUACCUUGUUCCCUUCCUCCAUCCUGUCGAUUAGAUGACAGAGGCGUGGUGGUUUGUUGCUGCUGCUGGACACCAGGGGUGCUGGGUUCGAUCCCCAGGAGCCCCUAUAUCUUUUGUUGCUUCUUUUCUUUUCUUGCCCAUUAAUUUCUGUUUGCUAACUCCUACACAAGUGGCUUGUUAGUUUCAUUAUUUCUGUUGUUUAUUUAACUCCUUCACACAGUGGUGUUUGGUCCUGGUCCUGCUAGCAUAGUGGAGUAAAUAUAAUUGUGUGUGUGUUUUGCACACUAAGAGGUGAUAAAUGAUAUUGCUAUACUUGUGAUGUUUAUGGUGGUUGCACCUUAGUGAAGUGGAGUUAACCUUGAUAAGGGGAUGAUGCUAGAUGCUUUGACAAUUGUGUGUGUUGUGCUUUGAGGUGAUAAGUUGCACUAGCUAAUCUUGUAUAGCCCCAACUUUUGAACUUUGGUGUGGGAUAAGUUGAUCAUGUAGUUUUAAUUGUUUGCAUUGAUUUAGUGGGGUGUGGGUGCCUCCCCCUCAUCACAUGUUUUGAUGUGAAGUGAUGGUCUAGUGGCCAACUAUGAUAGCAUGUGAAGGUGGAGCUUACUAGUUAAGCUAGAGUAGAAUGCUGUGGGGGUUGCUCCUUGAGUAUGACAUGAUUCUUAGGAAGAUCCAAGUGGUGUCAAACACCUCUUGGUGACAUGUGUGUGCAAACUAUGCCUAGACAAAGUGGGCAUGUGGCUGGAAAAUUCCAGAUUUAUGAACUCUGAAAAUUUCACAAAGUCUGGAAUGCUGGAAAUAUUUUCUUCCCCUGUAGAUAAGGAUGUGCUGGUCAUUAUGUUGAGAACUGGACUUAGUUCAGUCUAGUAUUUUGAACCUGGUAUGUUUGUGAAGCUUCCUGUCAAUUUUCAAGUCAUUUGGAGUCCAGUAGCUUGUGUUUUGAUUGCUGUCAAAAAGCUUCAGAACAGAAACAGAAACUCAGGGGCAGGAAUUUUCACUAAGUCCCUGAGAUCUGAUGGUUCUAGGAAAGUUUCUGGCCUGGUAUCUUCUAGAGUUUAAUUCCUUUUGCUGUGAUUCUUGCUGGGACUUGUAGUGUUCUUGGUUGGCAACAACCACAUAUACUAUUUGUCAUGUUUGAAGACCUGUAGCUAUGUUGCAUGUUGCUCACAAACAGCUAAGAUGCAAAAACUGGCAGAUUGCGUAGUUUUGCCUUUUUGGUCAAAGUUUGUGCUCAAUUGUUGUUGUGGUGUUCUACCUUGCUCCAUUUCACUCAUGUUGGGUUAAUAUAUGUCUUGGAAACCUGGGAAUACCAGAUUUGUGCCAAAUGUGUGUGAGGUGUUGAAUCUUUCACGUAGAGCUUCAUACCGUGUUUCGUUGAUUCCCGUUGAUCCGUAGCUCCGUUUGCAAAGUUCUUUAUAUGGUUUUGCACCGUUUUUACGAGCUGCAUCUGUUCAUAUCAUUCCCAUGCAUGUCCAAAUAGUUUAGUGCAAAGUUCUGUCCAGAAACUUGUUGUAGUCUAUUUUGCUUGUGCUAGUGAUAGAAAUAGUGUUGCACGCUCAACUUUCAUGUCAUGCAUCAUGUGAUUGUUGCAUUUUGUGGUGCUGCUGUUCAUUGGCUGUAUUCUUGUGUUGGGUAGCACCGGGAGCGGAGAACGAAUACGUGGAGUCAGGAGAGUACGUGCAGGACGAUCCAGAACCAUUCCAAGCUGAGGAUAUCACAGGCAAGAUGAUAUGACCUUGAUCCCAUCUCUAGACUUGUUAUGUUAGUUUCGAUUCCAUGUCAAAUUGCUCGCUGCCUACCACUGAAAAUAUAUUGCCUCUUCAUAUGCCAUGAGCCUAAACACCUUACUAUUUCCUAGCAACUUGCUGUUGGGGAACGUCGCAAGGGAAACAAAAAAAAUUCCUACGCGCACGAAGACCUAUCAUGGUGAUGUCCAUCUACGAGAGGGGAUGAGUGAUCUACGUACCCUUGUAGAUCGUACAGCAGAAGCGUUAGAGAACGCGGUUGAUGUAGUGGAACGUCCUCACGUCCCUCGAUCCGCCCCGCGAACAAUCCCGCGAUCAGUCCCACGAUCUAGUACCGAACGGACGGCACCUCCGCGUUCAGCACACGUACAGCUCGACGAUGAUCUUGGCCUUCUUGAUCCAGCAAGAGAGACAGAGAGGUAGAAGAGUUCUCCGGCAGCGUGACGGCGCUCCGGAGGUUGGUGAUGAUCUAAUCUCAGCAGGGCUCCGCCCGAGCUCCGCAGAAACGCGAUCUAGAGGAAAAACCGUGGAGGUAUGUGGUCGGGCUGCCGUGGCAAAACUUGUCUCAAAUCAGCCCUAAUACCUCAGUAUAUAUAGGAGGGAGGGGGAGGGAAGAGGCAGCCUCAAACCCUCAAGGUUUGGCCGAAAUCGGAGGUGGAGGAGUCCUACUCCAAUCCUAGUUGGAGUAGGAUUCCACCUUCCCACUUGGAAACUCUUUCCACCUUGUGUUUUUUCCUUCUCAAACCUUAUGGGCCUUAGUGGGAACUUAUUCCAGCCCACUAGGGGCUGGUUUAUCUCUUCCCAUAGCCCAUGAGACCCCUUGGGGCGUGACACCCCUCCCGAUGGUCCCCGGCACCCCUCCCGGCACUUCCGGUACACUACCGAUGUGUCCGGAACUUUUCCGGUGACCAAAACAGGACUUCCUAUAUAUCAAUCUUUACCUCCGGACCAUUCCGGAGCUCCUCGUGACGUCCGAGAUCUCAUCCGGGACUCCGAACAACAUUCGGUAACCAACCAUAUAACUCAAAUACGCAUAAAACAACGUCGAACCUUAAGUGUGCAGACCCUGCGGGUUCGAGAACUAUGUAGACAUGACCCGAGUGACUCCUCGGUCAAUAUCCAAUAGCGGGACCUGGAUGCCCAUAUUGGAUCCUACAUAUUCUACGAAGAUCUUAUCGUUUGAACCUCAGUGCCAAGGAUUCAUAUAAUCCCGUAUGACAUUCCCUUUGUCCUUCGAUAUGUUACUUGCCCGAGAUUCGAUCGUCAGUAUCCGCAUACUUAUUUCAAUCUCGUUUACCGGCAAGUCUCUUUACUCGUUCCGUAAUACAAGAUCCCGCAACUUACACUAAGUCACAUUGCUUGCAAGGCUUGUGUGUGAUGUUGUAUUACCGAGUGGGCCCCGAGAUACCUCUCCGUCACACGGAGUGACAAAUCCCAGUCUUGAUCCAUACUAACUCAACUAACACCUUCGGAGAUACCUGUGGAGCAUCUUUAUAGUCACCCAGUUACGUUGCGACGUUUGAUACACACAAAGCAUUCCUCCGGUGUCAGUGAGUUAUAUGAUCUCAUGGUCAUAGGAAUAAAUACUUGACACGCAGAAAACAGUAGCAACAAAAUGACACGAUCAACAUGCUACGUCUAUUAGUUUGGGUCUAGUCCAUCACAUGAUUCUCCUAAUGAUGGGAUCCCGUUAUCAAGUGACAACACUUGCCUAUGGCCAGGAAACCUUGACCAUCUUUGAUCAACGAGCUAGUCAACUAGAGGCUUACUAGGGACAGUGUUUUGUCUAUGUAUCCACACAAGUAUUGUAUUCCAAUCAAUACAAUUAUAGCAUGGAUAAUAAACGAUUAUCAUGAACAAAGAAAUAUAAUAAUAACUAAUUUAUUAUUGCCUCUAGGGCAUAUUUCCAACACUUGCAUGGCUAGGUAGGCUUGCUCAGCUACUAAUGUUAGCAUUGUUAGUUGCAGGUGUUUUAAACUCAUGUGAUGACAUGAGCUUGAUAUCAUUAUAUUAAUUUCUGUUAUUCAAUUAAUGUAUCUAUAUACUUGGUAAAUGACGGGAGGCCUAGCCUUUUGCCGGGUGUCUUGUUCCGUUAUUGUCGCCUUAGUUACCGGUUACCGGUGUUUGAUUCCAUAAUGAUCGCUCCUGACACGUUCGGGGUUGUUAUGGGGACCCCCUUGAUAAAUCGUGUUAAAGCUUGUCCGGCAGGACCCAACAUUGGUACUAUUUGUUAAUCACCUAAUAAUAAACUGCAUAGGGAAUAGCUUCCCCGAGGAAUUUAAUCAACAACCCGGGCCAGUGCUCCUCAUGAGUGUUGCUCCAAACCAGAGCAGCUUAUUACGCUCCCCGGGGCAACUCGGUGUUUUGGCGUGGUAACCAUCGCUCAUCCGGCGUGUCCUGAGACUGAGAUACGCGGCUCUUAUCAGGGUCGUCGACACGUCGGGAGGUCCUGCUAGUCUUGUCUUGCCUUAGUGGUAUAUCUUGCGUAUAGGAAUCCCAGUGAAGGUUUGGUUUUCCCCAGAGUCGAGGUUUUCCUCUAAGGAAUCCGACGAGAUCACGAGAUUCGUGAUAGAGGAUGCCUUUGCGGCAUGUGUUCGUUUGUGAUGGACUAGUUGGAGCACCCCUGCAGGGUUUAAUCUUUCGGAAAGCCGUGCCCGCGGUUAUGUGGCAACUUGGAAUAUUUUGUUAACAUCCGGUAUUAGAGAACUUAAACAUAAACUAAUAAAAAUGCCAACUGUGUGCGUAACCGUGACUGUCCCUUCGAAGACCUCUCUUCGAUCGGGAACACGGUGGGGUUAUGAAUGCCGUAGGUAGGUGUUCAGGAUCACUUUCUGAUCAAGUAUUCUCGAUCGUUAGCAUAGACCACUUUCACUCCAUUUUUGCGUAAGUUAGCCAAUUAUUCAAUCAUAGGUUGCAGCAGCCUGUCACAUUUCAUCCCUUCCUUACCCAAAUGACGUGACUAGAUUUAGCACCAAGGUCUUAGAUUGCUGAGUCCUCGUGGCUCACGGAUUCCUCCGAAAACUCCCAGCAGGUACAGGUACCCCAGAGACUGAUGAUCCCGAUGGCACCCAGCUGGCGUGGCAGUACGACGAGGAGACAGAUCGCCUUUACGUGAACUAUCCAGAGGACUGAGCCGUGGUCGUGAUCGUGGGCCUGUAGCGGGUAGCAUAGCAUUUUCUUGGUUUUGUAGUCCGUCCCGGAACUACCUUGUUUGCAUCUGCGUUGUACUCUGUAUUAUUAAUAAGAAGACAGUUGAAUCCCAGAUUGUCUUCUGUAAUUAUGAUUAUGUGCUAUGUUUACUUGCUUGCGAAACGCUUAGAUGCGCUUCUUUCCUAUUCGGGGGCCUCGACCCCCAGAUCGGAAAGGACCGCAUCUUGGUCGUUUGAGUCUUAGUUAUAUCGGAGAGUAGGUUUCAUUUUUCUCCUCUUCUUUGCUCUGGUGACGCUUCCGUCUUAGGAAGUCUUUAACUCUACUCCUUUAAUCGCUAAAAAAAAAAUUAGGAUCACGCGGGUGUUUGCGAAAUCUAUAUGAUUUCGAUGUGACGGAAUCAUGUCCUGGUGCCUCCUAUCUGCUCUAAGUAUCAGGGGAGUGGAGCUCCAGGGAUUAUCGCGCACAUCGCCAUCAUUCAGAUUUCUGAGUAUCUAAGAACGGAGGGUGUUCGUUAUCGCUUCAAUACGGGUACUGGUGAGAUAACCCCGACGUCCCCAGUACUGGUGUAGAUUGUUCGGGGGUACUACCACACUUUGUAUCGUUGUGAUCACGAGGAUCUGUUGUAGACGAAGGUCCGAGAUGCUGGUUGUGUGUUGAGGGAUGUGAUACAGGUGACGGCUUAGUUUAGGAGUUGUGUGAAAUACUCCUUGUAUCCGGGUGCCUGAUUGCAUAACCAGUUAUUUCGGGAAUUCAUAGGUGGGAUAUCUGGUAGUAUCUUAUANNNNNNNNNNNNNNNNNNNNNNNNNNNNNNNNNNNNNNNNNNNNNNNNNNNNNNNNNNNNNNNNNNNNNNNNNNNNNNNNNNNNNNNNNNNNNNNNNNNNGGGGACAACGAAGAGUCGACGGAGGAGGCGCCGCCGCUAGAUAUUGGGGAGGAGGAGACUCCGGUGAUGGAGGACGUGGAUCUGUGGCUGGAGCGGAGCUGUUGAUCAUCCGGAUUUCCAUCUGUUUGGAAUCGGCUCCGGCGAUAAGGACGUGGAUCUGUGGCUGGAGCAGCUGAUCAUCCUGAAUUCCAUCCGUUCGGAGUCGGCUUCGGCGAUGGAGGACAUGGAUCUUGUUGGAAUUAUGUCCUAGAAGCAAUGAUAAAUAAGUUAUUGUUAUAAUUCAUGUAUCAAGAUAAUCGUUUAUUAUCCAUGCUAUAAUUGUAUUGAAUGAAGACUUAGAUACAUGUGUGGAUACAUAGACAAAACACUGUCCCUAGCAAGCCACUACAACACGUACGUCAUUAGGAGGCAUUUUAUUAACGGCGAUUUCCUAAAAUGCCUUAAAAUCAUGUACUAAUGGCAGUUUGAAAAAGUGCCUCCAAUUGUUACUGGCAUUCCGGCCGAGAGCGCCUCUAAUAUUAAUUUUAUUAUACAAUUUGACCCUUGAUGUUUGACUAUUUACGAAACAACCCUCCCACCUCUCUCUGCACAUCGGUGGACAACACAGAAAAAGAAAAANNNNNNNNNNNNNNNNNNNNNNNNNNNNNNNNNNNNNNNNNNNNNNNNNNNNNNNNNNNNNNNNNNNNNNNNNNNNNNNNNNNNNNNNNNNNNNNNNNNNACCUGGCUCUGAUACCACUGUUGGUUAACGUAGCAUAAAUUCAAAAUUUUCCUACGCAUGUUCAGAUCUUCCUAUGGAGAGACCAGCAACGAGAGAGGGGUAAGAGCAUCUUCAUACCUUUGAAGAUCGCUAAGCGGAAGCGUUGCUAGAACGCGGUUGAUGGAGUCGUACUCGCAGCGAUUCCGAUCUAGUGCCGAACAACGACACCUCCGCGUUCAACACACGUGCAGCCCGGUGACGUCUCCCGCACCUUGAUCCAGCAAGGAGGAGGGAGAGGUUGGGGAAGAAGACCAGCAACACGACGGCGUGGUGUUGGUGGAGAGACGAGGUCUCCCGGUAGGGCUUCGCCAAGCGCCGGCAGAGAGGAGGAGGGAGAAGUGCGGGGCUGCGCCGAGGGAGAGGGAAAACUGUAUCCUCCAAAAGGCCAAAAAGUGCCCACUAUAUAUAGGGGAAGGGGAGAGGGGGUGCCACCCCUAGGGUUCCCACCCUAGGGGGUGUGGCAGCCCUCCCAGAUGGGGUGUGUGGCGGCCAGAUGGGGAGGAGGGGGUGGCGCACCCCUCUGGUGGGCCUAAGGCCCACCUAAGUUAGGGUUCCCCCCCUCUUUUUCUUUCCCCUGCGCCAUGGGCUGAGUGGGGAGGCGCACCAGCCCAACUAGGGGCUGGUUCCCACCCCCACUUAGCCCAUCUUACCUCUUGGGGUCGCAGCCCCCCUUCGGUGGUCCCCCGGGACCACCUCCGGUGGUCCCGGUGGUCCCGGUACGUUACCGGUGAUGCCCGAAACACUUCCGGUGUCCGAAACCAUCCGUCCUAUAUAUCAAUCUUUGCCUCCGGACCAUUCCGGAGCUCCUCGUGACGUCUGGGAUCUCAUCCGGGACUCCGAACAACUUUCGGUAAUCUCGUAUAACAAUUCCCUAUAACCCUAGCGUCAUCGAACCUUAAGUGUGUAGACCCUACGGGUUCGGGAGACACGCAGACAUGACCGAGACACCUCUCUGGCCAAUAACCACCAGCGGGGUCUAGAUACCCAUGGUGGCUCCCACUAGCUCCACGAUGAUCACAUCGGAUGAACCACGAUGUCAAGGAUUCAAUCAAUCCCGUAUACGAUUCCCUUUGUCUGUCGGUAUAGAACUUGCCCGAGAUUCGAUCGUCGGUAUACCUAUACCUUGUUCAAUCUCGUUACCGGUAAGUCUCUUUACUCGUUCCGUAGCACGUCAUCGUGUGACUAACUCCUUAGUCACAUUGAGCUCAUGAUGAUGUUCUACCGAGUGGGCCCAGAGAUACCUCUCCGUCACACAGAGUGACAAAUCCCGAUCUCGAUUCGUGCCAACCCAACAAACACUUUCGGAGGUACCCGUAGUGCACCUUUAUAGUCACCCAGUUACGUUGUGACGUUUGAUACACCCAAAGCACUCCUACGGUAUCCGGGAGUUGCACGAUCUCACGGUCGAAGGAAAAGAUACUUGACAUUAGAAAAGCAUUAGCAUACGAACAAUACGAUCUAGUGCUAGGCUUAGGAUUGGGUCUUGUCCACCACAUCAUUCUCCCAAUGAUGUGAUCCCGUUAUCAAUGACAUCCAAUGUCCAUGAUCAGGAAACCAUGAUCAUCUAUUGACUAACGAGCUAGCUAACUAGAGGCUUGCUAGGGACACAUUGUGAUCUAUUCAUUCACACAUGUAUUAGUGUUUCCUGUUAAUACAAUUAUAGCAUGAACGAUAGACGAUUAUCAUGAACAAGGAAAUAUGAUAAUAACCAUUUUAUNNNNNNNNNNNNNNNNNNNNNNNNNNNNNNNNNNNNNNNNNNNNNNNNNNNNNNNNNNNNNNNNNNNNNNNNNNNNNNNNNNNNNNNNNNNNNNNNNNNNUGAACCCUAAGACCGCCGAUCUGAAGGAUCAACAAACACACGAUGACAUCAACUCCGAGAUGCCGCCAUGGAGGAACACCGUCGGUAUGGGAGUAAAAGUUGAGGAAGAUUUAUUCAUCCGUAUGCCGCUUCCAUCACCCAACGACACAUCACGACCUACAGAUCCAAGCCCUAACUACAGACCGGAGGAUCGGGGUCCUCCUCCCUCCUGCCGCUGGAGUAGCAGCCGGAGGGAGAGGGGCCAACGACCUGUCCAGUUGAGAUCCGGCGAAAGAAAGUCCUCUCUCUAGUCGCCUCGCUCCUCGCGGUAGCUAGGGUAGGAAACCAAAGCGGAUAGGCGCAAACGAGGUCAACACACCGAGUAGCAAUGGAUUACCAGCAACAAAACACAAUGAUGCAGCCGUAUGUACUAGUAUAAGGUAGACAAAAACGAAAAUGCUAAAUGGAGGCCGAGCUCCAUGAAGCUCUUUAUUUGAUUUUAAAAAAUCACAUUUUUAAGUUUUUAAAAAUAUAAAAAAGUCAUACGCAUUCAUACUGUAAUACAUGUGUUAAAAUUUGAAAAUGAUAUACCUUAUGAUGAGAGAUACACAAAAAGACAAAAUCAUAAUUUUGAAAUGACGAACGGUACAUGCACUGCUUACUACUCCCUCCGUUCCUAAAUAUAAGUCUUUUUAGAGGUUUUACUAAAGGACUACAUAUCGAUGUAUAUAGACAUACUUUAGAGUAUAGAUUCACUCAUUUUGCUUCGUAUGUAGUCCCUUAGUAAAAUCUCUUAAAAGACUUAUAUUUAGGAACGGAGGGAGUAUAAAAAAUGCACGAAUUUAUCUUUUUGUGCAGCCCACAUCAUAAUGUAUUUUAUUGUAAGACUUUGCACACAUGUAAAACACAUCCAUAUGAACAUGUAUGAUUUUCGGAAUUUUGAAGCUUAAAAAUAUGACUUUGAAUUUUCAAAUACAGAGCUCCAUNNNNNNNNNNNNNNNNNNNNNNNNNNNNNNNNNNNNNNNNNNNNNNNNNNNNNNNNNNNNNNNNNNNNNNNNNNNNNNNNNNNNNNNNNNNNNNNNNNNNGAAAAAGCAAUCUGGAAGUAAUAAUUUGACAUGUAAGAAAGAAGACGCGCCAACCGAAACAAUCAAAGUAGAGAUCAUAAUAAACAUUGCUUAAAAUGCCGAUAACAACAUUUCGUUGUCGAUGAGUUAACAGGCUCCAACGAAAUUACAAUUUACUAAUUAACCAUGGGAAGCAUCAAUGUCAAGUCUGCCUUCUAACCAUCAAACCUUGAUUUGCGCAAUGGAUAUUAUCUUGACGUGAUAACAAAGGAGCCCCCUUUUUUGGCAUGAUCAAAAGAAGUUCCGAUACACAUUUUUUUAGAGAGUGCCUAGAACUCAGCUAGCUGAGAUUUUCUAUGGUCUCAUUCACAUAAUUUUAUUAUAUUGUGUGUUUAUUCUGUUUGUUUUCUUUAGCUCAUCAUUUUAUUUUUUGGGCUGAAAUAUCAUAUUUUUGGUUGUUGUUGCUAUGUGCCCCAUCUAGCCGGUCCAAUAACUACUCGUUCGGUUCUUAUUGUUGCACGUCAUAUUAAAAAAAAAAAAUCAUUGAUAGAGAAAAAAAGAAUAAGAAAAAAAUUAUGUAAUGGCUUGUUAAAAUUCAACUACUCCGACCACUAAACAUUCUUGUACAAAGUAGUGUGUCCUUAUUAUAUGAAUUUAUUUUUCUUAGUAAAACAACUUGAUUCUAGCUUUUCCAUGUAAUUGCUGCACAAAUAAGAUUUGCAGUUGCGACCCGACUAUGAAUACUUGCAAUUGCGACCCGACUAUGAAUACUUGCAAUUAUGAUCCGACUAUAAAUACUUGCAAUUGCGACCUAACUUCGAAUACAUGCAGUUGCCAUCNNNNNNNNNNNNNNNNNNNNNNNNNNNNNNNNNNNNNNNNNNNNNNNNNNNNNNNNNNNNNNNNNNNNNNNNNNNNNNNNNNNNNNNNNNNNNNNNNNNNUUUUUGACACUCAAGGAGUAACAUUUUUAUACUAGUGGAAAUUACCAAAUCCAACCACUCAAGGAAAAUAACAAUCCAAUCUUUCCAAAGGAAAACAAAACAAUAAUCCAAUUUCUCUCAAGAAAAAGAACUCCAAUGCAAGACAGUGUGGUAUAAAUUAAUUUAAUGGGAAAAUGUGCAAGAAAAAACCACAUUAUUUUCUCACAAAAAAACUCCUCUUAUUUUUACUAGCAACCUUGCUUGAUCAGGAUCUGUUACCGUUGCAUCCUUGACUAAUAAGGAGGCAAAGCAAAAAAAACUACCAUUUCCUAAAAAAAGUACUAGUAGAAAUCACCAAAUCCAACCACUCAAGGAAAAAUAAUAAUCCAAUCUUUCUGAAUGAAAAAAAAAACAAUAACCGAAUGCCUGUGUAAGACAGUGUAAUACUAAUAAUUAAUUAGUGAGAAAAUGUGCAAGAACUGGAGUGAACUGUUAUAUAUGAACAUCUGGUAAAUACUGAAACAUUCCAAAAUAGUUUAUAAAAUCAUUUACAAAGGGGCUGUCGGGACCCGGCGUUUUAGUUUCUCUUAUUAAUCGACAGAGGAAAUAGAGCGCCUGGCCCGAGCAGCAAACAGAGAAGAAGAAAGGGAAAAUANNNNNNNNNNNNNNNNNNNNNNNNNNNNNNNNNNNNNNNNNNNNNNNNNNNNNNNNNNNNNNNNNNNNNNNNNNNNNNNNNNNNNNNNNNNNNNNNNNNNCACCCGGGACUAAAGCCCCUUCGCUGACUGCACGAUAAGUUUAGUCCCACCUCGCCCAGCGAGGGGGACUAACACUAGUUUAUAAGCCCCGUCGCAGCAUCUCCAUCGAGCUCCUCUCUAAAGCAGGCUUACGGGCCUAAACUGACUCUAAAUUUAAAAAUUGAAACUAUAUUUGAAAUUAUGGAGAAAAUUAAACCUGAAUUCAAAGUGAGGUCACUUUGAAUUUAGGUUUAAUUUUCUCUAUAAAUUCUCAUAUAGUUUCAAUUUUUUCCUAUUUUCAAAAUUAACUAUUUUGUUAUUUUCAAUUAAAAAAUAUGUUUAUCAAAAUUCUUUUUGCAUAUUUUAGAAUUUAACAAAACUAUGAUAAUGAAAAAGUGUUUGAAAUUGAAUAAAUAAUUCAAAACUAUUUUCUAUUUUCAAAAUUAAUUAUUUUGACUAUCCAAACAAUUAACUAUUUUGUUAUUUUCAAUUAAAAACUAUGUUUAUUAAAAAUUCUUUUUGCAUAUUUCGAGAAUUUGACAAAACUAUGAUAACGAAAAGGUGUUUGAAAUUGAAUAAAUAAUUCAAAACUAUUUCUAUUUCAAAAUUAAUUAUUUGACUAUCCAAACUAUUAACUAUUUNNNNNNNNNNNNNNNNNNNNNNNNNNNNNNNNNNNNNNNNNNNNNNNNNNNNNNNNNNNNNNNNNNNNNNNNNNNNNNNNNNNNNNNNNNNNNNNNNNNNCAUGCUAUCAUCAUUUCACCCACAUAGCAUGUGGUAAAAAAGUUGAGAGGGGCUACGACAAAAAACUGGAUACACUUCGCGUACAAAACGGMMAAUCUCUCUCGAAGUAUCAGGGUUUUCGAACGAGAACUCAUCUCUUACAAAGGGAUUUCAUUUUUUUGAACUUAUUUGAACUCCAUUACUUUUUGUGUGUUCAAAAUUGCACCAUUCAAAGGCACAUCACAAAAAUUUCAACAAUUUUCUGACUUCAUUUGGUAUUCUUACGUGCAUUUACUUUUUUUUGAGCUAGUUGACCCUGAAAUUGAAAAGCACUACAAAUGAACUCUAAAAAAUGUUGAAAGUUGGCAUGCUAUCAUCAUUUCACCCACAUAGCAUGUGUUAAAAAUGUUGAGAGGGCUACGACAAAAACUGGAUGCACUUCGUGUACAAAACGGACAAUCUCUCUCGAAGUAUCAGGGUUUCGAACGAGAACUCAUCUCUUACAAAGGGAUUUCAUUUUUGUAACUUAUUUGAACUCCAUACUUUUUGUGUGUUCAAAAUGCACCAUUCAAAGGCACAUCACAAAAUUUCAACAAUUUAUGACUUCAUUUGGUACUUUUUUAGUCUAGUUGACCCUGAAAUUGAAAAGCACUACAAAUGAACUCUGAAAAUGUUGGCAGUUCGCAUGCGCUAUCAUCAUUUCNNNNNNNNNNNNNNNNNNNNNNNNNNNNNNNNNNNNNNNNNNNNNNNNNNNNNNNNNNNNNNNNNNNNNNNNNNNNNNNNNNNNNNNNNNNNNNNNNNNNAGAGAAGGACUCCACCUUCCAAUCCUAGUUGGACUAGGAUUGGAGGAGGACUCCUCCUCCCUUGGUGGCACAGCCCUUGGGGCUCCUUGAGCCUCAAGGCAAGCCUCCCUCCCCUCCUCCUAUAUAUAUGGAGCUAUUAGGGCUGAUUUGAGAUGACUUUUGCCACGGCAGCCCGACCACAUACCUCCACGGUUUUUCCUSUARAUCGCGUUUCUGCGGAGCUCGGGCGGAGCCCUGCUGAGAUAAGAUCACCACCAACCUCCGGAGCGCCGUCACACUGCCGGAGAACUCAUCUACCUCUCCGUCUCUCUUGCUGGAUCAAGAAGGCCGAGAUCAUCGUCGAGCUGUACGUGUGCUGAACGCGGAGGUGCCAUCCGUUCAGCACUAGAUCGGAGCGGAUCGUGGGACGGUUCGCGGGGCUGAUCGAGGGAUGUGAGGACGUUCCACUACAUCAACCGCAUUUGUUAACGCUUUUGUUGUGCGAUCUACAAGGGUACGUAGAUCGGAAAUCCCCUCUCGUAGAUGGACAUCACCAUGAUAGGUCUUCGUGCGCGUAGGAAAUUUGUUCCCAUGCGACGUUCCCAACAGAUCUAUGGCUGGAGCAGCUGAUCAUCCUGAAUUCCAUCCGUUCGGAGUCGGCUCCGGCGAUGGAGGACGUGGAUCUGUGGCUGGAGCACCUGAUCAUCCUGAAUUCCAUCCGUUCGGAGUCGGCUGUGACNNNNNNNNNNNNNNNNNNNNNNNNNNNNNNNNNNNNNNNNNNNNNNNNNNNNNNNNNNNNNNNNNNNNNNNNNNNNNNNNNNNNNNNNNNNNNNNNNNNNGGAUGCCAUGUUCAUCUGAUGGUGUUUGUUUUUCGGGAUAAAAGUGCCAGCGCGUGGUCUUCUCGCUUAAUUACGCCUUAUAAUAAACAUAUAUGCAUGUUAGGGGAUGUUUUGGCUCCCGGUAGCAUUUAUUCCCAGAUGAACUUUUUCAUAAAAGAAAGUGUUAAACUGUUUUUAGAAAAAUCUGAAUUUUUUGUGGAUGUUUGGGUUAGAGUCGCAAGUUUGUUUGACAAUAUUCAUGCAAAACAGAACGGUAGUGUUUCGUUGGUGAAAAAAUAAAUUUCAGGUGACAUCCUCGGAAAAUGUUUGGUGUUUAAAUCUUUUUUCUUUUGUAUAGGCCAAAAUAUUUAAACUUUUUUUCUAAAACUUCACAGAUAGCAUAGGAUGUGACUAUAAAUACAUAAAAGUUGGACACUGAUAAGUGUCAUACGUGUGACAUGAACAUAUGACAAUUCUGAACGUCUUUUAUGACAAAUUUUAAUGACAAGAGAACAACAACUUUUUGUCUGGAUGACAAGUUUAUGUCUUUUUUAUUAUUUAUUUUUGGUUGAUAAUUUUAGUUGUAAAACAUCAGGAUAAAUUGCUUCGUGUCAUACAUGUGACACUUAUUAUUUGGAUACAUGUUUUGUUGGGAUUUUUUGGCAUUUCCAAAUUAUUUUUCGCGCUUCUGGAGCCAAAUUCGAUUCCAACGCAUACGAUACCAGCAUUCAUUCUGUUGAUGAGUAAGCAACGGCAUCAGAUACUGGGUGAUGUAGGUGCUUGAAUGCUUGAGAAGGAAGAAGAAAGAGCCGGAUGGUCAUGGUGGAAUCUCGGGCCGGCGAAAAGGGGAGCAGCGAAAAGGUGGACGGUGGCGGUGGCAAAGCCAAGGCAGCAAAGUCGUUGNNNNNNNNNNNNNNNNNNNNNNNNNNNNNNNNNNNNNNNNNNNNNNNNNNNNNNNNNNNNNNNNNNNNNNNNNNNNNNNNNNNNNNNNNNNNNNNNNNNNUGCUUCCUCUUCUUCCAGGAGCCCUUCUUCUCCGACGAGCUCCACCGCGACGCGCUCUUCUUCCCGCUGCUUCCACUCCGGUUGCUCCCUCCUCGACUCGAACACGAGGUAGCGCACCCCCUCCUUCCUCCCUGCCUCAGAUCGGGCGCCGUAGCCGUAGGGAUCGCCGGCGUGAUGUCUCUGUCGCCGGAGCCGCAAGUCGUCGUGGCCACGUCUCGGUAGAGCCCCUCGGGCAUAGCUAGGUGCNNNNNNNNNNNNNNNNNNNNNNNNNNNNNNNNNNNNNNNNNNNNNNNNNNNNNNNNNNNNNNNNNNNNNNNNNNNNNNNNNNNNNNNNNNNNNNNNNNNNNNNNNNNNNNNNNNNNNNNNNNNNNNNNNNNNNNNNUCGGCCUCUUUUGGUGUUUUUUGGUUAACUCGGUGCACAGUGACCUGUGUAGCAGAUACCUUGUUCCCUUCCUCCAUCCUGUCGAUUAGAUGACAGAGGCGUGGUGGUUUGUUGCUGCUGUUGGACACCAGGGGUGCUGGGUUCGAUCCCCAGGAGCCCCUAUAUCUUUUGUUGCUUCUUUUCUUUUCUUGCCCAUUAAUUUCUGUUUGCUAACUCCUACACAAGUGGCUUGUUAGUUUCAUUAUUUCUGUUGUUUANNNNNNNNNNUCUUCUUUUCUUUUCCUGCCCAUUAAUUUUUGUUUCCUAACUCCUACACAAGUGGCUUGUUAGUUUCAUUAUUUCUGUUGUUUAUUUAACUCCUUCACACAGUGGUGUUUGGUCCUGUUCCUGCUAGCAUAGUGGAGUAGAUAUAAUUGUGUGUGUGUUUUGCACACUAAGAGGUGAUAAAUGAUAUUNNNNNNNNNNNNNNNNNNNNNNNNNNNNNNNNNNNNNNNNNNNNNNNNNNNNNNNNNNNNNNNNNNNNNNNNNNNNNNNNNNNNNNNNNNNNNNNNNNNNCUCCAAACCAGAGCAGCUUAUUACGCUCCCCGGGGCAACUCGGUGUUUUGGCGUGGUAACCAUCGCUCAUCCGGCGUGUCCUGAGACUGAGAUACGCGGCUCUUAUCAGGGUCGUCGACACGUCGGGAGGUCCUGCUAGUCUUGUCUUGCCUUAGUGGUAUAUCUUGCGUAUAGGAAUCCCAGUGAAGGUUUGGUUUUCCCCAGAGUCGAGGUUUUCCUCUAAGGAAUCCGACGAGAUCACGAGAUUCGUGAUAGAGGAUGCCUUUGCGGCCUGUGUUCGUUUGUGAUGGACUAGUUGGAGCACCCGUGCAGGGUUUAAUAUUUCGGAAAGCCGUGCCCGCGGUUAUGUGGCAACUUGGAAUAUUUUGUUAACAUCCGGUAUUAGAGAACUUAAACAUAAACUAAUAAAAAUGCCAACUGUGUGCGUAACCAUGACUGUCCCUUCGAAGACCUCUCUUCGAUCGGGAACACGAUGGGGUUAUGAAUGCCGUAGGUAGGUGUUCAGGAUCACUUUCUGAUCAAGUAUUCUCGAUCGUUAGCAUAGACCACUUUCACUCCAUUUUUGCGUAAGUUAGCCAAUUAUUCAAUCAUAGGUUGCAGCAGCCUGUCACACUUCAUCCCUUCCUUACCCAAAUGACGUGACUAGAUUUGGCACCAAGGUCUUAGAUUGCUGAGUCCUCAUGGCUCACGGAUUCCUCCGAAAACUCCCAGCAGGUACAGGUACCCCAGNNNNNNNNNNNNNNNNNNNNNNNNNNNNNNNNNNNNNNNNNNNNNNNNNNNNNNNNNNNNNNNNNNNNNNNNNNNNNNNNNNNNNNNNNNNNNNNNNNNNCGCGAUCUAGAGGAAAAACCGUGGAGGUAUGUGGUCGGGCUGCCGUGGCAAAACUUGUCUCAAAUCAGCCCUAAUACCUCAGUAUAUAUAGGAGGGAGGGGGAGGGAAGAGGCAGCCUCAAACCCUCAAGGUUUGGCCGAAAUCGGAGGUGGAGGAGUCCUACUCCAAUCCUAGUUGGAGUAGGAUUCCACCUUCCCACUUGGAAACUCUUUCCACCUUGUGUUUUUUCCUUCUCAAACCUUAUGGGCCUUAGUGGGAACUUAUUCCAGCCCACUAGGGGCUGGUUUAUCUCUUCCCAUAGCCCAUGAGACCCCUUGGGGCGUGACACCCCUCCCGAUGGUCCCCGGCACCCCUCCCGGCACUUCCGGUACACUACCGAUGUGUCCGGAACUUUUCCGGUGACCAAAACAGGACUUCCUAUAUAUCAAUCUUUACCUCCGGACCAUUCCGGAGCUCCUCGUGACGUCCGGGAUCUCAUCCGGGACUCCGAACAACUUUCGGUAAUCUCGUAUAACAAUUCCCUAUAACCCUAGCGUCAUCGAACCUUAAGUGUGUAGACCCUACGGGUUCGGGAGACACGCAGACAUGACCGAGACACCUCUCUGGCCAAUAACCACCAGCGGGGUGUGGAUACCCAUGGUGGCUCCCACUAUCUCCACGAUGAUCACAUCGGAUGAACCACGAUGUCAAGGAUUCAAUCANNNNNNNNNNGGCGGGGUCUGGAUACCCAUGGUGGAUCCCACUAGCUCCACGAUGAUCACAUCGGAUGAACCACGAUGUCAAGGAUUCAAUCAAUCCCGUAUACGAUUCCCUUUGUCUGUCGGUAUAGAACUUGCCCGAGAUUCGAUCGUCGGUAUACCUAUACCUUGUUCAAUCUCGUUACCGGUAAGUCUCUUUACUCGUUCCGUAACACAUCAUCAUGUGGCUAACUCCUUNNNNNNNNNNAGUAUCCGCAUACCUAUUUCAAUCUCGUUUACCGGCAAGUCUCUUUACUCGUUCCGUAAUACNNNNNNNNNNNNNNNNNNNNNNNNNNNNNNNNNNNNNNNNNNNNNNNNNNNNNNNNNNNNNNNNNNNNNNNNNNNNNNNNNNNNNNNNNNNNNNNNNNNNCGGCUGCACACAAGGUGUCCACCGCGAUGUGCAGAGAGAGUUUUCUUUUUUCUUUUUUCUUUUUUCUGUGUUGUCCACCGAUGUGCAGAGAGAGGUGGGAGGGUUGUUUCGUAAAUAGUCAAACAUCAAGGGUCAAAUUGUAUAAUAAAAUUAAUAUUAGAGGCGCUCUCGGCCGGAAUGCCAGUAACAAUUGGAGGCACUUUUUCAAACUGCCAUUAGUACAUGAUUUUAAGGCAUUUUAGGAAAUCGCCGUUAAUAAAAUGCCUCCUAAUGACGUACGUGUUGUAGUGGCUUGCUAGGGACAGUGUUUUGUCUAUGUAUCCACACAUGUAUCUAAGUCUUCAUUCAAUACAAUUAUAGCAUGGAUAAUAAACGAUUAUCUUGAUACAUGAAUUAUAACAAUAACUUAUUUAUCAUUGCUUCUAGGACAUAAUUCCAACAAGAUCCAUGUCCUCCAUCGCCGAAGCCGACUCCGAACGGAUGGAAUUCAGGAUGAUCAGCUGCUCCAGCCANNNNNNNNNNNNNNNNNNNNNNNNNNNNNNNNNNNNNNNNNNNNNNNNNNNNNNNNNNNNNNNNNNNNNNNNNNNNNNNNNNNNNNNNNNNNNNNNNNNNUUGCGGGAUCUUGUAUUACGGAACGAGUAAAGAGACUUGCCGGUAAACGAGAUUGAAAUAAGUAUGCGGAUACUGACGAUCGAAUCUCGGGCAAGUAACAUAUCGAAGGACAAAGGGAAUGUCAUACGGGAUUAUAUGAAUCCUUGGCACUGAGGUUCAAACGAUAAGAUCUUCGUAGAAUAUGUAGGAUCCAAUAUGGGCAUCCAGGUCCCGCUAUUGGAUAUUGACCGAGGAGUCACUCGGGUCAUGUCUACAUAGUUCUCGAACCCGCAGGGUCUGCACACUUAAGGUUCAACGUUGUUUUAUGCGUAUUUGAGUUAUAUGGUUGGUUACCGAAUGUUGUUCGGAGUCCCGUAUGAGAUCACGGACGUCACGAGGGUUUUCGGAAUGGUCCGGAGACGAAUAUUGAUAUAUAGGAUGACCUCAUUUGAUUAUUGGAAGGUUUUCGGAAUUACCACGAAUGUACCGGGAAUGACGAAUGGGUUCCGGAUGUUCACCGGGGGGGGGGGGGNNNNNNNNNNCAGAGAGGCCCCUGCGCAGGGAGAUAAGAAAAUCAAAGAGAAAAAAAGGGGAAGUGGGAAGGAAGCGAAGGACUCCACCUUCCAAUCCUAGUUGGACUAGGAUUGGAGGAGGACUCCUCCUCCCCCCUUUGGGCGAACCCCUUGGGGCUCCUUGAGCCCCAAGGCAAGGCCCCUCCCCUCCCACAUAUAUAUACGGAGGUUUUAGGGCUGAUUUGAGAAAACUUUUCCACGGCAGCCCGACCACAUACCUCCACGGUUUUUCCUCUAGAUCGCGUUUCUGCGGAGCUCGGGCGGAGUCCUGCUGAGAUUAGAUAACCACCAACCACCGGAGCGCCGUCACCUUGCCGGAGAACUCAUCUACCCCUCCAUCUCUCUUGCUGGAUCAAGAAGGUCGAGAUCAUCGUCGAGCUGUACGUGUGCUAAACGCGGAGGUGUCAUCCGUUCGACACUAGAUUGGAGCGGAUCGUGGGAUGGAUCGCGGGACGGUUUGUGGGAUGGUUCGCGGGGCGAAUCGAGGGACGUGAGGACGUUCCACUACAUCAACCGCGUUUAUUAACGCUUCUGCUGUGCGAUCUACAAGGGUACGUAGAUCUGAAAUCCCCCUCGUAGAUGGACAUCACCAUGAUAGGUCUUCGUGCGCGUAGGAAAUUUUUUGUUUCCCAUGCGACGUUCCCCAACAGAUCUAUGGCUGGAGCAGCUGAUCAUCCUGAAUUCCAUUCGUUUGGAGUCGGCUCCGGCGAUGGAGGACGUGGAUCUGUGGCUGGAGCUGCUGAUCAUCCUGAAUUCCAUCCGUUCGGAGUAGGCUCCGGCGAUGGAGGACGUGGAUCUGUGGCUGGAGCAAGUGAUCAUCCUGAAUUCCAUCCGUUUGGAGUCGGCUCCGGCGAUGGAGGCGUGGAUCUGUGGCUGGAGCAACUGAUCAUCCUGAAUUCCAUCCGUUCGGAGUCGGCUCCGGCGAUGGCGGACGUGGAUCUGUGGCUGGAACAACUGAUCAUCCUGAAUUCCAUCCGUUCGGAGUCGGCUCCGGCGAUGGAGGACGUGGAUCUGUGGCUGGAGCAGCUGAUCAUCCCGAAUUCCAUCCGUUCGGAGUCGGCUCCGGCGAUGGAGGACGUGGAUCUGUGGUUGGAGCAGCUGAUCAUCCUGAAUUCCAUCCAUUCGGAGUCGGCUCCGGCAAUGGAGGACGUGGAUCUGUGGCUGGAGCAGCUGAUCAUCCUGAAUUCCNNNNNNNNNNAAUCAUCAUGAAUUCCAUCCGUUCGGAGUCGGCUCCGGCGAUGGAGGACGUGGAUCUGUGGCUGGAACAGCUAAUCAUCCUGAAUUCCAUCCGUUCGGAGUCGGCUCCGGCGAUGGAGGACNNNNNNNNNNCGAUCAUCCUGAAUUCCAUCCGUUCGGAGUCGCCUCCGGCGAUGGAGGACGUGGAUCUGUGGCUGGAGCAGCUGAUCAUCCUGAAUUCCAUCCGUUCGUAGUCGGCUCCGGCGAUGGAGGACGUGGAUCUGUGGCUGGAGCACCUGAUCAUCCUGAAUUCCAUCCGUUCGGAGUCGGCUGUGACGAUGAAGGACGUGGAUUUGUGGUUGGAGCAGCUGAUCAUCCUGAAUUCCAUCCGUUCGGAGUCGGCUCCGGCGAUGGAGGACGUGGAUCUAUGGCUGGAGCAGCUGAUCGUCCUGAAUUCCAUCCGUUCGGAGUCGGCUCCGAAGGCAAGACGUCUCCGCUGGCAACAGAUGGAGGCGACGCAGACUGCGCAGGAGGCGGCGCACGCGGCUCAGGACAUCGUCGACGAUGUGCUAUUCAUUUUACAUGCUUUUGUAUGGAUCUAGGAAUGAAAUGUGAGAGAGUUGAGUGUGGAUGAAUAGAUUUGAGACGUGAUCAGUCAGUGUCAACGAACGUGUUCGGGCUUGUCCGCGGGCGUUUGAGGGGCUAAAUUUGUAAGUAUCGGUCGUAGAUGCUCUUACAACCGGAUCCCUCAAGCCCUGCUCAAACGCUCGGACAGGUCGCCCCGUCAAUGCCCGGUCACGAAAAUGCGAUCCGAACAGGCUUCUCGAACCGACUUCAAACGCCCGGGCUGACCGACGCCCCUCAUUUCCAGCCCAAAUAUGGGGCGAAUAUUGGGGAGCCCGGGCACGCCCGGCAUGUCAGCCUGAUGGCUUGGCCCUAUGCGGACUCGCGGGAAAACCCGAUGGUCCGAUGAGCACCUCGACCGUCGGUGCAAUGUGAACACCACGUGGCACCGCUUCGGCUCCCCGCCCGAGGUCGGGAUCAGCUAUUUCAGACGGUCGGCGACCCCAGCCCUAGCUCGCCCCCUCCCCUUUCUCCGUGGCCACCCAAGCUGGUGCUCAUCUCGCACUUCCAUCUCCGUCAGGAUAGUCAGACGGCUCAUCACCACCUACGCGCAGCUCACUCCGGGAGUGGCGCUUGCAAAACGAGGAAGAGAUCAAGGCUCGCUUCGUCGCCCGCAUCGCUACGGGUCUCCCUCCGUACUCGUCGAAGACGAAGGAGGAGGAGGAAGAGCAGCAGGAGGAGUAGGAGGAGCAGGAGGAGGAGCAGCCGAAGGAGAAGGCUCUCGACUUAAGCAUGGUGGAUGCAGGGACGGAGUUUGUCGUCGUCCAAUCAGAGGAGAUGACAGAGGAGCAAAGGAGUAGGCCAUCCAGGAUUUCAUCCGGGAUGACAGAGCAGCAGGCCACGUGCACUGUGUCAACUCUGCAUCACAAAAACAGAAUCUUGUAUCAGAUUAAACAGAAAGAAAAAGAACACCGUCCGGUCCAGAUCCCACGAGCCAGCAAGAUCCAUUCAUUCGGUUGAGUUCAAUAUUCAAAGAGCAGCGUGAAGCAGCCUCAACGACUUUGCUGCCUUGGCUUUGCCACCGCCACCGUCCACCUUUUCGCUGCUCCCCUUUUCGCCGGCCCGAGAUUCCACCAUGACCAUCCGGCUCUUUCUUCUUCCUUCUCAAGCAUUCAAGCACCUACAUCACCCAGUAUCUGAUGCCGUUGCUUACUCAUCAACAGAAUGAAUGCUGGUAUCGUAUGCGUUGGAAUCGAAUUUGGCUCCAGAAGCGCGAAAAAUAAUUUGGAAAUGCCAAAAAAAUCCCAACAAAACAUGUAUCCAAAUAAUAAGUGUCACAUGUAUGACACGAAGCAAUUUUAUCCUGAUGUUUUUUACAACUAAAAUUAUCAACCAAAAAAUAAAUAAAUAAAAAAGACAUAAACUUGUCAUCCAGACAAAAAGUUGUUGUUCUCUUGUCAUUAAAUUUGUCAUAAAAGACGUUCAGAAUUGUCAUAUGUUCAUGUCACACGUAUGACACUUAUCAGUGUCCAACUUUUAUGUAUUUAUAGUCACAUCCUAUGCUAUCUGUGAAGUUUUAGAAAAAAAGUUUAAAUAUUUUGGCCUAUACAAAAGAAAAAAAGAUUUAAACACCAAACAUUUUCCGAGGAUGUCACCUGAAAUUUAUUUUUUUCACCAACGAAACACUACCGUUCUGUUUUGCAUGAAUAUUGUCAAACAAACUUGCGACUCUAACCCAAACAUCCACAAAAAAUUCAGAUUUUUCUAAAAACAGUUUAACACUUUCUUUUAUGAAAAGUUCAUCUGGGAAUAAAUGCUACCGGGAGCCAAAACAUCCCCUACAUGCAUAUAUGUUUAUUAUAAGGCGUAAUUAAGCGAGAAGACCACGCGCUGGCACUUUUAUCCCGAAAAACAAACACCAUCAGAUGAACAUGGCAUCCUUGAGAGCCAGAUUCUUAACCUUCACAGCUCUGAAUCUCUGAAUACAACUAAAACAUGGCACAAUUCGAUCUAAUGUCAUGUCCAUGAUAUCAAACCUCUAGAGACCUUCUUUCACGCAAUCAAUUCUUACCAUAUUGACCCAAAACACUAACACAAGACAGCUUAACACACACAACUCCUAACAUGGACAUCCCUCCACAUUGACCCGAGCUCAUCUGCUCCCUUGGAUGAAUAGUAAAUUCAAAAAAUUACUAAAGAAAUUUAAAGGAAUCUUUAUUCUUUUUUUUAGAUGGAAGAUAUUUGAUUGUGUGAUGUCCAUGUCAAUUUUGAUGAUUUUUUGACAUCUGAGUAUCUCUCAUCAAAAAGAAGAAAAUUGGGGUCCGUGAGAAAGUUUAUUGUUCACGCAUAAUUUUGUUCUUUUUUGCCACGAGCUCCUCAGAUGUCAAAACAUGAUGAAAUUUAGCAUGAACAUCACACAUUUGAGUGUCUUCCAUGCCAAAUAAAAAUCAGAUGUUUUAAUUUUUUUUCAAGUAUUUGUUUUCCAGUGUAUGGUUCAUCAGGAGCAUAUGAGCCUCGACUCGGAAAUAAAUAUUCAUGAAACAUAUAUGUUGAUGUCUCAUGGAUUGAAUAUCGGCAUCAUUGCUAUACAUGUAACUACAAAUAUAUCAUAAGAGCAAUAUUAGCUUAUGGCAAGGUAUAGCAACCGUCGGCCUUCAGCGAAGUUUCGGAUGGGCCUUUCAUAUAGUAGCGACAUUUGUGACGGGUUUCACCUGGUUUGGGUGUUUCCACCUACUGUUGUUUUUGGAUUUUUUUAGGGAUCAACCUUUCCAUGUUUGGGUUUUUCUUGCAUUAGGUUUCGCCUAGUUUUCUUUGUUUUUCUGAUCCGUUUUUUAGUUAUACAUAUUUUCACAAUUUUCCAUUUUUGGUAAUAUUUGUAUUUUUUCCAGUCCUUUCUAUUCUCACUAUUCUCAAUUUUCACUUUAUUUAAUUUAUUUUAUUCUCUUCGCAAGAAUACAGUAUAUUUUUGUAACAUAUAUUUACACCCUGUUUAGAUAUGUGAACAGUUAUCUAAGAGAUCAGGAACAUUUUUAUGUACAAUGUGAACAUUUUCUGAAAAGUACGUGAACAUUUUUUAAAAUUGCAUAAAUAUUGUUUGUUUGAAAACUAUAGAAAUUUCGAAGAAAAAUUAUGCAAACACUUUUUUCAAACUCACAAACAUUUAUUAUAAGGGUGCAAACAAUUUUAAAUUAAAAUAAUAUUUUUAUUGACAUUAAUAUUUCUAAAAUAAAAGAAUGCAUUUAAAAUUAAAUUAUUUUUUAUUAUGUAAUACAUAUUUUUAAUACACCAUAAUCAUUUUUAUAACAAUUGUUUUUCAAUAAUACAUGACCAUACCCUUUUCAAUAUCUAAUGAUAAAAAUUUGGCUUGUGAUAAACAUUUUUCUAGUAUGCAAUAACAAUUUCUGUAAAUGAGCAAUGAUUUUAUUAAUGCAAGACUAAUAUUUUUAAUGCAAGAAUACUUUUAUUUAUUACUUUUACCAAAUAGUAUAUGUUUGCAAAGAAUUCUGAAAUACAUAUAAAAUGAAAAAACAGAAAAAGCUAGAGAAAAUAGUAAAUCCUGUUUAAUCCACACCAAAUUAGCAAUAAGAGAUCCCACAUGUUAUUUUUAAAACAACUAGACAUGCUUCAUAGGUGAAAAUAAGUAGGCUGGCCCGACGAGUCUACUUGUAGCUAGUUAGUAUCGCUCUCCCAAACUGCGAGAGGGAGCUUCUUUCUUUUAAGAGAGCGAGAGGGAGCUCCAAAUUGGCGCGACAAGCGCCAGUUCUCUAAUUUGGCGCCCACGCACCAUUGCCCGUCGGCCAGCCCAUACAGGCAAGGUUCGAUCGUUCCACCGAAAGAGCAACUAGUUGUCGAGCACCCCUUCGAGAGCCUUUCAACGAUCACUCACGCGCGUCGCCAUUUGAAGCGUUCUCACCCGCCACCUUGUGUCGUGUUUUGAGUGUUUCCUUUCGAUUUUGUUAUUUUGAAUUUUCCGCACGCAUUUUUGGCUUUUAAAAUGAUUUUUUCCGGUUCUUUUUCGGUGUUCCAGUUUUUAAUCGGUAUUAACCUUUUGGAUGAAAAAACAACUAAAAAAUGUUUUUCCCAAAAAUAUGUGUUUUGUGUUUUUUUUACGAGAGACACAGUUAUGCUUCUGCGACCCAUGCCUCUCGAAAACAAAAAAAAAAUAUGAUUUUUUUUCUAUCACGAGAGGCAUGAUUUUGCUUUCGUCAGAUGUCCGUUUUUGCAUUCGCGAGAGGCACGGCCGUGCGUGUGUUUUCUGUUGUUGUUUUUUAUCGCAAGAGGCUUGGUUUUGCUUCCGUAAGAGACACGGUUUUGCUUUCGCGACAGGCACGACCUUGCCUCUUGGAAACAAAAAAAGUGUUUUUUAUUCGCGAGAGGCUUGACACAAGAGGUAGAAUUUUGCCUUCGCGAGAGGCACAACUGUGCCUCUUGGAAGCGAAAAAAAUGUAUUUUCUGUUUUUUUUCUAUCGCGAGAGGUACAGUUUUUCCGUUCGGUUUUUUCAUGAAAAAAAGUUCAUCAAAAACUAUCAACAUGGGAUCUAAUUUUGAAGAUCUCGACAUGAGAAACCCAACGGUGAAAACAGUUCGAUAUUUAGACACAUGGUAUAAAAAUUGUUCAUGGAUUUUGAACAGAAGUUCAUGAAUUUUUUAAAAACAAUUCACCAAAUCUGAAAAAUAGUUCAUCAAAUUUGAAAAUGUUCUCCAGUUAGAAAACAAAUUCAUGUAAUUUGAAAAAUGUUUGUCGAAUUUUAUAAAAAGUUCACAGAUUUGUAAAAUAGUUCGUCGAUUUGUAGCAACGUUCAUCAAAUUUUAAAAAAAAAUCAUUCAAUUUCAGAAAAAACUUCAUCAACCUAAAGAAAAGUUCACGUAUUCUCAAACAAUUCAUCGAGCCAGGAAGAAAAAAUAAGAAGAAACCGAAAACAGAAAAGGAAACCAAAAAAAGAAAAAUGGAAAAGAAAGAAUAACGAAGGAAAAUAUUCAAUCUUGCCAGAUUCUGCUGGUUUGAAUCACGAUCAACACCCUUACUUUUGCGGAUUAAAGCAUAGAAGAAAAAAAAUUAUAGAUUGGCCGGCACAGGGUGAGAACGCUUCAUGCGUCCGUUUGAAAAAACACUAGUUUUUUAGAAAUAUCCUAUUUGAUGCUUGUUGCGUUAAAGUAUCUGACAAACACGUAGAGAGAGAGAAGAGCGAUUUAAAUAGGCUGGCCCAUUAGCUUGUCUCACUAAUCCUGGUUUUUGGAACCUUCUAGCGAUUCCCAACCGUUUUUUGUUUUAGUUUUUGAAAACUUCUAAAAGGUUCCCCGAUUCGGUUUUUCUUCUAUCGUUUGCUUAUUUAUUUAUUUUUUUCUGUUUAUUUUUUUCUUUUUAUUUUUUUCUAUAAAAUGUUUUAGAUUUUAAUUUUUUUUCUUCAAGUACAAAAAAUNNNNNNNNNNNNNNNNNNNNNNNNNNNNNNNNNNNNNNNNNNNNNNNNNNNNNNNNNNNNNNNNNNNNNNNNNNNNNNNNNNNNNNNNNNNNNNNNNNNNAUGAGGCGUCUCGAUCUAUCUCUAUAGAUCUUGAUGCCUAAUAUGUAUGCAACUUCUCCAAGGUCCUUCAUUGAAAAACUCUUGUUCAAAUAGGCCUUUAUGCUCUCCAAUAUCUCUAUAUCAUUCCNNNNNNNNNNCUUACUCAAUCUCAUACCUUGCAAAACUGGCAAGAACCCUUUCUUUGAGUUUUCCAUAUUGAACUUCUUCAGUAUCUUGUCAAGGUAUGUACUUUGCGAAAGACCUAUGAGGCGUCUCGAUCUAUCUCUAUAGAUCUUGAUGCCUAAUAUGUAUACAACUUCUCCAAGGUCCUUCAUUGAAAAAUUCUUGUUCAAAUAGGCCUUUAUGCUCUCCAAUAUCUCUAUAUCAUUCCCCAUCAAUAAUAUGUCAUCCACAUAUAGUACGAGGAAAGCUACAGAGCUCCCACUCACUUUCUUGUACAGACAGGCUUCUCCGUAAACCUGUAUGAACCCAAACGCUUUAAUCACCUCAUUAAAGGGAAUGUUCCAACUCCGAGAUGCUUGCACCAGCCCAUAGAUGGAGCGCUGGAGCNNNNNNNNNNNNNNNNNNNNNNNNNNNNNNNNNNNNNNNNNNNNNNNNNNNNNNNNNNNNNNNNNNNNNNNNNNNNNNNNNNNNNNNNNNNNNNNNNNNNCAACUUCUCCAAGGUCCUUCAUUGAAAAACUCUUGUUCAAAUAGGCCUUUAUGCUCUCCAAUAUCUCUAUAUCAUUCCCCAUCAAUAAUAUGUCAUCCACAUAUAGUACGAGGAAAGCUACAGAGCUCCCACUCACUUUCUUGUACAGACAGGCUUCUCCGUAAACCUGUAUGAACCCAAACGCUUUAAUCACCUCAUUAAAGGGAAUGUUCCAACUCCGAGAUGCUUGCACCAGCCCAUAGAUGGAGCGCUGGAGCUUGCACACUUUGUUAGCACCUUUAGGAUCGACAAAACCUUCUGGUUGCAUCAUAUACAACUCUUCCUUAAGAUUCCCGUUAAGGAAUGCUGUUUUGACGUCCAUUUGCCAAAUUUCAUAAUCAUAAAAGGCGGCAAUUGCUAACAUGAUUCGGACUGAUUUCAGNACACUUUCGGAGGUACCCGUAGUGCACCUUUAUAGUCACCCAGUUACGUUGUGACGUUUGAUACACCCAAAGCACUCCUACGGUAUCCGGGAGUUGCACGAUCUCACGGUCGAAGGAAAAGAUACUUGACAUUAGAAAAGCAUUAGCAUACGAACAAUACGAUCUAGUGCUAGGCUUAGGAUUGGGUCUUGUCCACCACAUCAUUCUCCCAAUGAUGUGAUCCCGUUAUCAAUGACAUCUAAUGUCCAUGAUCAGGAAACCAUGAUCAUCUAUUGACUAACGAGCUAGCUAACUAGAGGCUUGCUAGGGACACAUUGUGAUCUAUUCAUUCACACAUGUAUUAGUGUUUCCUGUUAAUACAAUUAUAGCAUGAACGAUAGACGAUUAUCAUGAACAAGGAAAUAUGAUAAUAACCAUUUUAUUAUUGCCUCUAGGGCAUAUUUCCAACACCUUCUUCUUGACAAACAGAACACCACAUCCCCACGGAGACGAGCUUGGUCUGAUCAAACCCAAACGCUCCUGCUCAUCGAGUUGCCUCUUGAGUUCCUUCAACUCUUCUGGCCCCAGCUUGUACGGCCGCUUGCACACUGGCUCUGUGCCUGGCUCAAGCUCAAUAACGAACUCCACUUCACGGUGCGGAGGCAUCCCUGGCAACUCUUCAGGAAACACGUCCUGAUAUUCGCAGACUACUGGAACUUGCUCAAUGGGAUUGAUCUCACCCUUUUCAUUCAAGGAGAACAAGCAGACUGUGUCAUCACGCGCCGCGAAUAUAAUCACAUCCUCCGAAGAGUGGGUCAGUUUCACUUCUUUAGCUUCACAAUCAAUUGAUGCCUUAUUCAUGGCCAACCAGUCCAUACCAAGGAUCAAAUCAAUGUCGGACUUCCCCAAGACAAUAGGAGAUGCCAGAAAAGCAUAAUUGUCCAUCUUGAUAGAAACAUCCGGAACCCUCAUGAACGAACUCAUGCGCAUGCCCGGAGAAACCACGCGGAAGGGACUAUCCAAAUGAAUUGCAGGAAUAUCAUGCUUAUCUAGGGAAGGCUUGGAGAUGAAGCAAUGCGAAGCACCAGAAUCAAACAAGACUUUAGCAGGAAAAUCAUUGACUAAGAGAUUACCCAUGAUCACAUCCGAAGAAUUUUCUGCCUCCGCUGCAUUCACCAUGUUGACUCGAGCUGAUCUGGGGUUGAAUUUCACAAGAGCGUUGCUAGGAGGUUUGCCUGGAGGAGGAGGCGGCAGACGGAGCUGAGAAGUGCAUUUGUUGGCAUAGUGACCCUUCUGCCCACAUUUGUGACAAGUGACAUCUGCUGGCUGCCGGAACUGAAUCUGAGGAGGCCCUUGCUUCUGAUGCUGAUACCUCUACUGGAAGCCAGGGUUGGGUGGGUGGGAAGAACCACGUCCACCUGAGUGCUUCGGCUGCUGAGAGUGCCGAGGAGGAGGAGGAGAAACCCAAAACCUCUGUUGCUUCUGAACCACCUGAGUCGAGGAAGAGCUGGAAUCUCUGAAACGUUUCUUGGAGUUCUCUACCCUGAGCAAGGCUGCCUCUGCCCUCAGAGCUAAGUUAUAGAAUUUGUCAAACUCCUCAGGAUCGUGCAAAGCGAGUGCUAACUGCAAAUCCUCCUUCAAGCCACCCCUGAACUGGUAUAUCUUGCUCUUCUGAUCCGGAACAUCCUGCAACGCGUAACAGGCCAGCUCGUGGAACUCAACAUUGUACUUGUACACAUAAUUGCUGCCCUGCUUCAAGCGCCUGAACUUCUCGCGCAUCUCCUCAACAAAACUGGAAGGGAUGUAGUGGGACCUGAAGUCACGACAAAACUCGUCCCAAGUCAUCACCCUGCCACCUCUGGAAUCCUUAAGCUGCUGCCACCAAAUAGAAGCCUGCCCCUUCAACUGGAAUGUUGCAAACUUGACAUGAUCCUCUGGACACACAUUGCUACACUCAAAAUGCUUGUUCAUAUCACGGAUCCAAUCUUCCGCAUCAAACGGCUGGUCGCAAGAAGUGGACGUCCUAGGCUGGUUUGACAGGAACUGACUCAGACUGGCGAAGUGAUUGCCACCCUGCUGGAAAUUGCCCUGCUGAUGAUUGGCUCUCUCGUGGAUCAACUGCAACAGCAUCUGAGUAUUUGCAUUGGUAGCUGCCAUCAUCGCCUGCCAGGCCUCUGCAGGAGGAGGCGGCGGUGGUGGCGGAGGAGGAGGUGGAGACGGCAUAUCCUCACGCGCUGGGGUCUGACGAGUUGGUGGAGCCAUCCUGAAGACGGACAGCAUAUUAGUCCACAGAAUAAUUGAAGAUAAGCUAAAUCAAAAUACAGAAUAUCUGAAUAGAAUUUAGCAUUGCACUCGAACAACAUAGCAAGAGUGCAUUCUCAAAGUAACAGACGACAAAAUUCCGAUAAGGGCCACAGCAAACAAGUGUGAGCUAGAACUGCUCGGAACAAACAUAUGAUCGAGAUUUCCCAAACCUCAAUCAAGCAUCUGUAGGAAGAUAGUCCUAUAAGAUACUACCAGAUAUCCCACCUAUGAAUUCCCGAAAUAACUGGUUAUGCAAUCAGGCACCCGGAUACAAGGAGUAUUUCACACAACUCCUAAACUAAGCCGUCACCUGUAUCACAUCCCUCAACACACAACCAGCAUCUCGGACCUUCGUCUACAACAGAUCCUCGUGAUCACAAUGAUACAAAGUGUGGUAGUACCCCCGAACAAUCUACACCAGUACUGGGGACGUCGGGGUUAUCUCACUAGUACCCGUAUUGAAGCGAUAACGAACACCCUCCGUUCUUAGAUACUCAGAAAUCUGAAUGAUGGCGAUGUGCGCGAUAAUCCCUGGAGCUCCACUCCCCUGAUACUUAGAGCAGAUAGGAGGCACCAGGACAUGAUUCCGUCACAUCGAAAUCAUAUAGAUUUCGCAAACACCCGCGUGAUCCUAAAUUUUUUUAGCGAUUAAAGGAGUAGAGUUAAAGAUUUCCUAAGACGGAAGCGUCACCAGAGCAAAGAAGAGGAGAAAAAUGAAACCUACUCUCCGAUAUAACUAAGACUCAAAUNNNNNNNNNNNNNNNNNNNNNNNNNNNNNNNNNNNNNNNNNNNNNNNNNNNNNNNNNNNNNNNNNNNNNNNNNNNNNNNNNNNNNNNNNNNNNNNNNNNNGCGAUGGAGGACGUGGAUCUAUGGCUGGAGCAGCUGAUCGUCCUGAAUUCCAUCCGUUCGGAGUCGGCUCCGAAGGCAAGACGUCUCCGCUGGCAACAGAUGGAGGCGACGCAGACUGCGCAGGAGGCGGCGCACGCGGCUCAGGACAUCGUCGACGAUGUGCUAUUCAUUUUACAUGCUUUUGUAUGGAUCUAGGAAUGAAAUGUGAGAGAGUUGAGUGUGGAUGAAUAGAUUUGAGACGUGAUCAGUCAGUGUCAACGAACGUGUUCGGGCUUGUCCGCGGGCGUUUGAGGGGCUAAAUUUGUAAGUAUCGGUCGUAGAUGCUCUUACAACCGGAUCCCUCAAGCCCUGCUCAAACGCUCGGACAGGUCGCCCCGUCAAUGCCCGGUCACGAAAAUGCGAUCCGAACAGGCUUCUCGAACCGACUUCAAACGCCCGGGCUGACCGACGCCCCUCAUUUCCAGCCCAAAUAUGGGGCGAAUAUUGGGGAGCCCGGGCACGCCCGGCAUGUCAGCCUGAUGGCUUGGCCCUAUGCGGACUCGCGGGAAAACCCGAUGGUCCGAUGAGCACCUCGACCGUCGGUGCAAUGUGAACACCACGUGGCACCGCUUCGGCUCCCCGCCCGAGGUCGGGAUCAGCUAUUUCAGACGGUCGGCGACCCCAGCCCUAGCUCGCCCCCUCCCCUUUCUCCGUGGCCACCCAAGCUGGUGCUCAUCUCGCACUUCCAUCUCCGUCAGGAUAGUCAGACGGCUCAUCACCACCUACGCGCAGCUCACUCCGGGAGUGGCGCUUGCAAAACGAGGAAGAGAUCAAGGCUCGCUUCGUCGCCCGCAUCGCUACGGGUCUCCCUCCGUACUCGUCGAAGACGAAGGAGGAGGAGGACAGCAGGAGGAGUAGGAGGAGCAGGAGGAGGAGCAGCCGAAGGAGAAGGCUCUCGACUUAAGCAUGGUGGAUGCAGGGACGGAGUUUGUCGUCGUCCAAUCAGAGGAGAUGACAGAGGAGCAAAGGAGUAGGCCAUCCAGGAUUUCAUCCGGGAUGACAGAGCAGCAGGCCACGUGCACUGUGUCAACUCUGCAUCACAAAAACAGAAUCUUGUAUCAGAUUAAACAGAAAGAAAAAGAACACCGUCCGGUCCAGAUCCCACGAGCCAGCAAGAUCCAUUCAUUCGGUUGAGUUCAAUAUUCAAAGAGCAGCGUGAAGCAGCCUCAACGACUUUGCUGCCUUGGCUUUGCCACCGCCACCGUCCACCUUUUCGCUGCUCCCCUUUUCGCCGGCCCGAGAUUCCACCAUGACCAUCCGGCUCUUUCUUCUUCCUUCUCAAGCAUUCAAGCACCUACAUCACCCAGUAUCUGAUGCCGUUGCUUACUCAUCAACAGAAUGAAUGCUGGUAUCGUAUGCGUUGGAAUCGAAUUUGGCUCCAGAAGCGCGAAAAAUAAUUUGGAAAUGCCAAAAAAAUCCCAACAAAACAUGUAUCCAAAUAAUAAGUGUCACAUGUAUGACACGAAGCAAUUUUAUCCUGAUGUUUUUUACAACUAAAAUUAUCAACCCCCCCCCCCCCCCCCCAUAAAAAAGACAUAAACUUGUCAUCCAGACAAAAAGUUGUUGUUCUCUUGUCAUUAAAUUUGUCAUAAAAGACGUUCAGAAUUGUCAUAUGUUCAUGUCACACGUAUGACACUUAUCAGUGUCCAACUUUUAUGUAUUUAUAGUCACAUCCUAUGCUAUCUGUGAAGUUUUAGAAAAAAAGUUUAAAUAUUUUGGCCUAUACAAAAGAAAAAAAGAUUUAAACACCAAACAUUUUCCGAGGAUGUCACCUGAAAUUUAUUUUUUUCACCAACGAAACACUACCGUUCUGUUUUGCAUGAAUAUUGUCAAACAAACUUGCGACUCUAACCCAAACAUCCACAAAAAAUUCAGAUUUUUCUAAAAACAGUUUAACACUUUCUUUUAUGAAAAGUUCAUCUGGGAAUAAAUGCUACCGGGAGCCAAAACAUCCCCUACAUGCAUAUAUGUUUAUUAUAAGGCGUAAUUAAGCGAGAAGACCACGCGCUGGCACUUUUAUCCCGAAAAACAAACACCAUCAGAUGAACAUGGCAUCCUUGAGAGCCAGAUUCUUAACCUUCACAGCUCUGAAUCUCUGAAUACAACUAAAACAUGGCACAAUUCGAUCUAAUGUCAUGUCCAUGAUAUCAAACCUCUAGAGACCUUCUUUCACGCAAUCAAUUCUUACCAUAUUGACCCAAAACACUAACACAAGACAGCUUAACACACACAACUCCUAACAUGGACAUCCCUCCACAUUGACCCGAGCUCAUCUGCUCCCUUGGAUGAAUAGUAAAUUCAAAAAAUUACUAAAGAAAUUUAAAGGAAUCUUUAUUCUUUUUUUUAGAUGGAAGAUAUUUGAUUGUGUGAUGUCCAUGUCAAUUUUGAUGAUUUUUUGACAUCUGAGUAUCUCUCAUCAAAAAGAAGAAAAUUGGGGUCCGUGAGAAAGUUUAUUGUUCACGCAUAAUUUUGUUCUUUUUUGCCACGAGCUCCUCAGAUGUCAAAACAUGAUGAAAUUUAGCAUGAACAUCACACAUUUGAGUGUCUUCCAUGCCAAAUAAAAAUCAGAUGCCCCCCCCCCCUUUAAUUUUUUUUCAAGUAUUUGUUUUCCAGUGUAUGGUUCAUCAGGAGCAUAUGAGCCUCGACUCGGAAAUAAAUAUUCAUGAAACAUAUAUGUUGAUGUCUCAUGGAUUGAAUAUCGGCAUCAUUGCUAUACAUGUAACUACAAAUAUAUCAUAAGAGCAAUAUUAGCUUAUGGCAAGGUAUAGCAACCGUCGGCCUUCAGCGAAGUUUCGGAUGGGCCUUUCAUAUAGUAGCGACAUUUGUGACGGGUUUCACCUGGUUUGGGUGUUUCCACCUACUGUUGUUUUUGGAUUUUUUUAGGGAUCAACCUUUCCAUGUUUGGGUUUUUCUUGCAUUAGGUUUCGCCUAGUUUUCUUUGUUUUUCUGAUCCGUUUUUUAGUUAUACAUAUUUUCACAAUUUUCCAUUUUUGGUAAUAUUUGUAUUUUUUCCAGUCCUUUCUAUUCUCACUAUUCUCAAUUUUCACUUUAUUUAAUUUAUUUUAUUCUCUUCGCAAGAAUACAGUAUAUUUUUGUAACAUAUAUUUACACCCUGUUUAGAUAUGUGAACAGUUAUCUAAGAGAUCAGGAACAUUUUUAUGUACAAUGUGAACAUUUUCUGAAAAGUACGUGAACAUUUUUUAAAAUUGCAUAAAUAUUGUUUGUUUGAAAACUAUAGAAAUUUCGAAGAAAAAUUAUGCAAACACUUUUUUCAAACUCACAAACAUUUAUUAUAAGGGUGCAAACAAUUUUAAAUUAAAAUAAUAUUUUUAUUGACAUUAAUAUUUCUAAAAUAAAAGAAUGCAUUUAAAAUUAAAUUAUUUUUUAUUAUGUAAUACAUAUUUUUAAUACACCAUAAUCAUUUUUAUAACAAUUGUUUUUCAAUAAUACAUGACCAUACCCUUUUCAAUAUCUAAUGAUAAAAAUUUGGCUUGUGAUAAACAUUUUUCUAGUAUGCAAUAACAAUUUCUGUAAAUGAGCAAUGAUUUUAUUAAUGCAAGACUAAUAUUUUUAAUGCAAGAAUACUUUUAUUUAUUACUUUUACCAAAUAGUAUAUGUUUGCAAAGAAUUCUGAAAUACAUAUAAAAUGAAAAAACAGAAAAAGCUAGAGAAAAUAGUAAAUCCUGUUUAAUCCACACCAAAUUAGCAAUAAGAGAUCCCACAUGUUAUUUUUAAAACAACUAGACAUGCUUCAUAGGUGAAAAUAAGUAGGCUGGCCCGACGAGUCUACUUGUAGCUAGUUAGUAUCGCUCUCCCAAACUGCGAGAGGGAGCUUCUUUCUUUUAAGAGAGCGAGAGGGAGCUCCAAAUUGGCGCGACAAGCGCCAGUUCUCUAAUUUGGCGCCCACGCACCAUUGCCCGUCGGCCAGCCCAUACAGGCAAGGUUCGAUCGUUCCACCGAAAGAGCAACUAGUUGUCGAGCACCCCUUCGAGAGCCUUUCAACGAUCACUCACGCGCGUCGCCAUUUGAAGCGUUCUCACCCGCCACCUUGUGUCGUGUUUUGAGUGUUUCCUUUCGAUUUUGUUAUUUUGAAUUUUCCGCACGCAUUUUUGGCUUUUAAAAUGAUUUUUUCCGGUUCUUUUUCGGUGUUCCAGUUUUUAAUCGGUAUUAACCUUUUGGAUGAAAAAACAACUAAAAAAUGUUUUUCCCAAAAAUAUGUGUUUUGUGUUUUUUUUACGAGAGACACAGUUAUGCUUCUGCGACCCAUGCCUCUCGAAAACAAAAAAAAAAUAUGAUUUUUUUUCUAUCACGAGAGGCAUGAUUUUGCUUUCGUCAGAUGUCCGUUUUUGCAUUCGCGAGAGGCACGGCCGUGCGUGUGUUUUCUGUUGUUGUUUUUUAUCGCAAGAGGCUUGGUUUUGCUUCCGUAAGAGACACGGUUUUGCUUUCGCGACAGGCACGACCUUGCCUCUUGGAAACAAAAAAAGUGUUUUUUAUUCGCGAGAGGCUUGACACAAGAGGUAGAAUUUUGCCUUCGCGAGAGGCACAACUGUGCCUCUUGGAAGCGAAAAAAAUGUAUUUUCUGUUUUUUUUCUAUCGCGAGAGGUACAGUUUUUCCGUUCGGUUUUUUCAUGAAAAAAAGUUCAUCAAAAACUAUCAACAUGGGAUCUAAUUUUGAAGAUCUCGACAUGAGAAACCCAACGGUGAAAACAGUUCGAUAUUUAGACACAUGGUAUAAAAAUUGUUCAUGGAUUUUGAACAGAAGUUCAUGAAUUUUUUAAAAACAAUUCACCAAAUCUGAAAAAUAGUUCAUCAAAUUUGAAAAUGUUCUCCAGUUAGAAAACAAAUUCAUGUAAUUUGAAAAAUGUUUGUCGAAUUUUAUAAAAAGUUCACAGAUUUGUAAAAUAGUUCGUCGAUUUGUAGCAACGUUCAUCAAAUUUUAAAAAAAAAUCAUUCAAUUUCAGAAAAAACUUCAUCAACCUAAAGAAAAGUUCACGUAUUCUCAAACAAUUCAUCGAGCCAGGAAGAAAAAAUAAGAAGAAACCGAAAACAGAAAAGGAAACCAAAAAAAGAAAAAUGGAAAAGAAAGAAUAACGAAGGAAAAUAUUCAAUCUUGCCAGAUUCUGCUGGUUUGAAUCACGAUCAACACCCUUACUUUUGCGGAUUAAAGCAUAGAAGAAAAAAAAUUAUAGAUUGGCCGGCACAGGGUGAGAACGCUUCAUGCGUCCGUUUGAAAAAACACUAGUUUUUUAGAAAUAUCCUAUUUGAUGCUUGUUGCGUUAAAGUAUCUGACAAACACGUAGAGAGAGAGAAGAGCGAUUUAAAUAGGCUGGCCCAUUAGCUUGUCUCACUAAUCCUGGUUUUUGGAACCUUCUAGCGAUUCCCAACCGUUUUUUGUUUUAGUUUUUGAAAACUUCUAAAAGGUUCCCCGAUUCGGUUUUUCUUCUAUCGUUUGCUUAUUUAUUUAUUUUUUUCUUGUGAGAGAUACGGCGACCACCGAGAUCUACACGGUUCCUCCUCGUCGGCAGCGUCAGAUGUGUAUAAGAGACAGNNNNNNNNNNNNNNNNNNNNNNNNNNNNNNNNNNNNNNNNNNNNNNNNNNNNNNNNNNNNNNNNNNNNNNNNNNNNNNNNNNNNNNNNNNNNNNNNNNNNGGGAGAGGAUCGACGAUGUACUUUGAGUUUAUUUUAACAAAUGGUAUCAUGAGCUAGGUUGAGUUUCGAGGCUGCGAUCGUUGAUUUACGGAAAGGAUCGAGUCUGAGAUGCAGCCGGCUAUCGGCGUGGUUCUCGAUGUGAUGGGAAAAAAACAAUCAGGUGGCAGAAGAUUGUGUACAGCAGGGUGUGGUGUGUUCGAGACCAUGUUGGCGAGAUCAAUCAGAUCGAUCGAUGGUGCUUGACGGCGGCGCACGCGCAAUCCACCCUAAAGCAGUGUGUAUGAGCGAGCGGUCAGCAGCAUGGCCCAAAGGCUUGGAGGUGUUAGCCCAAGGCAAAACACACGGUCUGCAGCGAUGCGAUCGAUGCACGUGAGAUUUGUUUUAUUCUUGGAAACAAAAGAAGGACCCAGUCCUCGUACGGCACAGAGACGCACAAUUGAUGGAAGAAAAAGUCCAUUGAUAGGUACUCCCUUCGUUAUUAAACUAGCAAAAUGAUCGGUGCGUUGCAACGAGAGAAAAAAAACAUAAUCUUCAAUGAUGAUGACCACAUUAUGUUCACACAUCAUCGCUUGAUUUGAAAUUUUGUACACAAAUGCAAUAAAUUUUUUCUUUUUUAAAAUUUAUUCACAAGUUGAAGCAAUCUUUACAUUUUCAAAAAAAAAAUAUCAUGGUUGUCAAAAAUCUUGGUAACUCAAAGAAUUAUUCUUAAUUUCAAGAAUUUUUUUAGAAAACAUACAAUAAUAAUCCGAUCCAUCCAACAGUUAAUUUUUCAAAAAUCAUACGGGUAUAUUUUCACGAAGACUUAGAAGCAUUAAUAUUUAAUUACAUACAUUAGAUCUUUAAUGAACAAUUUUACAAAUAAGAGAACAUUUUUACAAUCGAGAACAUUUUUUACAAUUUACAAACAUUUACUAAAAAUCAUGAAUAUUUUUUAUAUUUCAAAUGGGUUGAAAUAUAUUUUUUUGAAUUGGCGACCAAUUCUAGAAAAGACGAACAUAAUUUUUUAUGUUGGAGGAUUUUACUUUAAAUUCACAAACAUUUUUUAAACGCAUGAAGUUUUUCUGAAUAAACAAACAUUUUUAUAAGUCAGUAAUAUAUUUAUUAUAUUCACGGACAUUGUUUUGGAAUUUGCACAAAAAAAUAUAAAAACCCCGCGUCUUUUUUGAAUCCACAAACAUUUUAUGUUUUUGUCAAUAUUUUAAUUCAAAAUUCUUAUUUUUAAUAUGCAAAUGUUUUUGUAAUUCUAAAUUAUUUACAUUAGAAGUAAACAAAAAUGGAACGGAAAAAAUUUAAAUAAAAAAAGAAACUAUCAAAACAGGCAUUAGCUAUUUUUAAAAUUUUAGGACAUUUUCUAAAUGUAUUAACAUAUUUUGAAUUAGAAAGCAUUUUGUUAAAUGCUUUUAACAAUUUUUAAUACAUGGAGUUUGAUUUGAAAUCAUGGACUUUUCUUAUUUUACAAAACAAAAUUCAAACUUGCAAACAUUUUAUUGUAUAUGCGAGCAGUUUUUGAAGUCACAAACAUUUUAUUUUUUAAAAUAUGUUGAUUUCAAAUUUUAAGUUUAUUAAAAGUUUAAAGUUUAUUUGAACUUCUAAAUUAUUUAAAAUAGAAAAAUAAAAUGGAACUGAAGAUAAAUAAAUAAAUGGAACUAAAAAAACUAGCGCCUGUGAAUAUUUUUCAUAUUUCAAACGGGUUUAAAUAUAUAUUUUUGAAUUGGCGACCAAUUCUAGAAAAGACGAACAUAUUUUUUUAUAUUGGAGGAUUGAACUAAAAAAACUGGCGCCUGUGCAUGGGCCGGCCCAUACGGUGUGCUGGAUAUUCUCCCAGGGUGCAGAGCGUAAUAUAGGAGGUUUUUACAUGGGCCAGCCGAGUCCGAGAUUUUUCGCUUUGUGAAACGUUUUCUAUUACUUACCGGUGGCAUGGUGGGUAAUUUAUGCAAACUUCAGGGGCAAUUUUCAUGACGUACCACAGAAACAAUAAAUGCUUUAUUAAUAGGUAAAGAUAUAGCAAACAUGCCCAUGCGUUGCAACGGAAAAAAAUCACCCCUAUACAUAUUGGACGAUGUUUCUAAAUUCUUUGACAAUAAACAACAUGAUAAAUAGUGUUACAUAAAAAUGUAAUGACUGCAUGAUAUUUUUUAGUGUACUCAAUUUGUUUCUAAAAAUCUUUAUGGGCAUGAUUUAAAUAAAUAUGAAGGUCAACAUUAAUUCACUUGUUUACCUAAACCUCGUAUCAACAAUUUAGUAUACAUCAUCGUAUAUUCAUUGGCUAUUGUGCAUGAUGGAAAAUACGAUGACUAUGUACAUAUGGUAGCUAGUAGGAAUCAACAUCCGCUAUAGUGUCAACUCUAUCUUUUAUGAGAGCAUUAAACUGUUAUAUCUACUCAAGUUAAAUGGGACAAGAAACAUGUGUAAUAGGCAUUUCCAAAAUAACCAAUAUAGAGAAGGUAUUAAUUAAUAUUGCACAAUAAGCUUUAUUGUAGAAAGUAACAUGCAAAAUAAUAGCAUAUUUGAAAUCUUCACUUUUUUCUGAAUGAUUUUCAUAUAUAACAUGUUACAUUUGGAGUUAGGAUUUGAAAGAUAUGAAUGUUUUAAAAAGCAUUUGAAUUUACACACAAAAAAGGUAUUAAUUAAUAUUGCACAAUAAGCUUUAUUGUAGAAAGUAACAUGCAAAAUAAUAGCAUAUUUGAAAUCUUCACUUUUUUCUGAGCGAUUUUUAUAUAACAUGUUAGAUUUGGAGUUAGGAUUUAAAAGAUAUGAAUGUUUGAAAAUGAAGCAAUAAAAAAACAAGGCAAGUGCCGGAGUCGAACUCAGGUCUCCUGCUAGUGGUGCAGUAAGGCGUCGGAGCGUCUGCCACUGAGCUACGUCCAAUACUGUGAUGAAAUUGAGGCGGGACUUUAUAUAUACCAAAUUACAACGGACCGUUUUUCGUUUUUCAACUUAAAAAGGGAGUGCGGGUUAAAUACACAAAACGUCAGGGGCUUUUUUGUAAAAACAUCAUGACGGACGGCAGAAGCGUUGCGCGCUUUAUUAUUAAGGGAGAUAUGAGUCUUUUUAGAUAUUUCACUAAGAGACUAUAUACGGAGCAAAAUGAAUAAAUCUACACUUUAAAAUAUGUCUAUAUACAUCUAUAAAUAAUAUUUUAGUGAAAUAUUUAAAAACAGAGGGAGUAAUUAAUAAAUACAUCGUAAAGCAUCAUGCUUUGGCAAAGCAAUUAGCACUAAGCAUCCAGAUUUGUGCCUAUGAGUAGACCAUAUGGAAGGCCAAUUUAUUUGAUGGAUUGCUACUAGUGCACGAAGGUGUCGCCGGGAUAACUCAGCUAUUUUUUUACACAAUCAGCCAUACAAAGAACCAUGAUGCCAUCGGGUACCAGGUUCGAGGUGGAGAAGUUCGACGGGACUGAAAUCCUUGGGUUAUGGAAGACACAUGUGAAAAAAAAUGUUACACAACAGAGAUGCUUGAAGACGUUGCGGGAAGUCAUGCCAGCUAAGAUGGAAUUAUCAUGUGAUGGAUGACAAUUUGUGGAACAUGUUCUGGGAGCAUCGAGCGUGUCAUCUAUUCGAACAAGGUCGGCUGGGUCGGACUAGCUAGUCUGAUGGAUCGACGUGAGUCAAUUGGUAUAGAAGAGAAGACGGUGGUGGAAUCAACGACGACAACAUAGGAGCUGAUGUUCGUGGUGACCAACUUUUGGGCAUGGAAACACGUGGCACAAGCCUGAGGCUUGUGUGGCUUCGACAAGACUAUGUGGCGGGGUUGAUUCAAGACGGUGCACAUGUGAGCUUGAAGUCCACGGGGCAAGGGUGAACUGAUCAUCCACCAUGGAGUUCUGUUGAAGGUGAACUGAUCCAGAGAAUCGAAGCCUAUUUAGCGGGGGGAAAGCGAGUGUCACAUGGUUCGUCAUCGAUCGGUAAUGAUCGAUGGUACUCUGCAGUGGGGGUUGAGUGGUGUGGGUUUGCGACCCUUGAGACUCGAUCCGGACAGUGGAGGUUCGACGCGAUAAUAGUGGCGAGGCGUGUCAUACGCACGUGACAUUGUGAUGGGCCAGGACUCUGGUGCUUAUACAUGUGGUGAGACAGCUGCGAAUUUUACUCGAGAUGACUACAAGCAUUGGUGAAAUUACUUCAAGUUUCAGACAGGCGGUCAAGGAAGAGCGGUGAUGUUAAGUUCAGCUAAUUAACUCUUAUGUGUGGCACCCAAUAUGUGAGUUAUUCACUUUCACGCGGGUCAGUGAUAAAUGUGUGAUGUUUUUGGAAAUUAUGGAAGUUGAGAGCGCAAACAAGAGUAAUGUGGAACUUAAUUUCGCUCGAGCGUUCACUGUGGUCAAGAAAAAGAAGGGGUUACAAGUUGCGGGUGGAGUCACAUGGAGUCUUUGAAGCGGCAGAGGUUCUCAUGGGGUAAGCUCGAGUCCAAUGUACAUGGAAGCUUGACGCAUGGACGAAUAUAAAGUGGUGAGAAUAUUUGCCAAGGUGGAAUUUGUUAGAGUUGUGUCGAAUAUAGUGUAUAGGGUAGGUUAUAAUUGGACUUGUAGUUGUAUUGUGUUUAAAUAGGAUAUGAAGUCAUGUUCAAAUAGGACACUUAUAUCCUAGGUCUCUCAUAUAUAGCGGGACUAGACACACAAUAUAAAUUAUGCCAACAUAAUAGCAAGGCAUGCAGAGGAAGCCGGUGACGUAUGUCGGCGCCCAGGACGACCAGGGUGCAGUAUUGUGACGGUGCCACAGGGAGGAGCACCCGUAGUCAGACCCCGAAGAUGUAGCCAUAUCGGUGAAUCUCGUUAACAAAUCUCGGUGUCGUAUUCGUGUGAUUGCUUGGUCCUAGGAUGAUCGACAGUACGCCUCGAUAUAUUCUAACAAGUGGCUAUCCUUGCAUCGAAAGGACGGUGAUCUAUUGUGGCAAAGAUGAUCCGAGGGUGAGCGUGUUGGUGAAGAUGUUCCUGCCAAUUGUCAUCCCACACGGGGAAAUCAGCAACAAAGGUUACUACUCCCUCCGUUCCUAAAUAUAAGUCUUUUAAAAGAUUUCAUUAGGGGUCUAUAUACGGAACAAAAUGAGUGAAUCUAUACUCUAAGGUAUGUCUAUACAUCCGUAUGUAGUCCACUAGUUGAACCUCCAGAAAGACUUAUAUUUAGGAACGGAGGGAGUAGUAGUAUCGCAUGCAUGCCCCCGUCGCCGACUUUUGCUAGUGCAAUGGAUGGAUGUGCGUGUCAAACCAAACCAUCUUCUGUUCUGUUAGUGCUAUGGGUCAUUAUGUUCACAACUAAAGAUUUUAGGGCUCCUUUGAUAUAAAGGAAUUCUAUAGGAUUUUUGGAGGAUUGAAACCCUUAGGAUUAUUUCCUAUGUUGGUCCUUUGAAUCAUAGGAUUGAAUCCCAUAGGAAUUUUUCCUAUGGAAUCUUUUGUACUACAAUUUCAUAGGAAAUCUAACAUCCACUCCAACUUCUUUUUACAAUUCCUUUGUUUUUCUUGUGGCAUCAAACACUCCUUACUAAUCCUAUAGGGUUCAAAUGGACAUGCCACUUCAAUCUUCUAUUUUUCCUAUUCCUGCGUUUUGAAAAUCCUACGAAUCAAAGAGGCCCUUAGGGGUCUUAACUGUGUUAAGCUACUGCUACUACUUCCUUAAGGUCAUAGUAGAAAGAAAAUGUCGCAACCCUGCCAUCUACAAUCGCAAUGGCCAGGGUCCAUGGCAAUGGUUUAUUAACAUUUGAAAGAUGAAUGUUGCAUUAUGUGGGAACCAUACCAAAAGAUGUCACCACGAAAAGAGUAUAUGACAAAAACUCAACAAUGUUUUAACAUUACCAACCAUGAAUCUCCAGAUAUACAAAUCGGAUGUUGAUACAGUUUCUCCAGAGAUACAAAUUCCCAACAUACGACAAUGAGUAAGGAUGUAGAAACCAUAGACAAUGAAUAUUGGUACAUGUCUUGCAACCAAACGACUUAUCUUGGUUUGCUAGGGCAGGGUGCCCAAAAAAUAGUAGAUCGGUAUGAUGGUAGCAGAUCAACCUGACCAUUCCCAAGAUACAGCAACCAUUCACUCAUCAAUCUAUCAUGCAAAUUUGUUUAUUUUGCUAUAACAAGAUCAUGCACCUUAUUUGAUAUAAGCAUCAUGCCGUUGCGGUAAUAAUUCAAAAGCAGAGGGGACAAAAUGGUAUUUCCAUCCAACAGAAAAUUGCAAGCUCUGGGUGGAUGAGGUCAUUCCAUUUGGAGGAGAAAAUACCGAAGAACCCAGGAAAUCUUGAUAGAGCUCUAGCCUCUAAGGCUUGGCCAUAUGAACAUGCCUUUCUUCUGUCAGGGUUUGUGGAAGUCCAUUGGCACCUGAUACAACAAAGUAUAACCGGUCGCGGUUAUAGUAUCUGGAUACUUAUUGAUAGUUUUACAUAGUUGGAUCCUUCAGUUCAGUCUCAUAAGUCAUAAUACAAACGAACACCAAGAGGGAAAGUAAUCUGUUAGACUACUAUGAAUCCGAUAAUAAGCACUUCUACUAGGGCAGUUCUUUCAGAACAAGUUUACCUGAACUGCAGUUCCUGGAGGCUAAACAAAUACAGUAGUAGUUGAAUAUUAUAGACGAAAAAUAUCAUCUUCCUGUACAAAGGAUUCAAAUAUGAUGCGUUUGAUAUAGCUUUGAAAGCCUUCUGAUAUGUGGAAGUCCAUGCCCUCUUCUGUCAGGGUAUGUGGAAGUCCAUGGCACAGGAUACAGCAAAGCAAGACCAAAGGCACGGUUAUGGUAUGCAAACCAAGUAAUUCUUCAGAAAGGUUGGAUCCUGAAGUUCAGUCUCAAAGAUACAACCAAAAAACAAGCGGUAAAGUAAUAUGUUGGACAGAUGUAAACCUGAUAGUAAGCACUUCUACUAGGGCAGUUAUUCUGGAAGAAUUUUAUCUGAACUGAAGUUUCUGGAGGCUAAAAUUACAGACUAAAAAUAUCAUCCUGCGUACAGAAGAUUCAGUUAUGAUACUACGUUUGAUAUGAUCCAUCAUUCCAACUCCGGUGUCUUCCAGUAAGUAGUACAUAGUAAAUUAGUAACCUAUAAAGUCAGAUAUAUGAUGGACAAGCUGCUGUAAAUUACUAUAUCAAAGCCCAUCCUCCCAGAACUAGUUGUGCGCGAGGACUGAUCUAAUAUAAUUUAUCAGAGAACAGAUAUUGCGAACAUGCCCGGCAAGCACGUACGUACUAAAGUUGACAGUAUGAAACAGUAAUCUAUUUUAGGCAGGCAUGCAUCUUGUGUGCUACUUAAUCAAUCCUAAAGGUUAGCUCCAUCACAUGCCUAAUACUGAAAGGUUAUGGAUGAUAUAUAUUUUUUAUUGUUAUAAGGGUAUGGAUAAUCCUACUUUGUUAAACCUGGCUCCCCGUUUCAAAAACUUUAUCAAAGGUUCUCCAUCACAUGGCUAAUCCUAAAAGCUUAGAUACCUAAAUUAGCUGAAUGAUUGAGAUGCUGCCCUGACCUCCAGCAUCUUUAAGUUCUCUUGCCAUCAGUGUACAAGCUGCACUCUUCAUUGCGCGACUACUACAUACGCAAUCUCUGCUAUUUUGCGAGGUACGUGCUAUUUAACCAGGAACAUUGUGCUCUAAGCUUCUCUUGUUUUGGGCUACAGUUGGCUCGUUUCUUCCAUUGUUAGCCUGAUUUUUUCACUCAGCCUAAUGUCAGUUAUUUUUACUUGCUCUUAUUUUAGUGGCACGCGUUUGGUCGCUAUCCUAGCUAGAACUCGUUCAAUUAGUCAGCUACCACUCCCCCUGCUACUCACCACAAAGAGUACAGCUAUGAAUAUUAUUUCCCAUGCCAUAGGUAGGAUAUGCAAUGAAAGUGACAACUCAAGUUUCAUAAAUCUAAGAAAUAUAUGUCACUGAAUUUCAAAAAUUCCGUCUAUCAAGAAUAUACUAGAGUAUUGUUCAAUCUGUGAAUCAGAUCCUGCUGAUUCCACUUGGACUGUUUCUGUCAAGAUGUACCUGCAGAGAAAAGCAGAUCAUCAUAUCUUCGGAAAGAAAAGUAUAGCACUAUAAAGUAUACACAUAUAUAUAACCACCAGUUUUUUCCUGCAGUGAAGUCAAUCAAUUGAUAGAUGCAUGGCAGCCAAUACACCAAGAACUAGCUCACCGGGAGGAAGACAGGCAUACAUGGACAAGCGUCUUCUGAACGCAGCCAGCACUGGUGAUUCCACAUCAAUGAGGCAGUUGGCUGCACAGAAUCCAAGCAUUCUACUUGGAACAACUCCACAGGGGAACAAUUGCCUCCAUAUAGCCUCCAUCCAUGAUCACCGGGGCUUCUGCGAGGACUUCCUGCAACAGGAGAAGUCUCUCCUCUCAAAUGUCAAUUAUGAAUCUCUCCUCGCAAAGGUCAAUUUUGAGGGGGAGACUGCACUUAUCACAGCCGUUACACUUGGCCAUGUUUCACUGGCUUCUUUUUUACUAGGAUGCUGCCAUCAGCUAGAAUUGAGGCAGGCGAUCUUACAACAAGACAUGUAUGGAUUUAAUGCACUGCACCAUGCCAUUCGCAAUGGCCAUAAGGAUCUUGCGCUGGAGUUGAUAGCAAAAGAGCCCGUGCUGUCGCAAGCAAUGACCAAUUUCAACGAGUCACCAAUGUUUAUCGCCGUGAUGAGAAAUUUUCAGCAAGUUUUCAAGAAGCUACUGGAAAUUCCUUAUUCUUCUCAUGAGGGAAAGAAUAGCCGCAAUGCUCUGCAUGCUGCAGCUAGAAAUGGAAAUGAAGGUGAGAUUCAUCUGUGGAGUAGUAUUUACAGUAUUUACCAAAAACCAGCUCCAAGGAGAAUUACCCAAAGCUAGUGUAGUUGACCACGAUCUAAUAGUAUUGUAUAUGUAACCAUUACAAAUCAUUAACCAUCGUUCAUGUUUUGAUUUGUUUCCAGAUGUUGCUAAAGAAAUUAUGGAGAAACGACCUGCGUUAGCCAGAGAGGCUGACAAGGCUGGGAAUACUCCAACAAUGCUGGCUGUGAUUUAUACCAAGGUUGGAGUACUACGAGUAUUGCUGGAACAUGAUUCUUCUUUAGGAUACGAAAUAAGCAAACAAGGUAAUGCGCUCCUUUGCGUUGCCGCGUCUCGAGGUCAUGUUAAGGUUGCCACAGAGCUGCUUGAGCAUUGUCCAGAUGCUCUUUAUCACAAUACACGCGGAAAUCUCUUUACAUGCCUUCAUGAAGCUGUACAGAAAGAUGAUAUGAACUUCGUCCAAUUUAUCCUGAAGAAGAAACAACUCCGAAAAGUCAUCAACAUGCAAGACAUCGAUGGAAAAACCGCUCUACAUCAUGCAGUCCAGAAGUGCAAUCCUAAGAUGGUUGCUGCUUUACUGUCCUGCAAGGAUAUAGACAAGACAGUGAUUGACAAUAUUUCUGGUUCAGCAGUUCGGGAACUGUCGCACAACAUGCAUAGUGCCAAGACUUUGAACUGGGUACGUAUGUAAUUAAAUAUAUUGAAACGUAUAAAACUGUUACAAAUAAGAAAGUACUUUUUGUGGGGUGUACCUCUUUCUUAUGUUCUGCAAGUAAUUAAUGAUAAAACCAUCCAUGAAACUAAGGGAUAGCUCAGGACUCGCCGACAAUGGUGCUAGCUUUGGUCAGCAGUAGAAAACACCUAAAUGACUUGAGGUAGGUGGGUGAUGUUAGGAAUAAGCAACGUGUAUUUUCAUGAGGCCAUAGGCCGAUAUAUAUACAUGUACAGGUGCGGAACAAAUGCAGCAAACCCCUUAUACAAUGGGAUAAAUACAAAGGGGUACAUGACUUAUAUUAUAACUCUAACAGGUGAGAAAUGUGUGAGUUUAAGGUAUUUCCGAAUUUUCUCUUCGAUGAAAAAGUUACGGGAAAAUUCAGUAUCAUAAAUUCAUAAUAUAUACCCUCCUCUUGAAUUGUUUAAUGGCUUAAUUUAAAUACAAAUGGCUAUAGUUUGUCAGACCACACUUUAUUCACAUGGUGGAACAGCUAAACUUUAUUGUUACACUGUGAGCUUUGUGUGUGUACCUUAUCUCUAGAAUUUAUGCCAUUUAUGCAGAACGAAGUAAUCAUGCGUAUGUCGGAAGCUGAUCGACAAGAUGCUACCGCUCUUCAUAACCUCUACGUGGAGGCCAGGCAACUGGCAAUUUAUGAAUCAAGGAAGAAUGUGAAGUCACUAACUAAAACAUACACAACCAACACCUCAUUAGUGGCGAUCCUCAUUACGACAAUCACCUUUGCCGCUGCUUUCACUCUGCCUGGAGGAUACAGCAGUGCUCCUGAAAGAGAGGGGCUUCCUGUCAUGUCUCGGAAGGUUGCAUUUAUAGCAUUCUUGAUAUCUGACACCUUAGCAAUGUGCUUCUCAUUUUCUGUGGCCUUCAUAUGCAUCAUGGCAAGGUGGGAAGAUUACGAAUUCUUGACUCAUUACAGAUACUUCACUAAGAAGCUCAUGUGGAUUGCAUAUGCGGCAACAACUACGGCUUUCUCAACUGGUUUAUACACGGUGCUGGCUCCACGUCUCCACUGGCUGGCCAUUGCGAUUUGUGUUAUGGUAGCUGCGUUGCCCAUUGUCACUAAGCUACUAGGCAAAUGGCCUGUUUGGAGGCUCAAAAUUAGGCUGGGUAAAAAAUACAAGCAUGAUCUUCUUAGCAUGGUUUGACCUCAUCAAUUUGUAUUAUGGUUAUGCUUUCUCAAUAGUACUUCUGAAUUUGUAAUAAAUAUUAUCAGAAUCCCAAAAUUGUGGUGAAGUGCUUCCAUCACUGUAGAGACGAAGCCAAGAGUAAGUUCCAUACUUUGCAUCAAACCUGGUAGAGCUUGAACAGAUCUAUUUCUGCUGGUGUUUGUGGAAGUUGUGUGAAACUGAUACAGUGUGACUAGUACCAGCAGGCCAUGUUAAUUGCAAGCAUUAUUAAUAGUUUUCCAGAAGUUCAAUCCUAGAAUGAUGUGUCAUAAUACAACUAAAAAAACCCAUGAGUAUGGCAAAGUAAUCUUUAGGACGCGUAUAAGAUAUAAGCAUGUGAUGCGUAGUAACUAGUAACCACUUCUGCUGAGGCAGAUCUUCCGGAACAAGCUAUAUAAGGACACCUAUAACGGAAAUUUCUUCUGUAGGCCGAGCUCCAUGGAGGCCUCCAAAUGAAAAAUUCAAAAUUCAUACUUUUACAUUUCAAAAAAGUUUGAAAAAAAUUACAAAGAUAGAUGAAUGCAUAACACCCAUGUGUGUAAAUUUUCAGGGCAAAAUACAUUAAAUUGAGGCCUGUGAAAAAAAAAUCUCAGGCAUUUUAACACAUGAUACUAUUCGUCCUCCUAGGCCAUGAAUUUGUCUUUUUUAUACAGAUCGUAUUUCAAGAUAUCUCAUCCUAAACAUUUACACACAUACACAUAACAUCCUUGCUUACUUGCACAAUAUUUUUCAGAUUUUAUUGAAACCGAAAAGUUUGAAUUUGGAAGUCUUGAAAAAAUUUGAGCUCCAAUGAGCUCGAUCACCAAACGUUCGUUCUCCACCUGUAAGGCCAUCAAACCAUAUGUAUGUUUCUAUAUUGUUGGCUUAAUAAAUACUCCCUCCGUUCACAAAUAUAAGAUCUUUUGAUAUUUUAAUAUGGACUAUAUACGGACUGAACUGAGUGAGCAAACACACUAAAACGUGUCUAUAUACAUCCGAUUCAGAAGAAGUUGAAACAUCUUAUAUUUACGAAUAGAGGAAGUAGCAGUUUAAUAGUAUGUGCUAAAAAAAUCAUUUCCCUGUACAGAAGAUUCAAAUUUAUUAUGUUCUUGUUACCUCAUGAGUAGUACCAACACUAAACCUUCAACAUCAGAGUUAAGCACCUGCUAUGAACUUGUACAUGGCCAAGCCCACAGUAACAAUCCAUGCUCAGGUAUUCUGAAUUUGAUGAUCUGAUUGGACGUUCCAACUCUCCGCAUCUGCCAAUUAGUAAGCAGUCAAGUCAGUCAAAGUAACAGUCUAAUACAUGACAGUCCUGAACUACUAAAUCAAUGCAUCCUCCUGCAAGAUAUAGUUGUGUGUGUGUGUGAGGAGAUACAUAAAAUAAACGAUUCUCAUCAAGUAAAGCAAGUCAGAUUCAGUAAGGCUAAUAUGCUUUCCGACUAGUGUGGACAGGUGCCACCGUCUAAGAGGGGGGAUGCGGUGCAUUGGUCUCUCCAGCGGUCACUUACUCGGCCAUCCAGUCAAGAUUAAUCCAACAGUUAUUGCAUAGUCUUCUAAAAACACUGAGCCCAGACAACACUUGGCCAGUACAGUAUCACUUUGACUGUUGACGGACCUUGCUGCCCUGUCAGAUCUACCGUCGAUAGCCACUGCGCCAAGCUCUCCGCUGGCGAUCCAACUAGCUGUUUGGCAACGCUGAAGCAACGCAGAUAACCUGUCUCGAAGAUGAGCUUCAAGACGGGCUUCACAUUCUAGUGUUAAGUAGUAUAAGUUAUCUAGUUUAGGUGACUGCACAGGAAAUCUCAGCUUAAAGACAGGUUACUGAAGCCUGUUAUGAACUGAAAUUCAUGUUUCAGUGCGCUCAAGCUUACAAGUCCGAUCUCCUUGAAUGGUCUGACCUCAUUAAUGUGUCUUAUGGUAGCUUUCUAAAUUUUGAUUCGUCAGUAACAGAUAGUGUCUCGCUACUAAUAUUGUAGUGUUUAUUCAUCACAACAAAAGAUAUUUGUGCUGGUAAUUCUACGUCUGGAACUUGAAGCGUGUGCACCAUCAUAGAUUUUCAACUAGUAGCUAAAUUAGUGAGGAAACAGAGGCUACAUGUUACGACAGUUCUGCCUGAACUUUAUGGUUCACUGAAGUUCAGAGGACUCUCCAAAAGAAAGGUACAGAUACCAAAUUUGUAUCAUGAUAAGGGCGGCAAAGUACAAUGCUCUAAAACCUUAUGUGAAGUGCCAGCUCCACAGAUUUACUUUUCCACCCCUUUUAUUCAUUUUCUACAAGCAACCCAAUAGGGUUAAACACCAGAUUCUUGAGCUUUACUGUUUCCUAUAAUUUCAGAGACCCGACAAAUUCAGUUCAGGUAUUUUAUACCAUGUUAAAGGCAGUAAAGUACAGAGGUUUAGGCCUGGUCCUUAGAUUCAGUUUUCUAGUCUUUUUGUUUUCUACCAAGAUAUUCCUGACCUUUAUGAUGCUCACAAGAAAAGAGCUACUCUCUGAAUCUUUUUAUCCAUUCGUACCUGUAAAUUAGCACUGUGAUGGCAGACUUGACAAGUGAUCCCACUAUGUUGUUUGCUGGAAUCUGCAAGUUGAGGAGCACUGUAACAAAACCGAAAACACAAUAAACAGUGGUUCAAUAUAACAGGUACAGUUACACAAAAAUAUCUGAACACACACAUACUUCAUCUGUAUAUAUCCAAUACCUUCUGCAAACUUCCCAAUCUUUUGCACCAAUGAGCUUCACAUGGAGCGCUUCCUGAACAUCCUUCAUAUUCAAGUGGUUCACCCUCUAAUCCUCCACGCAUACAUCGAUGUGCUGCCCAACCGGCCUCUGAGCAACACAAUCACAUUGUUAGAUAAGACAGCCCAUACCUUACUGAAUCUCAUCAGUUUGUAGCAACAAGUUCUCUUCCUAAUCAAGUCAUAUUACUGUUAAUCCAAACAUCCAGUGCACGGAGUACAAUUACGCCUAGCAGCAUCGACAAGGCUAAUGGUGAUCAGGAUGGAAGGGACCAAACCAACAACCCCAAGAAAUAAAAAAUAACUCAUAUUGUCCAGUACUAAUCUUGCUCAAGUAUCUACUUAAGUAGACCUUGAAUAUGUAUAAAUUACUCAAGUUAUAAUUCCAUCAGGUAAUCAUUCCAUCUCAACAAGGACUGCACAAUGAGGAAAUUUGCAAAUGAAAUUAAAUAGUUACAGCAGACAUAAUUCCUACAUUUGAAAUGAGCAUAGUUCACACUGGCGGAUAUCAUUUUGCCAACCAUGCAUUAAAAUCAAUGGCAUGGCAUGCUUUAAUCAACGUAGAAAAUAUCUGUGGUCUUUCGGGCAAGGGACGUGGUCGAUUCAGAACCAUUUGUCUAAUCAGAUACUAAUACCAAAAUGGAUUACUUAUCAAAGCAUGUGGGUCAACCAAUCAGCAACUUUGCACAUGAAAAUAAAUGACUAAAGAAAUAUCUAGUAUCUGCCUUAAAUCUCCAUCUGUAUACUUAAUGCCCGCUUGCAGCAUCAGCAGUAUAGCAAUAGUGAUAUCUGAACAAGUAUGACAUAGCACCGGUGAUAUAUUGGUUCUAUUAUUGGAAAUCAGGGAGAAAUUCCUUGCUUCAAAAAAAUCAACAAUGGUAUCUCACAGCAAGUAACAAUUGCAAUUACUGUGCACCAGGUAAAGAGACAAAACGUAAAAUAUAUGUUCCUGUCAAAAGAAAGUUGUUUCUCUUCUUUAGAAGAUCCAAUAGCACCAUGUAUGCUUUGAAUUGAUGCAAGUAUAUAUGUUUCACGUCAGCAGGACCAAUAUGGCAAUGGGCUCCACGGAUCAAAUUUGGCAAUGAUAGGUAUAUGUCAUGCCAGCAAGACCAAUAUGGCAAUGGGCUCCAUGGAUCAAAUUUGGGCAAUGAUGAGACAUGACAUAAAAGGAAACUUUACGUCCCAAUCAGCGCUGUCAAGGUGGUUGGUUUGGUCAGUUACACGUUGCUCCCUACCAACACAAGGAUACACACCAUAAGACAGCCCCAAAUUAUUUGAAGUUCUAGCUUUAAUUCGUCCCAAGUCAAACUUCUUUAAGUUUGACACUGCAGAAAAAUAUAUCAACAUGUACAACAUCAAACUAGUUCCAUCAGAUUCAUCAUAAAAUAUACUUCCAUACUCCAUAUAUUUGAUACUGUAGAUAUUAAUUAAUAAUUAGACGCAAAACGUUGGCACCGAUGGUUCAACACCUGCCACACAUCUGAGACGCACUCGGUCGCCAAGUACGAUUCACACUAGCAUUAUUCAAACACUAUCAUUGACACGUGCCCCUCCUCCCUACAGUCCAGGCUUCUCUUCAAAGUUUAAAAGCCGGCCCUCGACCACACAAGCAGCAGCGCAACAUCACUAAAGAACGGAGAAUGGUAAUGUCUGCGCUCAGCCCAGAGCUCUUCUCCCUACCCCAACAAAUACAAUGGCAGCUCCUCUUAGCACUCCUUCCAGUCAUCUCCCUCAUGUUCUUGUCGAAGAGACUGAGCAACAAAGGGCUCAGGUUGCCGCCGGGCCCAGCCCAGGUGCCGAUCCUGGGGAACCUUCACCAGCUAGGUCCGCUGCCGCACCAGAGCUUACGGGACUUGGCGCGGCAGCACGGGCCGGUGAUGCAGUUGCAGCUCGGCACGGUGCCAACGGUGGUGGUGUCGUCAGCUGAGGCAGCGCGGGAGGUGAUGAAGACGCAUGACGAGGAUUGUUGCACCCGGCCUGUGUCCCCAGGGAUGAAACAGCUGUCCUACGGCCAAAACAACGUUGGGUUCGCGCCGUACGGUGCCUACUGGCAGAAGAUGCGCAAGUUCCUCGUGGUCGAACUCUUUGGCGUGCGCCACGCCAAGGCUGCAUGGCAAGCACGCGAGCAUCAGGUACGACCAUUCCUGUUAAAUUUAGAAUGAAUGUGACCGAUCGAUCACGGAAAACCGUGCAGUUAUGGAUUGUAUUCGUGAUCAGGUGGAGAAACUGAUGAGCACUUUGAGCGGCUUGGCCGGAGAGCCGGUAGCGCUCAAGGAGCACAUCUUCAGCCUGGCCGACGGCACCAUCGGCAUGCUAGGGUUCGGCGACAUGUACAACAGCGACAAGUUCCCACACCACAAGAACUUGGAGCACGUGCUCGAGGAGGCCACACACGCGCAGGCCAGCUUUUCCGCCGAGGACUACUUCCCCAACAUUGUCGGACGCCUAGUCGACCGAAUCACCGGCCUCGCCGCUCGCCGUGAACGAAUCUUCAAGCAGCUUGAUACCUUCUUCGAGAUCAUCAUUGAGCAGCAUCUCGACCCUCAGCGCGUCAAGCCUCACAACGGCGACCUCGUCGACCGCCUCAUCGGCCUUUGGAAGGACAACAGUGGCACCCUCAGCAUCACAAGAGACCAUGUCAAGGGCAUCAUCUUUGUACGUUAUAUAGUUGCCUCUACAUCCUGUCCUGUCCUAGACGAGGAAAAAAAGAUCAACUAACUGACGUCACUCACCAUCAUGCAUGGAUCCAUGCAGGGCACGUUCAUUGGUGGGUCCGACACGGCCUCGGUGACGAUCCUAUGGGCAAUGGCGGAGCUGGUCCGGAAGCCGCGACUACUGAAGAAGGUGCAAAACGAGAUCAGGGCCAUGGCGGGCGGCAACGAGAGGGUGCGACCGGACGACCUGGCCAAGCUGAGCUACCUCAAGAUGGUGGUGAAGGAGACACUACGGCUGCACCCGCCAGCGACGAUGUUGCUGCCGAGGGAGGCCAUGCAGGACAUCCAGAUUGGCGGCUAUGACGUGCCAGCCAAGACGCGGAUCUAUGUGAACGUGUGGGCCAUUGGCAGGGACCCGGCAAGCUGGCCUGAUGACUCAGAGGAGUUCAAGCCAGAGAGGUUCGAGGCGAGCGAGAUAGACUUCAAGGGUGCACAUUUCGAGCUAACGCCAUUUGGCGCGGGGCGGCGGAUAUGCCCUGCACUGUCUAUGAGCACGGCCACGGUGGAGUUCACGCUGGCCAACCUGUUGUACUGCUUUGAGUGGGCGCUUCCGGAGGGGGCGGCAGUGAGCACGGAGGAGGAAGGCAAGCUCAUCCCCCUCCUCAAGACGCCGCUCGUGCUGGUGCCCACCGCGUAUCAGCGGCCGGACAACUGAUCUCCGGUCAAAAUUAAUAUGCUCCCAGCUAGGCAGCUAUAGGAUAAUUAAGCAUGUGAUGGUAUAUCACCUAUUAAAAUAUCAAGUAUAUUAAUUCAAAUAGAAUUGGCACCUGUUGUUGUGCUAUAUGAUGCAUGUGUGCUUGGUAGUUUGUCUUUGGGAAGCUAGCUAUCUUUAUAUAUAUGGAUAAAGAAAAACAGAGAGAUUGUGUGGCCAUAAUUGUCCUGAAACAGAUGAGAAUACAAGAUUGUCCUAAUUUCUAUGGUGGUUGGUGGAGCUGAGCAUCAGGAAACCAUCCACCUCUUUAAAAAACGAAUGUUGGAUGCUUCUGGCUAGCUAUCGCCGUCCGAUGAUGAGGACGACAGCUACGGCAACGUUUCUAUUUUCAGAAUUGCUAUGUGCAAUUGUAAAUAAUUGCCAAGCCCACAGUAAACAUGCAACGUUGAGUAUUUUGCAUUUGAUCAGAUCAGUCACUCCAAACCCGGUUACCUUCAAUAUGUAUUAAACAAUCAAGUCAAAUGGUCGAUGGAGAAGCCGUUGCAAGUUAAGCCAACAGUCUCAAAAAUUAAUGAAAUUCAGUGAAUUUCAUUGAAAUCUAACUGAAAUUGAAAACCAUGACCUGAACUACUAAAAUCAACCAUUCAGUAAGUAUAUUCAACCAUUCUCAGCAAGCAAAGCAAGUCUGAUUCAGUAAUGUGUCUUAUGGUGGCUUCCUAAUUAUAUAUUUUUAUUGAUCAGCAUCAGAUAUUGUCUGGCUACUGAUAGUAUUGCUUAUUCAUGACAACAAAAAUAUUGUACUGUUAAUUCUAUAGGUAGAACUUGAAGCAUGUGCACCAUCAUGGAUUUUCAAAUAAUAGCUAAAAAUGAAAUGUGGCAGAAAGGCGAGUUCGCCGUUAAUUACCGUAAGGACGGCACAUGUCCUAUGAUCAACAUCAUCAAACAGGACCAGAACACCCUACUUCACAGCUACGCAUUUGAGCAGCAGGACUUCAUCAAACUGUUUAGCUUUGAGCCUUUGAGUGAUUUCCUGUUUUCCGCAUAGCUUACAGCUGCUUUGCUGACAUUGGGAAGAUAGACGAAUUCUCCUGAUCUCCUGAAACAGGUAAAAAGAAAAUUAAAUCCACAUAUUUCUUUCUUUGUGUAGAGCAGAUCCCCUGGAUUGUCAUCAAUUCUUAAUACAGAUCCAAUAUAACAUUUAUGGUUCAUGAAAGGCAGAGAAUCGUGUACCUGAGCUGAGCUUGGAACACGCACCAUAGCAGGAAGUUGGUAGCCACGGGGUUCAUAAUCCAACAUCUUCCAUACCAUAUUGUCUUGAUCUCACUUAAACAGCUUUGACUGGUAAUAAAUUAAUACAAAAAACACAUUGAUAAUGUUUAUCUGCAACGAAUGAACUCGAAUAUAUUGAACACUUGGCAAUUACUGAUUGCUCGACAGCAAAGUUGAAGCCAUAAUUUCCCUUCUGAUUAAGUUUGAAAAAACAGAUGUACAUGGACCUGAAGGUAAAUAGUUUCUCCAGGCAGGUUGUUAGUUGUUACUAAUAAGUCGAGUUCACUACCUCACUGAACAUAUCAAUCUAAACCUGCGACAGAAUAAGCAUGGUUGUGUUAAGAAGCAAAGCCUUGUUGAGUAUACACAGGAAACUAGGCCCUGGUUAACUCAAAACCACAUAGGGUGUAGCUAAUGGCCUAAAGCCAUAGCAGCAUCUGCAAUAUAAACUACAUUGCUCAAUAAUAAACAGGUCAGGCCGUGUUUAACAUGCUGUUUUUUCAGUAAAAAAACUAUGCUCAUCCAACCAGAACUUCUAACAGUGAUGCUAAUGCAUUUUUGCACAUCAAUGGGACAUUGCUAUGUGUCAUCAAUGGACAUUGCAAUGUGUCAUCAAUGGGACAUUGCAAUGUGUCAUCAAUGGGACAUUGCAAUGUGUCAUCAAUGGGACAUUGCAAAUAAAUAUUUUUGCACAUCAAGCUUCUGUCACCAAAAAAAUGUAAUCAAAUGUAACAAAAAAUAUAUGUAUGUCUUAACGUAUAUAAUGAAGAGUAGAGAAAGAUUAAAUUCCAUAUUUUUGUGUGUCCAUCAUAGAUCAACACGUCCUUAUUUAGAGACCUGUAAGGUUUAUAUUUAUCCACACAAGAAAGAGAUGAUAAAACUAGUGUAUUGCUGCUGGUCGUAGGCAUCUAAUCUUGCACGGGCAGUUUAUGAAGCAUUCUCCGAGAUUCGGCCAGCACAGCCUAUCCUUUUUACAGCAGAAUGGUUGGCCUGGGACCUGGUGCACGUUCUUGUAACAAGGGGGGCGGACUACGUGGCUUACUUCGAUCUUCCUGUUGAUUUCCUUGUUGUUUGUGCCUUCACCUAACAUGCAUAAAAGAAAAGGUUUAUCCUCUCAACAUACAAAAAGAGGGUGUGUAGCAUAUAUAUGUACACCUAGAAUUUUGUUUUCUGGUUAAGAAAACCCGAUACAGUCAAUAACAAAAUGACAUAAAAACGAAGACAAAAAUCUAUUCCCCGAUAAAACGAACUUUGAUUUGUUAAUUACCGUGUGCGUGUCCAAGACAGGCAAAACACAUCACCAGAAUGAAACAAAGUAGCACAAACCCUUGGACACUGUUUCUCAUGUACUUGGUCAUCGUUGCUGAGGAUCGGAGGUAAUGUUGAGUACUCCUGUAAGUGGGACUGAUGAGUGCAUGACCAUCAAAUGCUUCAUGGUUCAUAUAUAUAGGAAAAGCUUGUUGACAUUGACACGGCAGUUAUAGAAAAUAUUAAUGUUUGGAGUUAAGGCUUGUCUCAACGUCCACUUUAUGUUACGCUUCUAAAGAUGUCUGACGUGCACGUGAUUGUUUUCCUUCCUUCCUUGAAAACUGAUGUCUUCUCAUAAUGUUUAAGUUUAGUGCACUUUAAUGGAUAGCUUAAAACUACAGUUGCUCUGAGAAAAAAAAUUGAAAAAGGACAGUAUAUAUAAGCACACCACAUAAUUUCAGAACACCAGCCAAGGAACCAUAGAAGAUUAUCAUUAGGAGUUGGGAGUAUAAGCCACAGCUGCUGCAUAAACUAACUCGCUAGAAAUGCUAUUGUGCCAUACGAAUAAUUAACCCGGACAGAGCGAAAUACUAUGUACAAUUAACAGAUAAUGCAAGUACAUGGCGAGGUUAGCUUGUAAUUACCAAGUGACCACCCAAAAAUUAGCUACAGAUGCCAAUCAAAGACUUGUGGAAAAAACUCACUGCAGCCAAAAAGGGCACACACCAGGGCAGUUACAGAUGGCACAAAAUGGACUUUGUUUCUGAAUCACUCAGCUAUAACUGGAACACCGAAAAAGAUAACUUUCUUCACAUGCCCCUUAUCCAAUUAUCUGAAUGCAUGCAACCAACAAUACUCAGCACAUCAAUCCCCAUAUGCUUCAGAGCAUGCAAAAUCAGAAACGAACAAUGAGGUCAAUCGAAGUCAGGGUUAUGAACAUAAUGGAAGAAAGAGGAGAGAAGUCUCAAAGUCUGAUUCAUAUAGGAAAUACACAAAGACAAAAGGGUCAAACAGAUCUACUGGGUUGGAGUAAAAGCAGAUAAGGCACCAGGAGGUAGUCAAUUUCUAUUUUUAUUUUUAUUUCGAGAAAAAAAUUAACAGAGCAGUUGCAACUGAGGGAAAGAAAUAUCUAAGAGUGUGAUGAAAGAAAUAUCUAAGAGUGUGAUGAAAGGAUUGUCAUGGAUGCAGACCUGCAUUAGAAAAUUUACACAACUCAGCCACAGAAGCUGGAUAGAUUCCUUUUUAUUUCACCCGCAAAAAAAAUUCCUUUUUGUUUCCUUCAACAUAAAUGUUCAAUCUAUUCUUCACAUUUUCUGCAAGUUUCUCCUCCCUUUCCUUUUGUACAACCUGCAGUGGCACGUAAAUAUAAAAUAUAACCACACUGACUGUUGAAUGGAUAGCAGGAAUGAGCACACAAAGUUGUAGAUCAUGAACAGGUAAAAAAAAUACACCAAACUGUAUAAUAACUCCAGAAACAACAUGCUGUGAAAUUUUUUAUUUCACCUUGCUAGGCUGUUGAGGGGCUUCUCAUAUUACAUAAUUUGAGAGCAGCUUCUAUCGUCAGUGCAGCUAAAAAUACAUGCCAGGAAUAUACUGAACCUGAAGCAUAAUAUUCAUAUGCACCACAGUUUCAGUGUUAUGAUAUGGCUGUUUAGCUGAAGUCUAACACAAAGAGCAUCUUUUUAUCGAUUGUCACUGUCUUUGAAUGGUGAGUUAGACCAGGGAACACGUGAUCAUGAGCACUUCUAUGAUGUGAUCUUGCGUUUCCAGGUUCCAAUCGUACAACUGCAACUUUCUAGUCAAGGCCAACACACAAAGAGCAUACUCAUUAUCUGUGCACCUUUAUCUUAUAUCUUACUCCCUCCGUCCCAAAAUUCUUGUCUUAGAUUUUUCUAGAUAUUGAUGCAUCUAGAUACUAACAGGUGACUAGAUACAUCCAUAUCUAGACAAAUCCAAGACAAUAAUUUUGGGACAGAGGGAGUAUUAGGUAAAUAGCACUUCUAUUUCACUGUUUCAGGAACAGUUUCACCUGAAUAAUCAUUCUAAUGUUCCAGUAUUACUGGCUAGUAGUUCACUGUUAUCCUAUAAAAUCAUGUUCGUGUACAGAAGAUUCCAGUUUCCCUUUUUCUCUUAGAAACUACAAGAUUCAAAUGACUGAAAUAAAAAUACUGUGUUCUUAUUACCUCAUGAGUAGCUAGCAACACUGAGCCUUCAAUAUCAGAGUUAAGCAUGGCCAUGUGCAGUUGUACAUUGUCAAGCCCAUAGUAAACAUGCACACUCCGUAUUUUGCAUUUGAUCUGAUCAAGAACUGUGGUCUCUUUCAGUAAUUAGUACCUAGUCAGAUAGUCGUUGGACAAGCUGUUGUAAAAUACACUAAAGUUAUCAAAGAAGACGGCCAGAACUACUAAUAUCAAAGCAUCAUCCUCCCAGUAUUAGUUGUGUGUUGGGACGUAGCUAGAACAGUUCAUCCAAGACCAUCUGUUUACACACUGAAAACUAUGUAGUUACCAUUCAGUAAGUACCAUCAACCAUUCUCAUCAAGCAAAGUAAGUUCAGAGGUAUCAGAGAGAUACCCUUUUUAAGUAGACUUGUCAGCUCAUCCAGUACUGCAUAUAUCACUUCUGCCUCCGCCCUCGGGGUGCUCUUGUCCUCCUGCAAUGAACGUGUGAACCAUCAUCACCAGCUAUAUCCUGGUUCCUUCACCACACCAGCACAAUCCAUCCCCUGCCUCAACUUCUGCGCAUCAGCCCACAGUCCUUUAGAGGCAUAAAUAUUUGACAUAAGAACAGAGGGGCCGCUGUCUGCAGGAUCCGCCAACAAUGCCAUUUCAGUGGCAUACCUCCCGAUUUCAACAUUACCAAACAGAUGACAGGCACUCAGCAAGCUCCUCCAAAUAGUCGCAACUGGUUCAAUCGGCAUCCUUUCAAUAAACUCCUUGGCGGCAUGCAGUUUGCCUGAUCUUCCAAAAAGGUUGACAACAGAAGCAUAGUGCUCGGUGCCUGGUUCAACUGCAUAUUUUGUUUUCAUAGAAUUAAAAUGGUGUAAACCUUCAUCCACAAGGCCAGCAUGAGCACAUGCUGACAACACACUGACAAAUGUUACAUAGUUCGGCUCUACUCUAGCCCCUUCCAUCAUCCCAAAAACAUGAAGAGCUUCCUCAGCAUGUCCGUGCUGCGCGUAUGUCGAAAUCAUCGAGUUCCAACAGAUGACAUCCUUUCCCAAUGUUGACUCAAACAACAGCCGUCCUUCUUCGAUGAAGCCACACUUUGCAUACAUGUCUAUGAGAGCGUUUGAAAUAUGGGGAUCACUGUCCACACCUGCUUUGAUGAUCUGGGCAUGGAACUGCUGACCAUGAAAAAUGCUUGCCAGAGUACUUGCCACAGUCACUAGUGCAACAAAUGUGAACUCGUUUGGUGUUAGCCCAGAGACAGGAAGCUGGGCAAAGAGCUUCACAGCCUCUUCCCCUCGCUCAUUCUGUGCAAGGCCAAAAAUCAUAGCAUUCCAGAUUACCAUGUCCCUGUUCUGCAUGAGGCUGAAUACAAGUUUGGCAUCGUCCACAAGGGAAAACUUAGAAUAGACAUCGAUCAGAGCACUCCCUGCAUAUAGGUCCAGUGAAGUUCCUGAUUUGACGAUGAGACCAUGAAUCUGCUUGCUCAGUUCAAGGUCUGACCGAGAUGAGGACACACCAAGCAGCGAAACAAAUGUCAGUAGGCUUGGCUUUAGUGAGCAAUAUCUCAUCUUACCGAAUAUUUCGACUGCUCCUGUAAGGUCACCCAGCCUUGCAUAUCCUUCGAUCAUUGCAUUGUAAGAAAUCGCAUCAUCUUCUGCCAAGGCUUCAAAUACUGCUCUUGCUUCUGUUAGAUGCUCACACUUAGCAUACAUGUCAAUCAGAGCAUUCUUGACAUACUCAUCAGAUUCCAGAUCAGCCUUUAUAACAUGAGCAUGUACCUGUCUUCCUUGCCAUAUCGCUGCCAAAGAGCCACACGAGUUCAAGAUGCUUGUGCAGGCAAAAACAUCCGGCUGCCAGCCAGCCCGGCUCAGCUGCCAGAACAUGGACAUGGCUUCAGCAUCGAGCGAAUUCUGCAUGUAACCAGCGAUCAUCGUCGUCCAAGACACAAGAUUGCGGUUCUCCAUGGAAUCAAACAGCCUAUGAGCCAACAAGAGCAUGGAGCACUUACAGUACAGAUCGAUCAGCGCGUUGACCACCGAUGCGUCUGACUCCGCCGCAGUUCGGUACGCGUAGCCAUGUAUCUGCCUGCCACCCUCUACAAACCCAAGCCCAGAGCAAGCGCUGGCAGCGCUCGCCAGCACAAACCGGUCGGGCCUGACGCCGUCGAGCCCCAUCCUCCCAAACAGCUCCAAUGCAACCCCGGCCUGCCCAGCCUGAGAGUACCCCGUGAUCACCGCGGUCCAGGUGACCGGGUUCCUGGCCGGGAGAGCGUCGAAGACUGACAUGGCCGCGUCGAUGCGGCCAGCCUUGGCGUACAGGUUGACCAGCGCGGUCCCGACGAAGACGUUGGCGUCGAGGCCGAGCUUCGCGGCGACGCCGUGCACCUGCUCGCCGAAGCGGGCCGCCCUCGACUGCGCGCAGGCCCUGAGGGCGCUGGCGAGCAGGAACUCGUUGGGCGGCUCGCCGUCGGGCGAGGCGGCACCGGCGCUCGGGAAGGCGGCGAAGAGGAGGAGCGCGUCGUCCUCGCGGCCGUGCUGCGCGUACAUGGAGAUGGCGGAGCCCCAGGAGACGAGGUUGCGGCUUGGCAUCUGGUCGAACAGGCGGCGGGCGUCCCCGAGGAGGCCGAGCUUGGAGUAGCCGCGGAGGAGGAGGUUGGCGAGGAAGAGGUCCGGGAGGAGGCCCGAGACGACGGCGCGGGCGUGUGCCGGCGGGAGGACGCGGCGGAGGCGGUCGCCGGCGAGGCAUGAGAGGAGCAGUUGGGCGAGGCUCCCGCCGCUCAUGUGCCGCCGCCGCCGCCGGCUCGGUCGGAGUGGGGGCAGAGGAGGAGUGGUAAGUGCUGGGUGUUGUUGGGCUAAUGGGCCUCAUCCACUGGGCUAGCUUUUUUCAGCCUGGCUUCACCAACAAAAAUAUAGCCCUCGCUCAAAAAACAAAUAGUUUUUUUUAGCAACUAAAAAAAAAACUCCUCUUAUUUUUACUAGCAACUACUCCCUCCAUCCCAUAAUAUAAGAUCUUUUUUGACACUCAAGGAGUAACAUUUUUUUAUACUAGUGGAAAUUACCAAAUCCAACCACUCAAGGAAAAAAUAACAAUCCAAUCUUUCCAAAGGAAAAACAAAACAAUAAUCCAAUUUCUCUCAAGAAAAAAGAACUCCAAUGCAAGACAGUGUGGUAUAAAUUAAUUUAAUGGGAAAAUGUGCAAGAAAAAAACCACAUUAUUUUCUCACAAAAAAACUCCUCUUAUUUUUACUAGCAACCUUGCUUGAUCAGGAUCUGUUACCGUUGCAUCCUUGACUAAUAAGGAGGCAAAGCAAAAAAAAAAAAAACUACCAUUUCCUAAAAAAAAGUACUAGUAGAAAUCACCAAAUCCAACCACUCAAGGAAAAAUAAUAAUCCAAUCUUUCUGAAUGAAAAAAAAAAACAAUAACCGAAUGCCUGUGUAAGACAGUGUAAUACUAAUAAUUAAUUAGUGAGAAAAUGUGCAAGAACUGGAGUGAACUGUUAUAUAUGAACAUCUGGUAAAUACUGAAACAUUCCAAAAUAGUUUAUAAAAUCAUUUACAAAGGGGCUGUCGGGACCCGGCGUUUUAGUUUCUCUUAUUAAUCGACAGAGGAAAUAGAGCGCCUGGCCCGAGCAGCAAACAGAGAAGAAGAAAGGGAAAAUAAAAUGAUCUGUGAGUUUGGAAUAAAUACAGAAAUUAGUCAACCUUCUUUAAACAUUUUUUUUACAGAGUAUCAGUUUUCCUCUCUAGGCAGGCAAGGCAAGGCAAGGCAAGGCAAGGCAGAGAUGGAUUCCUUCAGCAGCUGGAGGAGCAGCCUUGUAAUGCAGCCUUGCCUGAUAUCUGCUGCUGCUGCUGCUGGGACCAGUAGGCCUGCGCCGCCAGCACGCGGUCGAGCAGCCCCUGUGGC
rnacentral:lncRNA from 1 species